rnacentral:lncRNA from 1 species
GAGGCUGCCGCUUCAGGACGUGUACAAGAUUGGAGGCAUCGGAACUGUGCCAGUGGGACGGGUGGAGACAGGAAUCAUCAGGCCAGGUAUGUUGGUGUGCUUCGCACCGACGGGACUGACGACUGAGGUGAAGUCGGUGGAGAUGCAUCACGAGUCGAUGCCUGAGGCGCACCCAGGUGACAACGUCGGGUUCAACGUGAAGAACGUGGCGGUGAAGGACCUGAAGAGAGGGUACGUGGCCUCAGACUCGAAGAACGACCCUGCCAAGGAGGCAGCCAACUUCACGGCGCAGGUUAUCAUCAUGAACCACCCGGGACAGAUCGGGAACGGUUACGCACCAGUGCUGGAUUGCCACACGUCGCACAUUGCGGUGAAGUUCGCGGAGAUCUUGACGAAGGUGGACAGGCGAUCGGGUAAGGAGCUGGAGAAGGAGCCGAAGUUUUUGAAGAACGGGGACGCAGGGUUCGUGAAGAUGAUUCCGACGAAGCCGAUGACAGUGGAGACGUUCGCGGAGUACCCACCAUUGGGACGUUUCGCGGUGCGUGAUAUGAGGCAGACGGUGGCUGUGGGUGUUAUCAAGGCCGUAGAGAAGAAGGAACCCACCGGCGCCAAGGUGACGAAGGCCGCUGCGAAGAAGAAGUGAAUAGUGCGGGAAGGGGGUGAAGGCGAGGCGGAGAAGGGGGCGGAGUGGCGGUGGUGGGUGGAGAGGUGGAUGUGGAGCAUGGAGUUGCUGACUUUGAGUGGUUGGUCGAUAUAUUUGUUGCAAGCGCGACAGAGGCAGACUUGGGUACUUGACAGGAGAUGGCAGGGCAUAGUGGGCACGAGGGCAUGGGUGUAAGAGAGAGGGAAAUAAGAGAAUAUAUGAUCUCUUUUUAAAGUACAAAUGCGUGGUGUUUUUUGAUGUGGUUGAUGCUUGUGGAAUGUAGGAUGACUGGUGAUUUAACUAGUUCUGGAUGGUAUGUGGAUCAAUUUGGGUUGAUACUGUUGGGAUAAUGUGGUUUCAUCUGGAUUUGUGCAACAGUUUUCUUGGAAGUAGCGCAAUUAAGGGCUGUGAAGUAUGAGUUCUCUUUUGACAACUUUAAUUGUAUGGGUUUGUUAUAUAAUACUUCUGGAGUGUUCCGGAUUAUAAUUUUUGCAUAAUACUCGCCACGAUCUGCGGUUGGGCUGGUACUUUUGACUAGUAACAUUCUUGGUGUGCAGCACAAGAAAUACACCUCGUUUUUUGUGUUGACAGACAGUACCCGAGAAUAUCCAUGACCUUUAUAAAUAUGCUCCCUUUCCUUCUUAUCAAUUUGCUUGAACGACGUUCAGGAAUGAAAUGGAGCAGUUGAAUUACGGUAUUGUAACCAUAAAUCUAAUUUUAUUCUACUAAAUCUGUCUUUCUCACGACACUUUUCUAUGGUAACAUGAAAAUACUCCUUAACUUAUUGAUCUGUUGCCACUAUCACAGUUCUUGCCACUUUGUGCACUACAAUUGUAAGAAUGUAACCCGGCUUAAAGCCAAGUUUCUAGAUGAAUUCAUCUUAAAACAAGGUCCCCAUGAAACGAAGAAAAUGUUUCCAAAUGUGGCCAUUGUCGGAACAACCCUCUUUUGAAUGUAAUCACCCGGAACUGGUCCACGAAAAAUAACACUCUUGCAGAGAACUUCCUGGUAGAAUUGUGGAAAUAGAGUUGUGGAAAGGCGAAAUUACAACAAAAUCCGACACACUAAAUCCAAAAUGUAAAGAAUAAGUACUGCAUGAUGUAAAGAAAUUGUUCGUGUAUUUUUUGGUGUACACGUGGUUCGUAACUUGGAUUUGAGUAUUAGCAUAACCUUUAGAGCAAUUUGCAGUUAUUAUUGUGGCAUUUGUAAAAUGAAAAAAUCAUUGUUAUUCAUACAUGCACCACACAGGGUUGUCAUUUAUUUAACUUUUUGUGAGUAUUGUCAAUUUAGAUUUGAAUUGCCUUGUUAAAAACUAUAGAUACAAUUCAUGGAUACUUAUAUUCACACAAACAUAUUUUUUGCAUUUUUUGUUGCUUAAUUUAUUACAUUAGAAAAUAAAAUCUAAUUUAUAUCUCCUUUUUGAAAUUAUUGUUGAUUACUUAAAAAUUUGAUUUUUCUGUUGGCUCUUUUUCACUUUAAUAAUUUUUUUUGUGUAUAUGGUUAAGAAUUUUCAAGUAGUAUCACCAUUGAUUGUUUUAGAUUGCGGCACAACAAGCUUUCCUAGAAAAAGCUUCUAUGACCAAAGAGUCACACUAAUUAGAAUAAAAGGACAAAUGUCCCAUGAUCCUUGGACACUUGGCCAGUAUAAUAUAAAUAUAGAAAAUAUGAUCUUUGUGGUCAAUCCAAUUAUUAUGGGUGUUUUGUCACUUUUGAGUAAAAUAAAAUGACAAAUGUCAUGUGAAUCUUGACCUAUACUCUAAAUAUGGUCAAUACUCUCUUUAUGACUUAUCCCAAACAACAUGGGGAUUUUAGAUCCUAUAAUAGAAUAGAGUAUUUUAUUAAGUAGCUUCAACAAAGUUAAAUAUAUAUUUUUUUUUUUUUGUAUAUGGAAACAUUACCAUCAUUUGAAUAUAUUUUAUUUUGCAAUCCAACAACUUUAUUUUAUUAUAUUAUAUCACAUUAAUGCAUUUGUGCUAUAUUAAGAUCAUACAAAUAGAUGCAAUAUCUAUUACAUAAUAAUGUAUUGUGUUAGCAAAGGAUUUGAAGCUUUAAUUUCUUGUAUAAUUUAUUAGUAAAUACUAUUACCUUAUUUGAAAGAAAAAACUUAUAUAUUAGUCAUAGUCCAAUCUCAAAAAAAAGUAGAACUUAACAAAUUUUAUUUAGAAUUGUAUCUUUCUAAAAGUAUUUAGUCAACAAGAUAUUAAAGUAAAAAAAUAAUAUUAUGAUUUUAUCAAGUGUAAUAUUUAUAACUUCUUUAAUGUGAUUUCUUAUAUCUAUUUUUGUUAUAUAUUAUAAGUUUAUUUUUAUGAAUCUCUUAAACCACGAGUGACAUUAUCCAUUAUUCAUUUAUUUUUAUUUUAUAAUAUUUUAUUUUGUAUAACAAAUUAUAUUAUAAUAGAGCAUAUUAUAGCCUUUUAUACACUAUAAUUCUUUAUGAUAGAAGAAAUUAUUGAUUUUGCAUGUAUAUAAAAUUUAUAAUUUAUAAUUUUAUUAAAUAUAUUAUUUUGAUUUGUUUUUUUUCUUUUUUUCUUAAGUAUAUAAUUAGAUUUGAAUGAUGAGUUAAGAAAACACAUUGUUUAACAAUGAUGGAUUUAGUUUGAAUGCAUAUUUAUAUGAAGUAGGCUAUAUACAAAUUUAUUGCAAAUAUGGCUUUUGUAGACAAUUUGACUUUUUUUUAAAAUUUCAUAGGUAGAAACUACCAUGUGUAAUAUCAUCAUAUUAAAUAAAUAGACCUAGGUUUGCUUGAUUUUGAUGUUCGAAACCUAGGUCUACCCACCAAUUUUCAGUAGACAGUACCUAACUAUCCAGGUUGGGAAUUUCAGAUUGCUAAAAACUCAUGCGCGUUUAACCUACUUGCAAUCCCUGAACCACCACCACCAACAUUCUGUUGCACCAUCGACGCCUCUGUUAGAGUAUUCCGACAUCACCAUUCACUCGUCAUCGAAGUCAAAGAAUUCGCCCAAGUCCUCAUCAUCCUCAUACACUCUCACGGCAGAUGCGACUGACGGGCCUUCGCACAGCGCCUGCUGCACGUUCAGUGCUUUCGGCACCACCAUUUGAGCACCACUUCCACCCGAUUCAAAAUACCUGCACAGCAGCGCCUGCGAGUGAAACCAUGUUCGUUAGUAUCACUUGCACCGGACUCCCAUCCAGUUACCACACAACACUUCUGUGACCUGUCCAACACCUUCUUCGGGCAGCCUGCUGUACCAGCAUCACACAGCAGCCUCCUACACUCCAGCUUCUCCCAACCUACGUACCCUAUCCUUCCAACACUCUGUUACGUCCUUCAUAACUUCACACAAUCCAUCUACAAUAGCGUUCUAACUUUUCCACUGCAUACGUCCUCCCUGCUUUGCGCGUGAUCGCCCUUUCAUCUCAACGCUUUCUAAUUUUGCUCCACUACAUCUCCAGGACAGGCUUUCCCACGCCUAGCUACAAGAACAAGCACACUCUGCAUCGCCAACCACGCGUUACCCCCCAACAAACCACUACCCAUACCACUCCACAACCAUCGCCCACUCUCCCAGCUGCCCACUUAUGUUGCGUCCUAUCCAACACUUCCUAUUGUCAUUUCGAAUUGCCCCACCCAACCACCAUUCAUCACCCGUCACCCAUCACAACUCAUGUUCAACGACUAUCAACGCUCCUCACCGUGGCGGCGUACGCGUCCAGUUGCUCCUUCCGAGACCGUCUGUUGCUGCCCCUGCGUCACAUUCAACCAACUCCCAUCACCCACAUGUUCCCUCCCUACCCAACCUCCCCCACCUCCAAUUCCUGCCCUGCACCACGCCCACCAACCAUGCAUUCCCCAAGCACCGCAUCCACACCGUGCAUCACCACAACUCCAACAGGGAUCUCGAUGUUUACAUGUCAAUCAUGUAGUCCAGCGCAUCCUGCGAAGUCCCAUACUCGUCUUGCAAAUAUACUCGCCACCCUCUGCAAUACGCCACCACACCUGCCUCAGAUCCCUACUGCUCCAUGCAAUGUGCACUACUUGACCAACGACGACACUGUCCGAUCGCCGUGUACUUCCCCUUGUCGAUCACCCCACUCGUAUCCCUACUGCUGAAACCCCUGCCCGCUACACAUCAUCCCUUUCCCCCACUCUGUCACCCCCAUUGUGUGCACCGCUGCACCUUGCAACUACUCAACCACAACUCACUCCUUCACAAGAUCUCAUCAUGUGACAUUGGCGGUGGGACUUUACCGCCGACCAACGAUAUUCGCCAGCCUCCCGGCAAAGCUGCGGCACUUGUUGGCUUGGUCCGAGUCCUUGCCAUCCCACGCUUUGGGCAGCCCAACCACAAACUCGUCUGCUCUCUGCGCUCCACCCACCCAGCCACACAACACCACCAUCAACGUCUUCGCCGAACACAUCCUGCACCGCUGCUACCAAAACCACUCACACCUCUCAUGACCUAAUCACGCCAUCCCUCCAAAACCCUGAACCCUUUCUUCACUGAAAUUGCACCUGCCGAAGGGAAUCAGGUUCACGUCAGAGCCGGUUCGUGCGUGCGCCCCACCGUAAUGUACCAUUGCGCGAACGUGACUCUCACUAAACGUAAAAGAAAAUUGCAACUCGCUUUGUCAACUGCUCAUUCUUCCGGCAUAUGUCAAUCCACCAAUCAGCCCGUGUUAUCAACCAACGGUCGACAUAAUUCUUACCUCACGUAUGCCGACUUGCAAUAUGGUUUCGAGUAACUUGUCUCCCCUCUGCCGCACCACCUACAACCACAAGGUACGUGAGACACCUCCUUCCAUCCCUUCGGAAUCCACCCACCGCUUGGCUUCACCAACACAAAGGGUGGGCAGGAACACGCUCACGGACACACGAGACGCCCCACGUAUCUCCCACGCCCGCUUCGUGCACUACGAAGGUUGCAAUAGCACAAAAGCUUACGGUCAAAGGCCGGGGCGCAUAACCACCCAGACUGAUCGCCAAUCCAGUCUUUGCAUCCCCGAGAUCCACACCCACUGUGUGUCCGCGCACCCUCUCUCCACCUCUCGCCCUCUGCGCAUUGCACUCCAGACUGCCAAUCUUCGCUUUCAGCUCCAACCUCAGCCGGGGAUCCUCCGCCACGCGCUCUGGACUGCCAUCCCCGUCUCCUCGCCCAGGGCUUGCUUUCCCGAGCUUCUCAACCCCAGCAUUCGAGUCAUUUCGAGCACACACAACGCCGACAGCCCUCAACCGCAGCUUCCUCAGCGGAAACGCUGGCGCGGGAACAGAGCGCAGCUGCCGAAUGGGAGUUCUAGGAAACAACACAGCACAAUUCAGGGUGCUCACAUGGCGCCCUCCGAGACUCAUCCUGCCCAACUAGCCACUCACUGCACAUGCGACGCAACAGUCCCCAAACACAACUCGAAAGAAAACAUGAAGGGUGCAAACUGAACCCACUACCACAGUACUGCUUUCGCCUCCUACCGGGCCAGGGUGGUGUCUGAGCGAGUGACGCCUCGUAUUGGCGACCACGGCAAAUGCAGGCGCGAGAGCACGCAUCCCUCGUCGUCCUCUGAGUGUGUGGGGGUACAGGCCUUGUCACGCAGAGCUCGCCGUGGUCCUGGAUGCGCUUACCGGCCGUGGGCGUCGCCGGUCCUAGUGCGUCCUCCGUAUCGGCAAUCCUUUCUCGAUCGGGCAGCCUGGAAGGCGGGCAGACGCUCCCACGGUAAUACACUUACUCAGUGGGGAUGGGUGUAGAGGGAAAAUUCUGGCAGCUCACGAUUCUUGUCAGAGCCAAUGGUUGGAGCACAGCUGUCUUCGACCUAUUGCCGAGCAAAGAGUUAGGACCCCACCAGAGGUGCCGAUGAAGACGAGGGAGCAUGAUGACGAGGUGAAGGAUACGUAGAGCUCGUGGAUGAAACGCAUUCAUUCAAAGCGUAACAUACACACGUAGAGGAAAAUAUAUGCACCUCAAUACCUACCUGGGACAGUGUCCUCGACAACCUUUUAUAUUAGAAUGAGAAGAGCGUUUAGCCCACAAAUUGCGGCGCAGAAUGAACCUCAUUGGGCAUCAUAUGAUUUGUGUCAAGCCCGUUUCUUAUCCCUACAGGUGUAGAGGGAUCCCCCUUGUCGCAAGAUUGAAUCACGACGGCGUUGUUUCUCGAGGCGCGUUGUGAGUAUUGAACAAUGCGACCGACAUGAUUUAUGUUGGUGAGGUCAAAAUGAAGAUUGCAGUGAAUCAAAUCAUACCUUGGAACUAGAAACGCUAUUAUCGUUGUUUCAGGUCGAAGAGGGUCCAUGUGAAAUCUUUUCUUUUCUUCAUCUUGGGUGUUAAUGCAAUACGGCCCUGUGUACUUCGCCCAAAAUUUAUCCUUUUUCUUACAUAGCUUUUUCUUUUGAUAUAAGACUACAUCUCCAACAGCGAAGUCUCGUGUAUAUGUUACUUUUUUGUCAUGACCCUCUUUCUGCGGCCGUUGUGCUUUGCCAAUGUUGGUGUGCGCUUGUGUUCGUAACUAGUCCCGUUGUUGUAGUAACUCAUCAAGCCACGUGUGUAAGUCGGUGGGUUGUGUGAUGGCUAGUGCUGGAGCCAGCAGCACUAUUGGCAAGCGUGGUUUGCGCCGAUACAACAUUUCGAACAGCAAGAAUCUAGUACUAGAAUGAACGGUGGUCCGGUAGGCGAACACAAUCGCCGAUAGCAUUGUGUGCCAAUACUGGUCAUACUCCCCAUUUUUCUCAAUAAGCAAACAUAAUGUCAUCUUAAAUCUUUUGGUCAGGCUAUUACACUGCGGGUGGUAGGGCGAUCUAGUGGUAUGUUUGGUGUGAAGGUGAAUGGCUAGCACUUUGAGUAAGGCGAUACAAAACUCGCUUCUGUUGUCAUUUAGAAUUUUGAUGGGGCUAUUGUGUUUCACCAUAAUGGAAUUAAAGAAGAAUUGUGCAAUUUGCUCACAUUCUUUGGACUUCAAAGCAUGCACCUCGACCCACUUCGUGAGGUAGCAGGUUGCAACAAUCACGUACUUAUUGCGCCAUGACGUCCAUGCCGACCUUUGCUAACGGCUCAAAAACUGGGAUCGAGGUUAAUAAUCAGAGCUGCAUGUUUUUAUCAUGCGUACAUUUUACCUGGCAUGUCGGGCAUUUGCGAAUGUAGUUUGUUACAUCCUCAACCAUGCCAAUCUAGUAGUAAGCAUCUUGCAACCUUUUCAACGUUCUUCGUACGGCAAAGUGUCCGGAUGUGCGAGCCGCGUGGAAUAGUUCUAAUACCUAAGGAAGUUCAAAGGCCCCGGGAACUCUCAAAAUACGAAUACCCUCUAGAGCGGACUUUUUGUGAAAGAGAGUACCAUCUCGCAUGAGGUAUUAGGAGAGAUGGUACCUCACUCUCUUGGCCAGCGUUCUAUCCAGGCCGAUGGCGAUCGAGCCAGUCCGGCAGGCUUCAGAGUGCAUCUAACAAUGCUUCUUUUAUCACGUUUAUUUUUGAGCAGAGUGUUUUGUUGAGGGCGGGGUUGGGAGUGCCUGUCUUUGUGGUCUCCUCUCUUAAAGACCUAAGCAACUUGUCACAACAGUUGGAGCUCGUGAUGGAUCCAUCGUUAGUUUCAAUCAUCCUGACAAUGCAAUUCACCCUACUUGACGUUCAUAAAGACUGUUUUAUGUAUGCUGCGAAUGUCAUCGCAACACCAAUCAAAGAAAACACAAAACAUAUUAUUGACAUAUAUAGCUACGAACGUAGUUAGUGCACACAUGUUCUGAUACAAUUUUGAGGUGUGCUGUGACACCCUGCCAUUCUCCCGGGAGGCUGAUGCGUUGUAAUUUAGUAGUAUAGAGCCAUGAACCAUUGGGCAUUUGGAGUAGCGAAGCUGUUGGAGUGUGUUCAGGUCGCUGAGCGUAGGAUAUAGUUUAGGCACGGUGUUUUUAGUGCAAGUUUGUGCGUCUACGUUUGCAUGGAGGAGUCCCGGUUUGUGUAUGAUUGUGCAAUCGUAGAAUUGCAAAAGUCGCAAGGCAAGGAGGAGUGCAUGGUCGAUUUUGAUGAUAAAUUCAAACCUAUGAAGAUAUGGGCGAAAAUAUUUUACCUCAAAGACCAAUGUGAGGCCUUCUUUAUCAAUGAUCCCAUAAUUCUUUUUUGCCUUUGAUAAUUGUUUGGAGAAUGAUCCCAUAAUUCUUUUCUGCCUUUGAUAAUUGUUUGGAGGCUUAGGCUACCACCAGUUUUGUCAAAUGGGUGCAAUUGUAGUUAUAAUGUCAUGAGUUAUAUGCGGUUCAGAUUAAUGGGACCAUUACUAAAGAUAUCUAGAUUUCUAUAGAUGAUAUAGAUUCCUAUUGGAAUAUAAUGUCAUUUUAAAUCUUGUGGUUAGACCAUUGCAUAGGAAUCUAUAUAAUCUAUAAGAAUUAAUGUUAAGAAGGCAAGAUGUUUGAAUUAUCUAAUUGAGCAUGACAUUAUAUUCAAAAUAUUUGUACUUUGUCCAAAAUGUUUUCUUCCAUUAAUCUCCUUCUUUAAUCUGCACCAAAUUGUACACUAUAUAUAAAUCUAUUCUAGUGUAGAUCCUAGCUUGACUGAAUUGCUUUAAAAGCUUUGAUAUCAGUGGUAAUAGAUAAAGAUUCUUCAGGAUUAUUUUAUUGAGGUCAUAAUAAUCAAUACACAUUUGCAAAGAUCCAUCUUUUUUCUUCACAAAAACUAUUGGUCCAUUUGCUGGAGAUUCACAAUACCAAAUAAAGUUCUUUGCAAGAUUUUGAUCAAUAUAAUCCUUCAAUGCCAAAAGUUUAUUUUGUGAUAGGUUGUAGAUUGAGCUAAACGGUGGUUGAGCCUCUUUGAAGAUCAAUGGUACUAGGAUAGCUACUAGCGAGCUUACUUCUUCAUAAGUUGGAGUUGCAUAAAUAACAAAUGGCAUUUUUUUCUUAGUAGUCUUCAUAAAAGCCCUUGCUUAAAGGAAUAAAUAAAUUUGAGGUAUUGGAAUGUCCAACUACAUGGUCUCUAUUAAAGUUGGAUCUCUUUAUUUUCCUAAAAAAUUGCAAUCUUAAUCCUAUUUGUACAUUGUUUCUUUGGACAGUUCUCAAAUUUAUGACCUUCUUCAUUACAAUACAAGUAUAGACCUUAUUCAAAUUGACACUUCUUCUCUUCUAUUAUAAGAGGUUUAAACUAUAUUGCAUCAAUUUACAUAUCUUCAACUUUGGAAUCUAAAAGUAUUGUAUUUAUUGAAAUAAUAGAGUACAAAUUUUUAGUAUGUUGCUUUAUCAAAGUCGAAAAGUAUUGAUUUUGAUAUUAUUAAAAUAAUCAAUAAUUAUUUUUUACAGCUUGGUUAAUAGUCUCAUUGAGUGUUUGAGGAUCACAUAAUGAUAGUAAUAGGUCUUUGACAUCAUCAUUUAAUCUCCAAUAGAAUUGGUUCAUAAAAGCUUUUUCAUCCCAAUUGAUGUGACAAACCAAUUACUUAAAAUCAAAUACAUAAACUUAUACAAAGCAUGACCUUUGAUGUAAUGAGCAAAUUUUUAUUGAUAUCCAUCAAGCCUUAUCAUAUUUUCUAAAUGCCUCUACAAAUACUUCUAAAAAAGUCUUUAAAAUUAUUCAAGAUUAGAGUUCUUUUUUCAAAUAAAAGAUCAAACCAAAAUAAGGCUUAUCUUGAGAUCAAGGUUCCAACUAAAUCAACUCACUAUUCUUUUGUUGGAUAGCACUCAAGUUGUAGAAAAGUUACUAAUCAAAUUUUAUUAAUAAAUCUUUAAAACUUAGAAUGUGUAUCAUCAAAAAAAUUUGAAAGACUAAUUUGAGGCUCUUUAUGUUGUUGAAUAAGUGAGUUUUUUUGUCGAAAUACAAGUGCCACCACUUCCUUGGAUGUAAAAGCUUGAAAAAGUGGUUGUAUUACAGGUUAAACUAUUCUAGAUCUUAUAUCACUAUAAAAUCUUACAAAACAUCUUUUUAUUUUAGUAGUUCUAUGAGAUAAAGUAUUGAACAUGUUCAUAAUACUAUCUAAUUAGGAUUUAGAAGAUUUAACCAUAUUAAUAUCUUGACUUCUAGCUAUUUUAAAAGAAAAAAAUUAAACAAUACUAAUUUAAUUUAAAGAAGAAAUCUUGCAACCUCUAAAACAUUGAAAUGACUUCAAGAAGAGAAAUAAUCCAAUCUUUAUUAAAAAAGAUCAAGCUUUAGUAUUGAUAAGAAAGUUAGUCUUGACAAAAUGUCAUGGAUAUACUAUACAAAAGAUCAAAUAAGAAAUUGAAUAAAAAAAAUUUCAAUAAAAAAGCUAGUAAGAACUUGAUGAAAUCAAAUAAGUACAAUAUCAACACCAAGAGAGAUGAGCUAGAGCUCCAAGAGAUGUGUUGUUGAGAUUGAAGAUCCCCUCACCCUUAACUCCAAUAUAUAUUAGGUAUUAAAAAGCUUUUUUAGAAAUUUUAAUGUUGCUUAAGAACAAAGCAACCUUAGAAGGGUUCUCGAAAAGUUUUCAUUUUACUUGAAGACAAAAACAAUCCUAGAAAGCUUCUUAGAUAGCUUCCUUAAUCAUCUUAGAAAUUUUUAGAAUCUAUUGGAAUUUUUUGAAAACCUUCUAAAUCUUUUUAAAUAUUUAAAGGAACUUUUUAAAAUCUUCUAUUAAAGUAUUUUUAAAAUAUUUAAAAAUUUGAUAGAUUAUUUUAAAAAUAUUCCUAAAAUCUUUUGAUUGUUUAUAACAAAAGUUUUAUUAUUGAUAAUGCCAAAAGAAAAUUUAUUGCUUAAGUCAUUGCAUGUAAUAAUUGAUUCUUUAAAAGAUACAAAGAACAAAGAUUUUAUUGAAGAGGUAUAAAUGAAAUUUUGGUGAUAACUUUUAAAUUUGUAGAAGCUUAUUCAUCAAAGUUGGAAUCCAUGCAAAUUGAUAAGAUAUGUUUCAAAGCUCUUAUUGAGCAAGAAAAGACUUGACAUUGUCAAAAAUGAUUGUGCUUAUAUUGCAAAGAACCUAAAUACACUACUCAACAUUGUCUAAAGAAGCAACAAAAUCACAAAAUGAGGAGCAUAGUUACCAGAGAAGAUGAUGUGUUAAAAAAAAAGUCUUUUUUUUUUUUUUUUUUUUUUUUUUUUUUUUUUAAGUACAAUAAGAAUUAUUCAUCUAAAAUCUUGCUUAACACCUAAUAAAUAUCUUAUUUUUUUUUUUCAAAUCUCUCACCUUGUUUUACAAUAGAAAUUUGUUUAAGAUCAAAAAAUCACAAAGUCUUUGCUUUAUUAGAUUCAAGAGCCUCAACAUAUUUUAUAGGCAAAGCCUUUAUUAAAAAAUAAGAAAUAUCUUUACUUAAAAAAAAAAAAAAAUCCGUGCAUGUAGAAGUCAUAGAUAGUCAUUUGUUAUCUUUUGGAAAUAUUAUCGAUAAGAUAAUUUCUUUAGAUGUAGCAAUUAAAGAUCAUAAUAGCUUAAUAAUAUUUAAUGAGAUUAGAUCUCCUUUUAAUCCAAUUAUUUUAGGAUUAUUAUGGCUAAAAAAAAUAUAAGCCUCAAAUAGACGAUUUCUUAUAACUUUAAUUUUUUUUGAAAUUUAGCCGAAGAUUUUCCUAGUCAAGUAAAAAUUCUUAAGUCCAAUACAUCCAAAUCCUUAUUGAUAUGUACAAGAGCUUUUAUGCAUACUAUAAAAGAAGAGUUAGCUUUGUUGUAGAUUCUGCACCUAUUUUCGAUAGAAAUAAGAUUUCAAGUAGUAUUUUAAGUAAAUAUUAAGAUUAUUAAGGUAUUUUUAAAAAAUAAAUAUAAACAUUCUUUUAGAGUAUUAUCCUUAUGACUGUUCCAUUGAUUUUAAAGAAAGAACUCAACUACCAUUUGGACCAAUCUAUAGCUUAUCACAAAAGAAGUUGGUUGCACUCAAAGAACACAUUGACAAGAAUUUAGCUAAAAAUUUUAUAUACCAUUUUAAAUCUCAAGGAAGGACUCUUGUUUUAUUUGUGAAGAAAAAAGACAAAUCUCUAUAGAUGUCUCUUGACUAUUAAAGUUUUAAUAAUAUCACCAUUAAAAAUACAUAUCAUCUAUCUUUGAUUUCAAGACUUUUUAAUUAAUUAAAUUAAAUAAAUAUCUAUAUAAAAAUAGAUCUAUGAGAAGCAUAUAACAUGAUACAUAUUAAAAAAAGAUAUGAAUGAAAAAUUACGUUUCAAAUUAGGUAAUGUCAUACCCUUUAGAUUCAUAAAUAUACUAAUUAAUUUUUAACAUUUAAUAAAUGAUGUCUUUCAUGAGUUUCUUGAUGACUUUGUUGUUUGUUAUCUAGAUGUUAUUUUAAUCUAUUCUAAAAAUAUAAAAAACAUGAAUUUCAUGUUUGACAUGUCUUACAAAAAUUAAAAAAUAUAUACUUAUAUGCCAAGAUAGAAUAGUGUAUAUUUCAUAUUACUCAAAUUGACUUCAUAGGAUAUAUCAUGUUAAACAAUAGCCUUAUGAUGGAUCCUAAAGAAGUCUAGACUAUCAUAAAUUGAAAGAUCUCAAAAAUAGUCAAAGAUGAGUAAUUUUAAAAAAAUUUACUAUUUAUUAUUAAACUUUUAUCAAUUUUUUUUUUUCAAAUUACAGCUUCUUAUAUAUAUUUAACUUGUAAAGAUAAACUUGAGUAGAGUAAAGAAGCCAUAAUAUCUUUUGAAGCUUUAAAGACAAUAUUUAUUUUUGUACAAAUCUUAUAUUAUGUGAACUUUUUUAAAGCAUUUUUUAUAGAAAGAAAUGCAUCAAACUUUGCUACAAGUGCAAUGUUGUCACAAAUAGGAGUGAAUGAUAAGUUCCAUCUAAUAGUUUCUUAUUCUAAUAAAUUUUCAAUAAUCAAGAUUAACUACAAGAUUGACAAAAAAGAACUUCAUGCAAUUAUAGAUUCAUUUUAAGAAUGGCAUCAGUAUCUAAAAGAAACUUUCAAUAUAUAUAUAUAUAUAUAUAUAUAUAUAUAUAUAUAUCUAUAUUUAUUAUAAGAACAUCAAGUAUUUCAUGUCAACACAUGUUUUGAAUUCUGACUAAGCCCAUUGGAGCAUAUUUUUAUGAAGGUUUGAUUUCAAUAUGACUUAUUAACUCAAAAAAUAAUAAGAUUUGUCAAAGACAUUUUUUAGACAUUCUUAUGUUACAUCAAAGGAAAAAAAUGUAAUUUUUGAUCAAUGAAGAUUUUUUCUUUUUAAAGUUGGAGCAUUUUUAUCUUUAAGCAAUGAAAUCAAUAUUGAUUAUUGAUUCAAUUUUUUUUAAGCAAAUUCAAUCAAAUAUAUUCUGUGAUUCUUUUAUUUAUGAUAUUAAAAAUAAUUCUUUUAAUUAUUAUAUUACUUUCAACUUUAAGUUCAAAAAUAAUCUGUUUUAUUUUUAAAAAUAAUUAUAUAUUCCAAAAGACAAAGCAAAAUUAUGUAUUAUUCAAGCUCAUCAUCAGUUUCUAAUAUCCAAAUAUUUUGAAUACAAUAAGACUUUGAAGCUAAUAUCAAAAGAUUUUUUAUGGCAUCAAUGUAAAAUGUUGUAAAACACUUUGUACAAUUAUGUGACGUUUAUUUAAGAUCAAAAACUCUUUGGCAUUGAUCUUAUGGAAUUCUUUAGCUAUUAUCUAUUCCAAAACAACUAUAGUCUUUUAUUUUUAUGGAUUUUAUUAUAGAUUUUUUAGUCUCAUGUUCUUGUGAUAGUAGAUUAUUUUGCUAAGAUAGCAUAGUUUGUACUAUAUAUAAAAUCUAUCAUAGAUGAAGAAAUAACUAAUUUUUUUUUUUGAUAAUAUCUAUCACCAUUAUGGAUUGUCAAAUGAUAUUAUAUCAAAAAUGAAGAUUCAAUCUAUAUCAAGAUUUUUAAAAGUUCUUCUUAAGAUUUUAAAGAUAGAAAUAAAAUUACAUUUGGCUUUUCAUCCUCUAAUCAAUGGACAAAUAGAAGGAAUAAUCAAAGUUUUGGAAUAAUUUUUUUACCAUUGGUAGAUUUUUUUUAUAAUAACAUAGUACAUUCUCCUAUAAAACAAACACCUUUUUUAUAUUAAUUAUGAUUAUUAUUGUGCUUUCAAUUUUGCAAUCAUCCCUUUGAUUUCAUAAAAGUCUAUAAUUAUGUAAAAAAAAUUAAAAAGAAUAAUUAUUUGAGCUAUAUAUAACAAUAAAGGUACAAUUAAAAAAAAGCUCAAGAAUAAUAAAAGUCUAAAGCAUAUGCCUAUUACAAGGAACAACUUCAAUUCCACAUUGGCAACAAGGUAUGGUCACUUUAUUAUAAUAUGAAGAGUAGCCGCUUUUGUGAUAAGAUGGAUUAUUAUAGGCUUGGACCAUUUCAUAUUUGUAAAUAAAUCAAUUUAGUUGCUUAUUAAUUACACUUAUUGGAGUCUAUAAAGAUCCAUUCCAUAUUCUAUAUUUUUUUUAAACCAUAUAAGAAAGUGAAUAUCUCAAAAAAAAAAGAUAAAUACUAUUUUUUUUAUAUAAUUGGAUAAUAAUCAAGAUUUUAAAGUAGAAGAAGUCUUCAACUCAAGGUAGCAUUGAAAUAGAUUGAAAUAUCUUGUUUAUUGGCAUUGAUAUGAUAUUAAUGAAUGCACAUAGAAGCCAACAAAGAAUCUUGCAAAUACAAUAAAGAAGAUUGAUACUUUUCAUUAACAAUAUCUAUCAAAAUCAAGAUAAAGAAUAAAAAAUCUUUUUUUUAAAGAAAUAAGAUCUAAAAAAGAUAAUAUUUUAUUUCAUAUUAUUGUUUAUAAUUUUUGUAUAUUUAUAAUACUAUAAAGAUAAAAAAAUCAACAACCAACAAAUUCAACUCAAGAGCUAUCAUUUGAUGACUUAUUGGAUGAAAUAUUAUAAUUAUUACAGCCUUCGAGACAACAUAAUAGAGAUGGAGAUCCUAAAGAAUGACAUGUUCUUUUUUAAAUAGAUAAUGAAAUAUGAUACAUUUGGUAUCACAACCUUGGAAGAGAUUUCUAAUGUUUGGUGAUUUUAUUACAAUUAGGAAUGAUUUUUAAUCGUAUUUCAAAUGUUUUAUUUGAAGAGAGUUAUAAAAGUCUCAAGAAUGAUCAAAUAAUAAAAUGGUUUUUCUACCUUAAUAAAGGAGACUAUCAACUGCCUUCAAAAUAAACAAAGAUCAAAGUAUGUGGAAAUUAUAAUUUGCCAUAUCUUAGACUUCUUUAAUAUAUAGUGACUAUUCCUUAUAGAACUCAAUCUUAGAAAGGGAGAUAAUAACAUAGACAUGUAUAUUUAUCUAGAUUAGAAGUAUUAAGUAAAAAAUAAAUGUAGAUAGAUUUGAUAUUAUUUUAUAGCAAAGCUUUUUAGGAGCUUUAUAGAUGUGUACUUGACUUUGUAUGUGUUUAUAAUUGAUUAUAGGUUAGAAACUUAGCCAACAAAUUAGUCAUGUAUUGCACAUGUAGAUAGCUUAUAAUACAAGCUAAUAAUGUGGCGUACAUAUAAGAAACUUAUAAUACAAAUUAAGACAUGUGUCUUAUAUAUUAGACAUGUGUUAGAGGUCCUAUAAAACAUCACCUUGUAGCUCUUAGUUAGAUAGUAUAUAUAGAGACAAGAGUGAUACCUUCUUUACUUUUAUCAAUGCCUUUUUAGUUCUUAAUCUUCUUUCAAGACUUUUUUGUCUUCUUGUCUUUGACAAUAGCCAUUCUAGUUGAAUAUUAUACCAUCUUUGAAUGAUUUUUUAAAUUUGUUUGAAUAGCAUAAGAAUUUAUUGAUCUUUUAGUUCUUUAAAAUUCAUGUCCUUGAUAGGAGGUGAUAACAUAAUGUGCUACAAGUAAGUAAAAGAUAGUGCUUUGAUUAAAAGGUUGAUUUUAAUUGUUGUGUUGAUAGAAUAUUGGAAUUUUGAUGAAGGUGCUAGUAUUGGAUGGAUAUAUUAUGUCUAGUGUAAAACAUGAGGUGGCUAAGAAUAAUGUUGUUGAUGAUUCAACGUCUUUUUUGUAUGUAGAACUCUUUGAUAAGUCUUUUCAUAUAGCUCUUACUUGAUUCAAAUAUAGAGUGGAGCUUUGUUGGAUGCUAAUGUUGUAUCCUUGGCAAGAAAUUGAUGGAAAAUGCUCCAUGUCAUGUACUACUAAUAAUUGCUCAUUGUAAUUGAUCAAUUUAGUUAGGGAACUUUGUCGUGGCAUAUAAUAAAUAUCCUACUUAUUAUGACUUAUGUCCAAUUAUUGAAUUUUGUAUACUAACUGCUUGUCCAAACCUUGUAAUCUUUUAGGAGAUUUUCAAAUACAUUAGCUUGGAAUUUUCCUAAUAUCCAUCAAAGAAAUUCAUGUUAACAAAAAAAAAUUCCAUUUAGUCAUCUGUUUGAGUUUUUGUAAAUUCUAUUCUAUGUAUUACUUAGCGUCUUAAACAAAAUACUAGUCACUCAAAAUUCUUAUUAGAGCCAAUCAUUUGAGCAUAAUUGUAUUUGACCUAUUACAAAGGAAAGAGUUGGGACUCUACUAGAGGUGGCUAUAAAGACAAGAAACCAUGAUGACAAGGUGAAGGAUAUACAGAGCUUCAUUCAUUUAAAGCAUAACAUAUACAUGUAGAAGUAAAUAUGUACAUCCCAAUACUUGCCUAGGACAAUGUCUUUGACAAAUCUUUUAUAUUAAAAUAAGACAAGUGUUAAGCCUAUUAAGUACGACUCAACAUAAAUCUCAUUGGACAUCAUACAAUUUGUGUCAAGCUUAUUUCUUAUUCCUACAAUAGGAACCAUUGUGCCCAAUUGUAGCAUAUAAAACUACUCUAGUUUGAAGGACUUUGUCAAAUUGUCUAGUUAAAAUUAAUUUGGAUAAUUAUUUGAAUUUGAAUUUUAUUUUUGAAGGUCAAAAUAAAUAUUUUGGAUUAUAGUACCAUUGCACUUAAAAUAAAAUAAUAGAAAAGUAGUCUACAAUUUGGAUGAAGAUAUCCACAAUCAAUGAAUGAUAUUAAAAAUGAUCAACACAAAGUUUGCAGGUCACUAGAUGCCAAUUAGCAUUUUCUUGUACCCUACUCUUUCUCAAAAUAGAACGAAGAUGGAUUCGGUCGCCUAUAUCCGGAAUCGUUUUAACAGAAUCUAACAUCGUGUGGAGCAUCCAGAAUUAAGUCUAAAUGGUCGGUAAAAUGAUCGGUAUUAUUUGUUUAUUAAUGUCGGCUGAAAACGCGUCGCAGCAAACCGUGAAAGAAGUAGCGAAGGGUGUGGUCAUUUGGAUAUCCAUCCAGAUCCGAAGGUUUUGCUAUGCGCUACGAAUUAGUCACAACUGCGUUGAAGACUACUUCAAAAUCGUGUGGUGUCUGUAUUUCGCUGCAAAAUACAGGAAAUCCUGCAAGAAAGCGGCUACAGAAUGAGCGCGUUGAGCACUCCUGGAUUGAAUGGUCGUGUAAAAGCGAAUCUGAGACUUGCAUCUUAUCAAGAUAACUGUAGAGAGAGCAUAGUCCAUUGUCACGCACUUGGAGGGGUCUCCAAAUAUAUAAACCUUUCGUAGGAGGCUUAAUAUUCAAGAUUUGAUAUCGAUGAAAACUACAGGAAUUGGGGAAGGAAUUGAGAACUGAGGGAUUCGAAAUCCACUUGUGCUGAUGGUCAUUCAAACGAUUGAGUCGUGGAUUGUGAUCUUGUUCGAUGUCUAUUAAAAGAGUUGGAGAAGAGAUUGAUGACAGUUCGUGAGGCAGAUCUUUUGCUUCAUGGUCCAGCCGAUUCAAUUCCACUCCUCAAGUUGCUCGACAUUUUGUCGCUCAAUCAGGACCAGUUCUUAAAGUCUGGUGUCGAUUGCCGCCAGUUUGCUUUUGUCAUAACACCUCAGUCCUUUCUUCAUCGUGAUUGACAGCUUCAUUCUUUCCGGAAUAUGUCUUCUGGAUUACUUUGAUCAUCACUCUCAGCGGUUUUCAGUUCCUCAAUUGUUUCAUUUUACAAACCACUACGUCUGUGGCUAGCUAGGUACAGAAAAUGGCUUCUCUAAACGAAAGCCAAUCACUUCCUCGAUCAUGGAGAUGUUGCGUCGCACUUUUGCUAUCUUUGUCGUUUUUGAUGGUAGGCUCAACUCAAGCCAGCAGGAAAUUACAAACAGCUCAACCACAAAGGAGACUCCAGGCGCACAGGGACAAUACCGACACGGCUAUGCACGCUCCUUCAGCUCAAUCUUACCUGGUUUCAGACGGUAGCUGGGUAGAUUGUGUCCCCAUCGAAGGACAGAUUGCAGCCCACCACCCUGCUCUCAAAGACCACAUCAUCAAGAUGAGGCCAUCGGUACCUCCCAAUGCUCGCUCUUCAUUAGGCGCGAGAUCGCAUCCACAAUUGUUUGCUCGGGAGCAUGGCGGGUGCCCGGACGGCUAUAUUCCCGUUCAACGAAUGGACCCCAACAGCCCGCGUUUGCGAAAAGAGCAUCCCCCUCAAGCCCCUGGACCUGCUCCAGUUGACGUAGCAGUUCAUGAAUAUGCUGUAACAACCAUGCCAGUUUCUAGCGGAGCUUACAGUGGAUCUGCGGCUGUCCUCAGUGUAAAUGGCCCCACCGUUGCAAAUACCAGGGAGUUCAGCCUGUCUCAGCUAUGGAUCAUCGACGGCUCCUUCAAAGACACAAGCCUGUGCACAAUUGAAGUUGGCUGGCAAACGUAUCCCGGCAGACACACUGGUGACGCGGACUUUGCUCCUCACCUUUUCGUGUACUGGACUGCAGACCAUUACAAUAUUUCUGGGUGCUAUGACCUGGAAUGCCCCGGCUUUGUCCAGGUCGAAAAUUCGUGGGUGAUCGGAGGCGCCAUGCCGAGCUACACAACGCUUGAACAAUUAAAUAAUGGGGAGAUUGCCGAGGUUGACAUUCAAGUGCUCUACGACUCCACUGAUCUUGUCUGGUGGUUAUUUCUCAACGGCGUGGCGAUUGGGUACUGGCCAGCGGCGCUAUACCCCAGCACUUAUUUGCACGGGACUGCAAAUUUUUUAGAGUGGGGAGGCGAGGUCGCCAUCGAAAAGAACAACACUGCUCACUCGAGGACUGUGAUGGGCAGUGGUGCAGUUCCCACCGCGGGCUUCCCUUUAUCAGCUUACCAGAGAAACAUCACGUACGCGGAUGUGGUGUCUGGAGUUACAAACAUGGAUGCAAAUGUUAAGUAUCUGACGGAAGGUCAAAUCCGGACGGAUCCCAGCUGCUAUGAUAUAGCAGUUCAAUUGAAUAACUACGCGAAUUGGGGUACAUAUUUCUUCUUCGGAGGGCCUGGAGGAAACAACGUUUUUUGUAAGGGCACGCCAUAGUUCUGCUGAAAGCAUGAAUUGGAUAAAAAACACCAGCGGUUGAUUGCGGUGGAUUCAACAAUGUGUUUAUAGAUAGUGGCAAUCUGUAUUACGUUAGAACCUAAGUAUAGGAAGGAUUGGAACAAUCUGUGGUUGAAUGCGCAUGGCAAACCACAGAUUCAUACUCAUUAGAGCAAAAUCAACACCUCAAUGUAUUCCUGCGAAGAUGAAGCCAGUAGAUGACCCCCCCCCCACACACACACACACACACGAGUAGCUGUGCUACAAAAUGUUUCCUCGCAAUUUUAUGUUUAUUGGAGACCUCUAAGUCGACAUGUCAACUUUCUUCAUUCUCUAGCCCUCCUGUAAUGUUUUGAAGAAAAGCAACUAGACCAGCCGCGGUCCUGCCAGUGUUGGAACCCCGUCUAGCCUCCCUUUGGUCUCGUUCAAGGCGGGCGCGAGGCUCUUAUAACCCGCAACGACAGCGAGAUUUCCAACGCGCGGAAUUCAAUAACUGUUUUGCAUCUAGAAUCCUAGAGUUGCACGACAUAACUUCUUGUCUCGAAAUAUGGUCUUGUCUAAACUGAAUCACUUCUCGAUCUGUUCUUUUGGUCACGUUUACCUGAUUGUUGUUUUGAAAUAGGUGAAUGAAGUAUCCAUGAGUGUUCGAUUUCUGUGUAAAUUCAAAUAGAUACUUCAACUGCGCCUUCUCAGUGUGUGUUUCUGUAUUAAAAAGUAAUUCUUUUUCUAAAUGGUUGGGCCCUGAGCCAUCACGAUAAUGUCUGUGAUGUUGGAAUUGCGAGUAUUAAGUGGUCUUGCUCCAUUGUGGUCCUGCCUAGUUGGUUGAAAGUGAUAUGAUCAAUUGCCAACAUCAAAUUUUCUUUCUCUAAAUAAAUCGUUCUCUGUUGUAUAACUUUGAUAAUCACAUAAUCUUGAAAUCAACACCCAUGUCACACAUUUUAGCACAAGAGUUGUGGAAGGAGUGUAAGGUCUGUCAAUUGACAUAGUAAUAAAUGCAAUGAAUACUUUGGAAGAGAACACCAACACACACUACAAUCGUUGCAAUUCAAUCAAAAGCCUCUCACCAUUUAAUUUAAUAGAGAAGUUUUGAGAGGCAAGUACUUAAACUUGUAGAUAUCUAAGAUAGACUCUUUAUUUCAAUGAUACCCAAAAAUCUUGUAAUAGAAUCAUAUCUAUUUUAUUUUUUUUAUUUUUUUUUAUUUUUUUUCUUAUAAUGAAAGCACUGAAAACAAAAGGAACACAGUAGCAACAUCUAGUCUCUUUUUUGAAAAUACAUUAUUUUUUUACCUAAACUUUUCUUUGAGAAGGCAAUAAGAAUUUUAUUAAUUUCAAAAUGACUUGAAUAGUACUUAAGAACUUCUAAAAGAAAUUAGUACUCAACUCGUUUUAACAAAACUCAGUCCCUUACAAGUUUUUCCACAAAAGAAGUACAAAUGACUCCACUUCACAACUAUGAUUUUAAUACAAGUAGAAAAAUUUUAUCUCCAAGUAGUCAUUUAAUCAAUUAAAGAAGAGAGAAAACACACAUCUUUUAAAAAAAUAUGAAAUCAAAAAGAAUAAGUUAGCAUCUUAAAAGACAAAAUAAGAUAAUUUUUAUUAAAUUAAAGUUUGAUGAAUUUUGUUUUAUAAAAUAUCUAUAAACACAUCACAUAAUAUGACAAAUAUAUUACUUUUGAACUUAUUUUAAUUACUAAAAAAUAUUUUUUGGAUAUAUAUUCUUUUUUGUAAAUAUAAAAUUAAACUUUUUAUUAUAUAAUACUAAUGAUUUAAUAAUCCUUCUAGGAUAUCUCAAUUUCAAAACUAUAUUAAGUAUAUAUAACCAUUAUAUAAUACCAUUUCAUUAGAAGAUUAUAAACAAAGUAUAAUAAAUGCAAUCAAUUUGUUUUUUAUAAUUUGUAGUAGAUAGUGGACGACUACAUACUUGAAUUUGUACCAAGUUGCAACCAUGUAGAAGAUAGCUAAAAAUAGAAAUAUAUGCAUAAUAUUGAGUCUUGCUAUCAAAGAUUUGAUUUUCUUUGUUGAUUCUUUGAUUGAUAAUAGGACCUUUGGAUUAUUUUAAAGAACACGUCUAUUGACAAAAUGGAAAUUCCAAAUAUCUACAUGCAAAAUCAAAUACAAGAUAUAAAUAUGCUAAAAAAUGAAUGAUACUUUGCAUAUAUUAAUUAUAUUAGAUAGGUAAUAGAAGGUAAUUAGAACAUAAAAAAAGAUAAAAAUAAAAUUAUUUAAAUGCAACAAAGCUAAAUUUAUAAUAUAAUCAAUAAAUUGAAAAUGAAUAGAUGGGCAACUUGAUUUACUAAAUAAUUUAUUAUCUUUUCUUUUAGUCAAUUUUACAAUAGAUAAUAAAAACCAAAAAAUAAAUAAUGAUAAGAAUGGAUAUAUUUUAUACCACAUUACAAACACUUUAUCAAUUUCAUAUUAUAAAAUAUUGCAUAGUAAAAGACUAGUAGAAAAGAACCAAAUAAAAAAAGAGACGACCAAAUUAGAGAGAAAGAGAGAUUUUUAAGCUAGCAAUGGAAAGAAGUGGCUUCCAACCAUCCAUCCAAGAGCACCGUUAUAAUUUUAGUUUAUAAUUGAUCUAUUCUACAUGGUUAAAAUAGGGCAUCUUAAAAACCAAAAAUUACAAUAAGUAUAAUUUUUAACUUAUUUUAAUUAUCAAAUAUAAUUUUAAAAUUUUAAAAAAAUCCUUCUUCUUUACAUCUAAUAUUUUAAAAAAUAAAGCCUUAAUUCUAGCUAUCAAUCCAAAAAAUCAUUGCUAAUUCUUUAUUUUUCUUAAACUGAUGUUUCUUGACUUAUUAGAAUGAUUAUAUAUAUGGCUUUAGUACUACAAAUAUUUGAAGUAAUCUAAUGAGUAAACAAUAAAAGCUAUUCUUCCAAAGUCAAGUAAUCCAAACUACUUAGGCAAUAGAUUGUUCUUCAAUUGAAUUCUUGACAAAAAAAUUAUUUUGAUUCCAAAUUUAAUAAUUCAUCAUCAAUUAUAAAGUUGUUUUUAAGAAGAUUCUACUUGAGAAUAUUUACCUUAAAAACCAAAAUGUCAAAAUAUUAAUAAAAGAGAUAUGUGGCCUUCCAACAAUGAAUUUUAAUCCAUACUCUUGCUCAAUUGAGUGUUAACAUUAGACCUAUAGCAUGGCCAUUGACAUCAAAAGUUUCAUCUUUCAUAAUCUAUUUGCAUCAAUUAAUUCUAGAAGCAUGUAAUAUAUUGUGAAAUCAAAUAGACCACCAUAAAAUCUAUUAAAUAUUCUUUAUUGUAAAUCCUUGUUUUCAUAUUAUUGUGAUAUUUUAGCCUUAUUUAAUAAAGAAAUCUUGAAAAUCUCCUAAGCCAAUAUAACUCCCUUAUAUAUGUCAUUAAAUUCUUUAAGCUUACAUUUAGAUAUAAAAAAUCUUUUUUUAGUACCUAAAUGAUUAUAUUCAAGACUAAAAAAUAAUAAAAAUAUGAUAAUAUUAAAAAAAAAAAGUUAGCAUAUUUAACUAAUAAACCUAUUUAAGUACUUACAAUUAUUUUUAGUAUAUAUUUUAUGAUAGAAUGCAUGGCAUUGAUAAAUAAAUAAAUAAAGCAUCUAUUUUAAAUACUAAAAAACUUAUGAAGUUGAAGAAAUUAAAAAUAGAAUAAUUUAUUUUUGCUCUUAUAAUUGUCAAGCUUUGUAACUUAUGCUACAUUUAUAACAUGAUUGUACUCAUGUCCAACCCACAUAAUCUUUUAUGUACUUGGUCUUUUAUGUACUUGGUGCUUAUAAUUGAAGAGAACAAUGUAAAUGAUUAAGAUUAGAGUAGAGAGUAUAUGGCAAUAUAGAAGUUUGAUACAAUACAAGUUUAAAGAAAUAUAAUAAAGAUGACAUGGAUUAAUAUAUUGACAAAAAUAUAAAAAAUGGCAACCAAAGAGUUAAAGUGGAAAAACUCUACUAUAGUCAAAUUCAAACAAGUUUUUUAAUAAAAAAACUAAAAAUUAGAAGAGAAGUUAAAAAAUAAAAACCUUAAGAUAUAGAGACAAUUAAGAAAUAAAAGAAUUCUCAAAUAAAAAUGUGAUAUUUAAAAAUAAAAUAAAUAUAAAAAUAAAUUUCUAAAAAAUCUUUGUAUUAAAAAAUUAUGAGUAAAAAUUAUAUAAUUAUAAUUUCAAAAAUUAAAUCAAGUUUUAUUUAAAUAUAUAUUAUACUUUCUAUAAUUUUAUGAAUCAAACUAAUGUAGGUAAAUAUAGUUAUUUUAAAAAUAAUAUUAACUUAAAAAACUUGAAUAUAAGUAAAUUUUCUUAUAUUCAUAAUAAAAUUAAAAUAAAAAAUUCAUGAUAUGCUUAGAGAAAAAAAUACAAACUAUCAUAAUGUCAUAAUAUCUUGUAUAAAACUAAAUUUAGUUAAAAUAGUAUAUUAAAUAUUUAAAAAAUCAAAAUCUCCUAUUCAUAUUAUAAUAUAUAUUUGUGUAAUUUAUUUAGCUUACUUUGUGAAUUAUGUUUUUUGUAAAUUGUGGAUCAUGUAUAAAAUUAUUUUUGGAUUUUUGUCAUUGCCACUUAAAUAGUAUACUAUGAAUAGUAUGUAAAUAAAAAAAGAAGAAGAUUUUAUUUAAUAAUUCAAGGAUCACAUAAGAAAAAAAAAAAGGUAUUAGACAUUGUAAAUUAUAAGUAAAGUAUUACUAAAUAGAACUUAUUUUAAAAUAUUUGAAAAUUCUUAUUUUAAAUCCAAUUUUCAUGGCACCAAUACUUAAUAUUUUCUAUCAAAAAAUUUGCUAUUGAUAAUUCAUGCACAUAAAAUAAACUUUUAUUAUUAUUUAAAUAAAACCUAAAAUUUAGUGUUUUAUAUAAAUAUAAAUGAUUUUAUAUUAUGUACUAUAUAUAUAUAUAUAUAUAUAUAUAUAUAUAUACAUACUAGCAAAAAUUCAUGUUGUUGGAUACAGAAAUCUGUAUUCUCUUGUUUCUAUAUUCCCAUAUGUCCCUCAUUCUUAUGUUUCUUUAUUCUCAUGUUUGGCUAAUGAAAAGGCUUCUUUGUCUCUUUGUGUUACAUCCAAGCUAUUUUAUUAUAUAUAUACAUUUUAAAUAAUAUUUUUUAAAUUUAAAUAUUUAAUUACUUAUAAAAAAUAAAAUAUAUUUUAUAUAAUAGUAUUUAUAACUUUUAGCAUACAAUAUGAUUCUAUAUUAGAAAGAAUCAAAUAAGCAAAAAAAUACAAAGUAAAGAAAUAAAAGAAUUAAAGUUAAGAACAAUAUAUUAUUGCUUGAUUUAAAAAUAGAUUGAUUGUAAUCACUAUUGUAUUUAUCUUGAAGUAUUACAUACAAAAAACUAAGGUAAAAUAUUUUUUUUCUCAAUAAUUUGAUUUAAGUUGUUAUGUUAAUAUUACUUUCUUUAAUUGAUUUAUAAAUAUAUAUUUUUUAAAAUAAUAAAUAAAAAAUAGCAUCUAACAAGAGAAAUAAAAAAAAAUUAUAGCACAAAAUAUAAAAGAAUAAAGAAAAGUAUAGUAAGAAAAUAUAAACAUCUACGAUCAAUAUUGCAUUUAUAGAAAUGACUCUUGUAUGAUUUUAUUUGUGAAACAUGCAAUGACAUCUACAUAUUAAGAUUGCUCAAGGAAACAAGUGGUCGCUUUCAUUCAUUAUAUAGAUGGAUCUUUGUUUUCAUCAAAAAAAUUCACCUUUCCUAGAGUUCAUAGGUCAUUUUAUAAUUCAUCAAUCUUUAUUUUCAUCAAAAAACUUAACAUUGUUUAGAGUCCAUUAGGUAUUUUACUAUUGAUCACAUGGCAUUUUACAUUAAAGUAGUAGGAAGUGCAUGCAUCAAGGAAUUUUGUAUAUAUCUACAUAAAUGGACUCUCUUUUGGUUUCAAUGAAGGUGAUAUUCUCACAACCUUUUGAUGGAUUGAGUAUGAGAGAGGAAAAAAAAAAAAAAAAAACAAAGAGAAUACUACUACUGACAGGCUGCGGCAUUGGGAGAAAGACAAUACUAUAGAAUAUCAGAUCUCCUACAUACAUUUAAGAUGCAAUAUCAAGAUUGCAUAGAAAAAUUGAGUUGGAUUAAAAAUCUCUAAAAACAUGGCCAUUUAUCUUAAAUUCUUUUACUUGCUCAAUAUAAAAGAUACCAAAGACUUCUAUAUUUCAAAUUUCUAUGUUAACAACUAAUUUGUAAGUUUUGAAUCUAUGAGGUAUUUUAAGAUUGAUCACAUGAGGUUCAUAAGGUAUUUUAAAUUGGAGUAGUAGAAAGGAUAUGCAUCUUGGUGAGUUGGUGCUCUUUCAGGUGUUUAGCCUUAAUUCAAAGGGCCAAGUCUUUCUUUAAUGUUAGAUCCUAAAUCUCUCUUCUCCAUCUCUCUCUCUUAUACUUUGGAUAUUUGAGGUCUUAGAGUCCUUCAAAUUUUUAUUCAAUGUUGAUGAUCAUGUUUCUAUACACAAUUUAAUUUUGUUGCAAUUAUAUCAGUUGGAGCAUUAUUUGUUGGGAUUUUGGUUGAAGGCGUAGUUGGUGUAAAAUUUAGAAAUUAAGGUAUUGAUAUUAUUAGUCUUGUUGUGAAAUGUUACCAUUGGAUAUGUCACGGCCAUAAUCAUGUAAGCUAAUAAUUACAUAUAGAAAUAGGUAGAAGUAAGUAAAAGUAGAUAAAAGUAAGUUAAUUCUAUAAUAUUUAAUAUAAAAGCUUCUAGAAACUUCCUAGACGCUGCUUUGACUUCAUAGGUGUCUUUAAUUGACUUUUUGGAUUAGAAACGUGGUCAACAAGUUGGCCAUGUGCCACACAUGUUGUUAGCUUGAAGAUCAAGCUAACUAUGUGGCCCACACGUAGAAAAACUUGCCUUGUAAGUCAAGGCAUGUGUCCUACAAAGUCAACACAUAUUGGAGGUCCUAUAGAACGUCGCCACGUAGCCCCUAGUUAGAUAGUAUAUAUAGAGACAAGAGUGAAGGCUUCUUCACUCUUGUCAACUCCUUUCUUGCUUCUAGUCUAGGUUCAAGAGUCUUUAGUUUCUUGUCUUGUGGCAAUAGCCAUUCCAGUUUCCUUUUAAUAUACCUACUUGUUUAUAUUUUGACUUAUUAUAUCGAGAUAGCCUUUUGGUGUAUAUUUUCUCUCAUCGAGUCUUUGUCCUUGACAGAUUGACAAGAAUACACUUACAAUAUCAGAGCUUUGUUUUUUCUUGAGUAAGAGUGGAUUACUCCUUUCUCUUGACAAGACAUAAGCGUAUUAGAAGUUUGCGGAUUACCCACUUCUAAACUGAUAUUGUUCUUAGUAUCUUCUUUAUUAUCAAGUCUUUCUUUUCUUUUGUCUUGAGUAAUAUCAAACAAAUUUUUCUUCUUAGUGUCAUUAUGGCAGAGCUUGUUGAAUUGAAGAGUGCAAUGGCACAAAUGCAAGAGCAAAUGAGGGAGUUAAUGCUUGCGAUGCAUCAACUCAAUUCACCAACACAAGAAAGAACAAGAAUAGCAGAAAGUGGAGAUAUAGAGAUGAUCGGAGCUGCUUCAACAUCUACAACAAAUCACGUUCCUUCUCCAAUUGUACAACACCCUAUAAGUACUAGAGAACCAAGAAUUGCCUUACCUGAGAAAUUUGAUGGUACGAGAUCAAAGUUUCGAGGGUUCAUCAAUCAAGUAUAAUUGGCAAUUGAACUUCAACCGCAAAGCUAUCCAACUCCAGGAUCACAAGUCAGGUAUAUUGGCACUCUACUUUCUGGUUCUGCAUUAUCGUGGUUUUCGUCUUUUCUUGAACAACGAAAUCCAAUAUUGGACAAUUUGGAAGCUUUUUUGGCGGAGUUUCGAUCUAUGUAUGGUGAACACGAUGCAACUCGUAUUGCAACAAAUAAGAUCCAAAUUUUGCGACAAAGAAAUCGCUCAGUAACAGUAUAUGCUUCACAAUUUCGACAACUUGCAAUUGACAUCAAGUGGGAUGAUGCUGCACUCAUCAGUCAUAUUCUUUAUGGAUUGCAAUACGAAGUAAAGAAAUUGAUGCUCAACUUACCUGAUCCUCAAACUUUGAGUCAAGCAAUCGAUUUUGCGGUAAAAUGUGAUAAUCGACUUUUCGAAUUUUGAUCCGAGAAUCAUUCACAGGAACCUCAACGUUAUUACUCAAUGGCAACAUCAACAUCUUUGCCAAACGUACAUUCAGAAGUAGAAGACAUGCAAAUUGACGCGGUACGUUUUAAACCCCUAACUGAGUGUCAAGGAUAAGAACUCGAUGAAAGCUAAAGAGUAAGUGAGACUUUUCUCAAAAAAGAAAUAGGACAAAAUAGAAAUAUGUAUAUUAAGAAAGAAACUGGAAUGGCUAUUGCCAAAAUACAAGAAAACUAGAGACCCUUGAAACUAGACUAGAAGCAAGAAAGGAGUUGACAAGAGUGAAGAAGCCUUCACUCUUGUCUCUAUAUAUACUAUCUAACUAGGGGCUACGUGGCGACGUUCUAUAGGACCUCCAAUAUGUGUUGACUUUGUAGGACACAUGCCUUGACUUACAAGGCAAGUUUUCCUACGUGUGGGCCACAUAGUUAGCUUGAUCUUCAAGCUAACAACAUGUGUGGCACAUGGCCAACUUGUUGACCACGUUUCUAAUCCAAAAAGUCAAUUAAAGACACCUAUGAAGUCAAAGCAGCGUCUAGGAAGUUUCUAGGAAGCUUCUAUAUUAAAUAUUAUACAAUUAACUUACUUUUAUCUACUUUUACUUACUUCUACCUAUUUCUAUAUGUAAUUAUUAGCUUAUAUGAUUAUGGCCGUGACAUUACCCCCCAUUCUAGAGACGAGUUCCACGAGGAGCGGUCAUCAUAUAUUGAAGAAAUCUAUGAUGCGACGAAUUGUAUUCGCCACAUACUCUGAUCUCUGUUCUCUUCGAAGAUGAUUGAUAGGGCCUCUCAACCAUCGGUAGUGUCCCAUACCAGGGCGGGAAGACCACCCAGUUAUUUGAUCAUUAUUGAGGCCUUCAUAACUUCCUUCGAAUAGAAUAUUCGGAACACCAUCAGGAGUUGUUCCUACCUCUAGCAAAAUCACCAAACAUCGAGAGUCCCUUCCCAAAUCGUGAUACCAAACGCGUUGUAUCUCACCAUCUGUUCGAGGAAGAACAUGUCGUUCUUGAAGAUCUUCAUCUCGAUUGCGUCGUCUUGAAGGUUGUGACAAUCGUAAUGUCUCGUCCGGCAGGUCAGCAAACGAAGGUUCUUGAGUUGAAUCCGCUGGUUGUUGGCUCUCCAUCUAAUUAGCGUCACAAAUGUAAAGAAGUUACAAACAAGGAUAGGAAAUUGAAUGUUAUCUUGCCUCAAUCUUGUCUCUUUUAUAAGAGAGGUUUUCAUCUUGGUUUUGAUGGAUGUCGUUAAUGAAAAACUUUGACUUUAGCUGAUGCAUUUCCUAGAUUCCUGGAUGGCUCCCAUGUGCGCUCACUAAUAUCAUAUCCGCGCCAAUGAACAAGAUAUUCCAGCUUAUUUCGGCGCCGCCUUGAGUCUAAUAUCUCUUCCACCUCAAAUUCUUCAUUAUUAUCUACUUCUAUAGGAGGCGGUGGCAUUUGUCUUCUUCCUUGUAUAUCCACUGUCUUAUAUGGUUCAAGAAGAGACAUGUGGAAUACAGGAUGGAUCUUCAUUGACUCCGGUAGAUGUAACCGAUAUGCAACUGGGUUGAUCUGUUCAGAAACAGAAAAGGGGCCAAGCCUACGAUAGUCCAAUUUGUCAUAAGGUCGAGUGGUCUUGAUAUUGCGACGAAGUAGCCAUACCUUAUCACCCACGUUGAGUUGUGGUUGCUCUUUACGAUAUACAUCUGCAUUUAUCUUUUGUCGUUCUUGAGCUUUCUUCAACUGCGCCUUCAUUAUUGCAUGUAACUCUGACAACCGAUUUGCCAUGUCUUCUGCUGCAGGAUUAUCAACUUUUGAAAAAUCAAAAGUAUCAAGUCGUGGAUGAUAGCCAUAAUUGGCAAAGAAAGGUGUUUGUUGCGUGGAAGAACGUACUGUAUUAUUAUAAGCAAACUCUGCCAAUGGCAGAAGGAUUGUCCAAUCAUCUUGUUGGUAGUCGAUGGUACACCUUAAAUACUGUUCCAAGACUUGGUUUACGCGCUCUGUUUGUCCAUCAGUUUGAGGAUGGAAAGCCGAAGAUAGCUUUAUGUCUACUUUUAAAAUCUUGAAAAGGGUCCUCCAGAAUCUUGAUACAAAUUGAGUUCCCCUAUCUGAUAUGAUAUCUUUAGGUAAUCCAUGAUAGCGAUAGAUAUUAUCAAUGAAAAGCUUAGCUGUUUCUUCACCUGUGAUAGAUUUUGUACAUGGCAUAAAAUGUGCCAUCUUGGUGAAACGAUCUACUAUCACAAAUAUAGAAUCAUAAGAUCUUGAGUUUGGAAGAUCUGUGAUGAAAUCCAUAGAAACAGAAGACCAUGGUUGUUCUGGUAUAGGUAAUGGCUGAAGAAGUCCGUAAGGUCGAUGUCGAGGAAUUUUUGAUCUUGAACAAAUAUCACAUGAUUGUACAAAGUCUUUGACUAACUUCCACAUUUGUGGCCACCAAAAAUCUCUUGAUAUGAGUUCCAGAGUCUUAUUAUAUCCAAAGUGACCUGCUGCUGGAAAGUCAUGACGUGCUUGAAGAACACGCAAACGUGCUUUUCCUUCUCGAACAUAUAGGCGUCCUUCAAAAUAUAAUAGAUUAUUCUUGAACUCGAACUUAGAAGAAUCAUGAGACUUGGAAGAAUUAUUCUCGAUAUCAUAAACAAGAGGGUCUGAGGACAUACUGGACUGGAUUUGCUUGAGAAAAGUUGAAUCAACAGUCAGUGUUGAUUUCAUUGCUCGGAGAUGAAAUUGCUCCGGUUUCAAGAGGACCGUUCUUUGUUGCUCAAAAGCUGCAUCUCCUUCUUUUGGUGCAAAAUAAGAACGUCUAGACAGGGCAUCGGACAAACCUUGUUGUUUUCCUGGCCGAUAAGUGAUAAUGAACUCAAAUCUUGACAAAGACAUACUCCAACGAGCUUGACGACGAUUCAACACGCGUGCUGACAUGAAAUACUCGAGGUUCUUGUGAUCUGUAUACACAGUGACUGGACUAGAAGCACCUUCUAGAUAAUGAUGCCAUUCUUGAAAGGAAUCCACGAUUGCAAGAAGUUCUUUAUCGUGGAUCUCAUAAUUGAUCUCGGCUGCUGAGAAUUUUCUUGAAUGAAAAGCUAUCGGAUGAAGUUUGUCAUAUGUUCCCAUUUGUGAUAAAACUGCACCCAAGGCAAAAUCCGAUGCGUCUGUUUCCAUAAAAAAUGCCUUGGAAAAGUCAACACGAUAUAAGACUGGUGCAGAGACAAACGAUGUCUUCAAGGCUUCAAAUGCUGCUUCCGCUUCUUGAUUCCAUUGGAAUUUAUCUUUACUAGUCAAGCGUGUAAGUGGAGCUGCAACUCGUGAGAAGUCUUUGAUGAAGAUCCGAUAGUAAUUGGCAAAUCCCAAGAAACAUUGGACAUCUCUUACAGUCUUUGGAAUCUUCCAAUCCAUGAUUGUUUGGACUUUCUUAGAAUCCAUCAUAAGACCAUCAUUUGAAAUGAUGUAUCCUAAAAAGUCAACUUGAGUAGUGUGAAAUACACACUUUUCCAUCUUGGCGUACAAUCCUGCAUCUCUAAGUUUUUGUAAUACUUGACGAACAUGUAUUUCAUGUUCUUCAACAUUCUUAGAAUAAAUCAGGAUAUUGUCUAGGUAGCAGACGACAAAAUUGUCUAAGAAUUCACGAAAUACAUCAUUCAUGAGAUAUUGAAAAGCAGCUGGUGCAUUCGUGAGUCCAAAAGGCAUGACAUUGUAUUCAAAGUGUCCGUACCUGGUUCGAAACGCAGUCUUCCAUUCAUCUCCUUCUUUGAUCCGUACUAGAUUAUAUGCUCCUCUUAGAUCUAUUUUUGUAUAGAUCUUAGCUUGAUUUAACUGGUCAAGGAGUCCUGAUAUCAAAGGUAAUGGAUACCUGUUCUUAAUUGUGAUCUUGUUGAGUCCUCGAUAGUCAACACACAUUCGUAAAGAUCCAUCUUUUUUCUUUACGAAUAAAAUUGGAGCUCCUGCUGGAGAUUUUGAAUGGCGUAUGAAAUUCUUCGCUAAAUUCUCGUCAAUAUAUGUCUUGAGUUCAGCCAACUCAUCUUGCGAUAAACUGUAAAUUGGUCCAAAUGGUGGCUGAGUUCCUUCCUUGAGAUCGAUUGAACAAUCGUAUGGGCGAUGCUCAGGAAGAAUAUCUGCAUUCUUUUUCUCAAAAACGUCUUGAUAAUCUUGAUAUUGACUUGGAAUGCCACUUGAAGUCUUUACGCUUUCAGAAAUAGGUGCAGCAUAAAUAGCAAAAGUUGAUCCUUCUUUUGCUGCGUGUAUAAAUGCUUUUGCACCUAUAAGUGCGGGUUUUACUAUACUAGACUCAUGGUUUUUUACUUGAUUAAUAGAACUGUUACUAAUGCUCCGAGGAAAAUCAAGUUUACGAGAAAUCCAAUCUAUUCGAGGAUUAUACUUUUCUAACCAUGAUAAGCCUAAAAUUAUUGGAUUAGAGGGAGAUCUAAUUAUAUUAAAAAUUAUGCAACUACUAUGACCAUUUAUUACUACAUCUACAGGAAGUGUUUCGUGAGUUACAUCUCCAGAAGACAACGGACGACCAUCUAUGACUUCUACGUGUACAGGUUUAGUUUUUUGUAUUAAUGAUAUUCUAUGACAUCUAGCAAAUUCUUCAUCUAAAAAACAAGCUGAGGCUCCUGAAUUUAUCAAGGCAGAGGCUUUGUAAUUAUUAGGUCCUAAACGCACAUCUAUUAUAAAACAAGGAGAUGGUUCUGAGGAGAGGAUAGGACCUUCAUUAGAAGUUGUACAAGAUUCCAGCCGCACGGUCCCUAUUGUAGCUGGACGUACUCGUUUUCCGACAUACUGUCUUCUUUGACAGCCGUACUCCUUAUUUUGUAGUUACGUCGCUUCUUUGGACAAUGUUGAGCAGUGUGCUUAGGUUCUCCACAAUAUAAGCACAAUCCUUCUUGUCGACGACGAGACUUUUCUUGCUCAGUAAGAGGUUUGAAACGUACCGCAUCAAUUUGCAUAUCCUCUACUUCUGAAGGUAUGUGUUGAGGAGACGUCGGUGUUGCCAUUGAAUUGUAGUAACGUUGAGGCCCACUUGUGCGACUCUCGGAUCGAAAUUCAAAAAGUCGAUUGUCGCACUUCACAGCAAAGUCAAUUGCUUGACUCAAUGUUUGAGGAUCAGGUAAAUUAAGCAUCAAUUUCUUUACCUCAUAUUGUAAUCCGUAGAGAAAUUGACUCACAAGUGCGGCAUCAUCCCACUUGAUAUCAGUUGCAAGUUGUCGAAAUUGCGAAGCAUAUAAUAUUACUGAUCGAUUGCCUUGUUGCAAAAUACGGAUCUUCUUGAUUGCAACACGAAUUGCAUCAUGUUCUCCAAACAUGGAUCGAAACUCCGCCAAAAAAGCCUCCAGAUUAUCCAAUAUUGGAUCUCGUCGUUCAAGAAAAGAUGAAAACCAUGACAAUGCUGAACCUGAAAGAAGUGUACCAAUGAAUCUAACUUGUGACCCUGGAGUUGGAUAGCUCUGGGGUUGAAGUUCAAUCACUAGUUGGACCUGAUUGAUGAAUCCUCGAAACUUGGAUCUGGUACCAUCAAACUUCUCGGGCAAGGCAACUCUCGGUUCUCUAACACUCGAAGGGUGUUCCAUUCUGGGAGAAGGGACAUGGUUUGGUGCAGAUGUUGAAGCAGCCCCAAUCAUCUCUAUAUCUUCACUUCCUACCAUUCUUGUUGCUCCUUGUGGUGGUAAAUUGAGUUGAUGCAUCGCAAGCAUUAACUCCCUCAAUUGUUCUUGCAUCUGUGCCAUUGUACUCUUCAUUUCAACAAGCUCUGCCAUAGUAGCACUUAGAAAAGAGAAGAUGUCUAAUAACGCUCAAAACAAAUAGAAGAGAGGAAUUGAUAACAAAGAAAAAUACUAAGAACAAUAUCAGUUUAAAAGAGGGUAAUCCGCAACUUCUAAUGCGCUUAUGUCUUAUCAAGAAAAAGGGGUAAUCCACUCUUAAUCAAGAAAAGACAAAGCUCUGAUAUUGUAAGUGUACUCUUGUCAAUCUGUCAAGGACAAGAACUCGAUGAAAGCUAAAGAGUAAGUGAGACUUUUCUCAAAAAAGAAAUAGGACAAAAUAGAAAUAUAUAUAUUAAGAAAGAAACUGGAAUGGCUAUUGCCAAAAUACAAGAAAACUAGAGACCCUUGAAACUAGACUAGAAGCAAGAAAGGAGUUGACAAGAGUGAAGAAGCCUUCACUCUUGUCUCUAUAUAUACUAUCUAACUAGGGGCUACGUGGCGACGUUCUAUAGGACCUCCAAUAUGUGUUGACUUUGUAGGACACAUGCCUUGACUUACAAGGCAAGUUUUCCUACGUGUGGGCUACAUAGUUAGCUUGAUCUUCAAGCUAACAACAUGUGUGGCACAUGGCCAACUUGUUGACCACGUUUCUAAUCCAAAAAGUCAAUUAAAGACACCUAUGAAGUCAAAGCAGCGUCUAGGAAGUUUCUAGGAAGCUUCUAUAUUAAAUAUUAUACAAUUAACUUACUUUUAUCUACUUUUACUUACUUCUACCUAUUUCUAUAUGUAAUUAUUAGCUUAUAUGAUUAUGGCCGUGACACUGAGCAAGAAAAGAUUCGUCGUCGUCAAGAAGGAUUAUGUUUAUAUUGCGGAAAACCUAAGCACACUGCUCAACAUUAUCCAAAGAAACGACGCAACUAUAAAAUGAGGGGUACGACGGUCAAAGAAGACAACAUGUCGGAAAACGGAUUCGUCUAGCUACAAUAGGGACCGUGCAGUUGGAACCUUGUACAAUUCCUAAUGAAGGUCCUAUCCUCUCCUCAGAACCCUCUCCUUGUUUUAUAAUAGACUUAUAUUUAGGACCUAAGAAUUACAAAGCCUCUGCUUUAUUAGAUUCGGGAGCCUCAGCAUGUUUUUUAGAUGAACAAUUUGUUAAAAGUCGUAAAAUACCCUUUGUACAGAAACCUAAACUAGUACAUGUAGAAGUCAUAGAUGGUCGUCCCUUGUCUUCUGGAGAUGUCACUCAUGAAACUCAUCCUAUAAAAGUAACAAUAGACGGUCAUGAUAGCUACAUAGCUUUUAACAUAAUUAAAUCCCCCUCCAAUCCAGUUAUUUUAGGUUUAUCCUGGCUAGAAAAAUAUAACCCUCGAAUAGAUUGGAAUUCGCAUAAACUUGACUUUUUCCAAAGCAUUAUUAAUAGUUCUACCAACCAAGUAAAAAAUUAUAAGUCUAGUAUAGUAAAACCCGUACUGAUAGGUGCAAAAGCAUUUAUACACGCAGCACAAGAAGGAUCAACUUUUGCUAUUUAUGCUGCACCUAUUUCUGAAAACGUAAAGACUUCAAUUGGCAUUCCAAGUCAAUAUCAAGAUUAUCAAGACGUUUUUGAGAAAAAGAAUGCAGAUAUUCUUCCUGAGCAUCGCCCAUAUGAUUGUUCAAUCGACCUCAAGGAAGGAACUCAGCCACCAUUUGGACCAAUUUACAGUUUAUCACAAGAUGAGAUGGCUGAACUCAAGACAUAUAUUGACGAGAAUUUAGCGAAGAAUUUCAUACGCCAUUCAAAAUCUCCAGCAGGAGCUCCAAUUCUAUUCGUAAAGAAAAAAGAUGGAUCUUUACGAAUGUGUGUUGAUUAUCAAGGACUCAACAAGAUCACAAUCAAGAACAGGUAUCCAUUACCUUUGAUAUCAGGACUCCUUGACCAGUUGAAUCAAGCUAAGAUCUAUACAAAAAUAGAUCUAAGAAGAGCAUAUAAUCUAGUACGGAUCAAAGGAGGAGAUGAAUGGAAGACUGCAUUUCGAACCAGGUACGGACACUUUGAAUACAAUGUCAUGCCUUUUGGACUCACGAAUGCACCAGCUGCUUUUCAACAUCUCAUGAAUGAUGUAUAUCGUGAAUUCUUAGACAAUUUUUUCGUCUGCUAUCUAGACGAUAUCCUGAUCUAUUCUAAGAACGUCGAAGAACAUGAAAUACAUGUUCGUCAAGUAUUACAAAAACUUAGAGAUGCAGGAUUGUACGCCAAGAUGGAAAAGUGUAUAUUUCACACUACUCAAGUUGACUUUUUAGGAUACAUCAUUUCAAAUGAUGGUCUCAUGAUGGAUUCUAAGAAAGUCCAAAAAAUCAUGGAUUGGAAGAUUCCAAGGACAGUAAGAGAUGUCCAAUGUUUCUUGGGAUUUGCCAAUUACUAUCGGAUCUUCAUCAAAGAUUUCUCACGAGUUGCAGCUCCACUUACACGCUUGACUAGUAAAGAUAAAUUCCAAUGGAAUCAAGAAGCGGAAGCAGCAUUUGAAGCCUUGAAGACAUCGUUUGUCUCUGCACCAGUCUUAUAUCGUGUUGAUUUUUCCAAGGCAUUUUUUAUGGAAACAGAUGCAUCAGAUUUUGCCUUGGGUGCAGUUUUAUCACAAAUAGGAACAUAUGACAAACUUCAUCCGAUAGCUUUUCAUUCAAGAAAAUUCUCAGCAGCCGAGAUCAAUUAUGAGAUCCACGAUAAAGAACUUCUUGCAAUCGUGGAUUCCUUUCAAGAAUGGCAUCAUUAUCUAGAAGGUGCUUCUAGUCCAGUCACUGUGUAUACAGAUCACAAGAACCUCGAGUAUUUCAUGUCAGCACGUGUGUUGAAUCGUCGUCAAGCUCAUUGGAGUAUGUCUUUGUCAAGAUUUGAGUUCAUUAUCACUUAUCGGCCAGGAAAACAACAAGGUUUGUCCGAUGCCCUGUCUAGACGUUCUUAUUUUGCACCAAAAGAAGGAGAUGCAGCUUUUGAGCAACAAAGAACGGUCCUCUUGAAACCGGAGCAAUUUCAUCUCCGAGCAAUAAAAUCAACAUUGACUGUUGAUUCAACUUUUCUCAAGCAAAUCCAGUCCAAUAUGUCCUCAGACCCUCUUGUUUAUGAUAUCGAGAAUAAUUCUUCCAAGUCUCAUGAUCCUUCUAAGUUCGAGUUCAAGAAUAAUCUAUUAUAUUUUGAAGGACGCCUAUAUGUUCCAGAAGGAGAAGCACGUUUGCGUGUUCUUCAAGCAUGUCAUGACUUUCCAGCAGUAGGGCACUUUGGAUAUAAUAAGACUUUGGAAUUCAUAUCAAGAGAUUUUUGGUGGCCACAAAUGUGAAAGUCAGUCAAAGUCUUUGUACAAUCAUGUGAUAUUUGUUCAAGAUCAAAAAUUCCUCGUCAUCGACCUUACGGACUUCUUCAGCCAUUACCUAUACCAGAACAACCAUGGUCUUCUGUUUCUAUGGAUUUCAUCACAGAUCUUCCAAGCUCAAGAUCUUAUGAUUCUAUAUUUGUGAUAGUAGAUCGUUUCACCAAGAUGGCACAUUUUGUGCCAUGUACAAAAUCUAUCACAGGUGAAGAAACAGCUAAGCUUUUCAUUGAUAAUAUCUAUCGCUAUCAUGGAUUACCUAAAGAUAUCAUAUCAGAUAGGGGAACUCAAUUUGUAUCAAGAUUCUGGAGGACCCUUUUCAAGAUUUUAAAAGUAGACAUAAAGCUAUCUUCGGCUUUCCAUCCUCAAACUGAUGGACAAACAGAGCGCGUAAACCAAGUCUUGGAGCAAUAUUUAAGGUGUACUAUCAACUACCAACAAGAUGAUUGGACAAUCCUUCUGCCAUUGGCAGAGUUUGCUUAUAAUAAUACGGUACAUUCUUCCACGCAACAAACACCUUUCUUUGCCAAUUAUGGCUAUCAUCCAUGACUUGAUACUUUUGAUUUUUCAAAAGUUGAUAAUCCUGCAGCAGAAGAUAUGGCAAAUCGGUUGUCAGAGUUACAUGCAAUAAUGAAGACGCAAUUGAAGGAAGCUCAAGAACGACAAAAGAUAAACGCAGAUCUAUAUCGUAAGGAGCAACCACAAAUCAACAUGGGUGAUAAGGUAUGGCUACUUCGUCGCAAUAUCAAGACUACUCGACCUUGUGACAAGUUGGACUAUCGUAGGCUUGGCCCCUUUUCUGUUUCUGAACAGAUCAACCCAAUUGCAUAUCGGUUACAUCUAUCGGAGUCAAUGAAGAUCCAUCCUGUAUUCCAUGUGUCUCUUCUUGAACCAUAUAAGACAGUGGAUAUACAAGGAAGAAGACAAAUGCCACCGCCUCCUAUAGAAGUAGAUAAUAAUGAAGAAUUUGAGGUGGAAGAGAUAUUAGACUCAAGGCGGCGCCGAAAUAAGCUGGAAUAUCUUGUUCAUUGGCACGGAUAUGAUAUUAGUGAACGCACAUGGGAGCCAUCCAGGAAUCUAGGAAAUGCAUCAGCUAAAGUCAAAUUUUUUCAUCAACGACAUCCAUCAAAACCAAGAUGAAAAUCUCUCUUAUAAAAGAGACAAGAUUGAGGCAAGAUAACAUUCAAUUUCCUAUCCUUGUUUGUAACUUCUUUGCAUUUGUGACGCUAAUUAGAUGGAGAGCCAACAACCAGCGGAUUCAACUCAAGAACCUUCGUUUGCUGACCUGCCGGAUGAGACAUUUCGAUUAUCACAACCUUCAAGACGACGCAAUCGAGAUGAAGAUCUUCAAGAACGACAUGUUCUUCCUCGAACAGAUGGUGAGAUACAACGCGUUUGGUAUCACGUUUUGGGAAGGGACUCUCGAUGUUUGGUGAUUUUGCUAGAGGUAGGAACAACUCCUGAUGGUGUUCCGAAUAUUCUAUUCGAAGGAAGUUAUGAAGGCCUCAACAAUGAUCAAAUAACUGGGUGGUCUUCCCGCCCUGGUAUGGGACACUACCGAUGGUUGAGAGGCCCUAUCAAUCAUCUUCGAAGAGAACAGAGAUCAGAGUAUGUGGCGAAUACAAUUCGUCGCAUCAUAGAUUUCUUCAAUAUAUGAUGACCGCUCCUCGUGGAACUCGUCUCUAGAAUGGGGGGUAAUGUCACGGCCAUAAUCAUAUAAGCUAAUAAUUACAUAUAGAAAUAGGUAGAAGUAAGUAAAAGUAGAUAAAAGUAAGUUAAUUGUAUAAUAUUUAAUAUAGAAGCUUCCUAGAAACUUCCUAGACGCUGCUUUGACUUCAUAGGUGUCUUUAAUUGACUUUUUGGAUUAGAAACGUGGUCAACAAGUUGGCCAUGUGCCACACAUGUUGUUAGCUUGAAGAUCAAGCUAACUAUGUGGCCCACACGUAGAAAAACUUGCCUUGUAAGUCAAGGCAUGUGUCCUACAAAGUCAACACAUAUUGGAGGUCCUAUAGAACGUCGCCACGUAGCCCCUAGUUAGAUAGUAUAUAUAAAGACAAGAGUGAAGGCUUCUUCACUCUUGUCAACUCCUUUCUUGCUUCUAGUCUAGGUUCAAGAGUCUUUAGUUUCUUGUCUUGUGGCAAUAGCCAUUCCAGUUUCCUUUUAAUAUACCUACUUGUUUAUAUUUUGACUUAUUAUAUCGAGAUAGCCUUUUGGUGUAUAUUUUCCGUCAUCGAGUCUUUGUCCUUGACAGGAUAUUACAUUUUGGAGAGAAAGAAUUUUAAAAUUGUAAAUUAUCAAUUCAUGAAUGAAAUCUCAGAGUUAAGGCAAGCAUACGAUGAUAAUCGAGAGUUGUGGCAUAGUAUGACUAUUACAAAAGAGAUUAACUGAACAUGAUCAAUAGAAUAUGUUAUGCUAGAGUUUAACUAAACGUGGAAAAAUUUAGCAAUGCAUUAUUUGUUGCAUGCAUGCAAUCCAAUUGAAGGUGAAGUUUGGUCCUUGAUGGAGAAGAAGACAUGACUGUAUUUUUUUUUGUGUUUUCUUGAAGUUGCAUUGUGUACUUAUAACAUCUACCAAAAGUUUUUAUUAUUUAUACUAUGGAUAUGUGUGUAUUGUGUUUGAGCUUCUGUCAAAGAAUUUGUGAGUGAAAGUACAAAAGGAAGGUAAGUUAUAAUUUAUAUUAAAAGAAAAAAUUGACAAAAUUCAAAGAUUUCAAAAACCAUGCUUUCCAUUCUUUUUAAAUUAUGUUACUAAGCUUUGCAUUGCAAAGUUAGAAUAUUUUUAGAUAUUUCAGAAUUUUCAAAAAUUUAUAUGUAUUUCAUUGCAUUACAUUUUAGAACUUUUAUUGUGCUUUACAUUAUAGAGUAUUAUACAAAAAAUUACAUAAGAAAAUUUUAUGUAAUUUUUGAAAUAUGUAAUCAUCAUUAUGUAAAACAACACUCAAAAUAGCAGUAUGUGCCUUGUUGUCAAGCAAUGAUUGUUCCAAAUAGAAAGGAUUAGCUUUUUUAAUUGAAACUUCUUGAGUGGAGUAUGAUUACAAGGAAAUUAAUUUUUAAAAGAAAAUUGAACAAGAUCUACUAAGACAAAGGAAUUUGUGUUGAAAGACCAUAUUUAAUUUAAUUUUGGUAGUGUUGGCUUCUAGAAAAUAAUUACAAUUCUAUCUGAAGAUGUCAAUAUUUUCUUUUUAAAAUUAGUUACAGCUUUGUUCUAAAGGAUAUAUGAUAGAUGAAGAAUGUGGUCACUAGUGAAAAAAUGGAUAGUGUUGUGUUUGAGCUCACAGAGAACCAACUCCAAUAUAUUUCAUGCAAUAUCAUUUUAUAAACAAAAUUCUUGAACAACAUAAUUUUAUUGGAAUUUUCCAAGUAUUAUCAAUUGCAACAAGAACUAUAUUGUAUUGUUAAUUGGGUUCAUCUAGUCUCUUAUAUAAAACUACUCAAAGAGAUAAACCAAUGGGAUAAACCACAAGAGACAAAAACCAUCUCUAAUUGAUUGCAUAUCUCAUUGUUUUUCAUCACAAGUGAAGCAAUAAUUCAACUUUUGAUGAAUUAUAGAUCAAAAUUUGCAUGUAGCUGAUGUAGAUUGCCAAGAAUAGCACUAUGAUAUCACUAGGAGCAGAGGUUAGAAGCUCCCACUUGUAAUUUAGUAAAUAUUUUCCAGUACAUAUUUUUUUGUGCCCAAUGGCACAUGUUUUCACUAGUUAUAAAUAAUAGACAAACAAAUGUGACUUCAAUUAUGAAAAUCUCCACACAAAAGCCAAAAUACCAGACAUCAAAGAAGAACAGAAACGAUGUCAGAGUAACGAACUGUGCGUGGACCUCGAAAAAGCAAAAAGCCCAAGUCGGGCAAAAGCCGAGGCAUAAUUGGCAGGACGGGCAGCAGGGCCAUGCUGGAGCAAGAUGAGAGUGAUAACGACGAGGAUGGGGAUGGAUGUCCACAUCGGCUAGGUCUUCCCACACAUCGCCCCCAACCCCCCCCCUCUCAACCACGCGCGCAACCACGCCCCUUGAGGAGUUCUGCCAGCACUGUGGCCGUUGGAUCGAGGAUCUGACGGCUGACCCAUGAGACGAAGCCCUUGAAGGCGCUGCGGCGAGAAUUGCCCAUUCCCUUUCGAUUUCAGAGCUCUCAGUGAGAGCUUCCUCUGCUGCCAUCACUGUUGGAGUUGCGCCAACUUGUUUUACGACUCUCAGGUACGUUCUGGCUUGGUGUGGUUCGAGCUUUCGUGUAUGAGUGUUUGUCUGUGUGUGAGAGAAAGGUCUGAGGGUGUUGUUUUGACAUUGAUGGACGAUGGGGGGAUUGGUGCUGUGUCUGAGAGUUGUACGUGAAUGCCGUGGCUUUUGAUGCGAGUGAAUGGUGGGGUGAGUAUCAGUUAGGCUGAAAUUCUUUCGUGAGAGGGUGGGAGUUUUUAUCGCUGUUUGAGUGAGGGAGAGAGAUCAGGUGGAGAGGAUUUCAGAGCGUGGAGUAAGGUUCUGUUUAGGGUUUGGAACGUGGUUGUGAGCAGAUGAUCCAUUGCACAUCAUCUGCUUCAUUCUCUGUUUAGUGAUGAAUUGGAAUUUGGUGCGGGGUAUUUUGGCAGACAGUUGAGCAAUCAUGGGUAAGGAGAAGGUGCACAUCAAUAUCGUGGUCAUCGGCCAUGUCGACUCUGGCAAGUCGACGACCACUGGGCACCUCAUCUACAAGUUGGGAGGUAUCGACAAGCGUGUGAUCGAGCGUUUCGAGAAGGAGGCGGCGGAGAUGAACAAGCGUUCGUUCAAGUAUGCGUGGGUGCUGGACAAGCUGAAGGCAGAGCGCGAGCGUGGUAUCACGAUUGAUAUUGCGCUGUGGAAGUUCGAGACCAUGAAGUACUACUGCACUGUGAUCGACGCGCCCGGACAUCGCGAUUUCAUCAAGAACAUGAUCACGGGAACGUCGCAGGCAGACUGCGCUGUGCUGAUCAUCGACUCGACGACGGGAGGGUUCGAGGCCGGUAUCUCGAAGGAUGGGCAGACGCGUGAGCACGCACUGCUGGCGUUCACUUUGGGAGUGAAGCAGAUGAUUUGCUGCUGCAACAAGGUGAGUUGAGAAGACACGGCACAGUGUAUAUUUGUAUGGGGUCAGUGAGACUGGAUUGGGUCUGAGCACGGUGUCUGUGAGAGCCGUGAGGUGUCACGGCACAAUGAGAUAAAGUGGUGAUUUUAGGAGUAGGGUGUAUGGGUAUUGGUGUAUUUGAGGGCUGAUGUUGGACUAUGUGUGGAUGGUAGAUGGACGCGACCACCCCGAAGUACAGCAAGGCCCGAUAUGAGGAGAUCGUGAAGGAGGUGUCGGCGUACCUGAAGAAGGUGGGGUACAACCCGGAGAAGGUUCCGUUCGUGCCGAUCUCAGGGUUCGAGGGCGACAACAUGAUCGAGAGGUCGACGAACCUGGACUGGUACAAGGGCCCGACUCUGUUGGAGGCGUUGGACAACGUGUCAGAGCCGAAGCGGCCAUCUGACAAGCCUCUGAGGCUGCCGCUUCAGGACGUGUACAAGAUUGGAGGCAUCGGAACUGUGCCAGUGGGACGGGUGGAGACAGGAAUCAUCAGGCCAGGUAUGUUGGUGUGCUUCGCACCGACGGGACUGACGACUGAGGUGAAGUCGGUGGAGAUGCAUCACGAGUCGAUGCCUGAGGCGCACCCAGGUGACAACGUCGGGUUCAACGUGAAGAACGUGGCGGUGAAGGACCUGAAGAGAGGGUACGUGGCCUCAGACUCGAAGAACGACCCUGCCAAGGAGGCAGCCAACUUCACGGCGCAGGUUAUCAUCAUGAACCACCCGGGACAGAUCGGGAACGGUUACGCACCAGUGCUGGAUUGCCACACGUCGCACAUUGCGGUGAAGUUCGCGGAGAUCUUGACGAAGGUGGACAGGCGAUCGGGUAAGGAGCUGGAGAAGGAGCCGAAGUUUUUGAAGAACGGGGACGCAGGGUUCGUGAAGAUGAUUCCGACGAAGCCGAUGACAGUGGAGACGUUCGCGGAGUACCCACCAUUGGGACGUUUCGCGGUGCGUGAUAUGAGGCAGACGGUGGCUGUGGGUGUUAUCAAGGCCGUAGAGAAGAAGGAACCCACCGGCGCCAAGGUGACGAAGGCCGCUGCGAAGAAGAAGUGAAUAGUGCGGGAAGGGGGUGAAGGCGAGGCGGAGAAGGGGGCGGAGUGGCGGUGGUGGGUGGAGAGGUGGAUGUGGAGCAUAGAGUUGCUGACUUUGAGUGGUUGGUCGAUAUAUUUGUUGCAAGCGCGACAGAGGCAGACUUGGGUACUUGACAGGAGAUGGCAGGGCAUAGUGGGUACGAGGGCAUGGGUGUAAGAGAGAGGGAAAUAAAAGAGUAUACUAUUUCUAAGUAAAAAUGCGUGGCGUUUUUUUGAUGUGGUUGGUGCUUGUGGAAUGCUGGAUGUGUGGGUAUUCAAAGAGAUGGUGUGAUUCCUUCUGGAUUGGGUACGUUGGCGUGAGUUUGGCUUUCAUGCGUGUGAUUGUGUCAUGCCCUAAAUUAUAGAGAAGCUUACUGAAACACUAAUUUUGUUGUCGGUGGUUUGUAUGGCCUGGCCGGUUUUGUCGUUUUGUUGUGUAGGGUUUUUUUUUGUGCCACUUUCUGGCUUAUGCAGUGUUUGGGUGUUCAAUUUCCGCCGAGGAUAAACAGCGGUCAAUCGAACAUUGUGGGAUGUCUAGAGAAAUGAUUAUGUGAUGGUCGUUGUGAAGCUAUGUCGCAUGAAAUAAGGUUGAGGUUUCGUGCUUAUUUGUGAGUAUUAAUCACACGUCUAUUUGAAUGAUGUGUACCUUGAUUCUGGAGUGAACUAUUUGUAGGCCUUCUUAUGACCAAUUUGUGAAAAGCUUAGGAACGUAGGGGACAGGAUGAAUCAUUCAACACUGAUACGCUGUGCAGCUUUGAAACAAUGCCAUUUCACAGUCAAAUUGCCUACCACUCUUAUGUCGAUGUGAAGGUCUUCAAUGAGCAUGUAUUGAUCACUUUUGUGACACAAUUUGACCUGGUUGAUUUGAAUGUUCCGAACAAUUCAACCAGUAAGCUUCUCUAUUAUUUCGGGCACGACACCAUAUAUGUCGCCGAGAGCUAUCUGUUCCAACCCCAUAUUCUAACUCUCUUUCUCCAGCACGCUUUGCUCAAUUCUGUGAGUGUAACCCAAAGAACUUUUUCUAUCUUGUCUUCUGCCUAUUUUAGCUAUCUAAAUCUUUUGUCAUUAUACUGUUUUAAAAUGGUCUACAAAUAAGAUCAAACAAUUAGAGGCUAAAAUACUUUUAUAUCUUAAAAGUUGAUGAAAAUGUCACCAAAUAUUGUUUGUUGUGAACUUGUUGUAUAUUUGUUUUACAAAGAUGGUGUAGAAAAAUUGUCCUCUAGUUCCAAGGUAUUUGGUGAGUAGGGAUUUUCCAAAAUUUGUAGAUGAUUGUUAUGGAAUAUUUGUAGUGCAAAGAAAAUAAACAUUGUGAAUUCCUUGACCUAGUUUUUUUCUCCAUGUAUUUUUUGUAGUGCCUUUGUAACAAACUAGCCAAAUCAAAAUUGAUUCAUGUUUUGGUCAUGUUUUAUUUUAAAUUUUGGUCCACUUUAUCUCUAAGGUUGGUUGAAACAUUUCACAAUAUUUUGUGAUUUGAAUUUGAACAAUAAUAAGAUGUUGCCUUAAAAGUUGUUUUUACUUUUUGGCAUUGUAUACAUCCAAAGAACAAUUGUCUCUAAAUGUGAAGUUAUUGAAAUCAAACUUUAGUAUUUGUACUUGAUCGAAGAAUAUUGAAGUUAAAUUGCAGCCUAGUUUUAUUCCUUGCUAGGCCUCCACUCUUCAAAGAUACAUUAAUAUUGCCUCCCAAUUAUCUAUGUCUAUUUAGGUAUGAAGUUCAUUUAUAAUAGUUACUCUUAUGUCUUUUUAUAAGAUAUAAUUGAAUUUAUUAAAUAUAAAUAAACAAAUAAAAUAUAUAUAUAUAUAUAUAUAUAUAUAUAUAUAUAUUGCAUCUUAUUAGAGCAUAAGAAGAAAGUUGUUCCUUUCUUGCCAAUCCUUUUUUUCUUUGAAAAUUUGGAAUAAGGAAUAAGACCAUGUUAAGUUAUCAUUGCUAUAAUCAAAUAUAACCUAUGUCUUAAUAAUUAUCUUAUUAAGCCAUCAAUAAUCUAUAUAUAUUUGCUACAACUUGUCUUUUUUCUAUACAAAAAAGAUUAAAGAUCUAAUAAAAAAAUUUGAAUGGUGUAUUACAUUCUUGGUCAAAUUUUCAUUAGUAUAUUCCUUGAGUGAAGUCAUUUCAUUUUGCAAUGAGCUAUAGAUUGAUCCAAUAUAGUGAUUGAGUCAUUUCUUGAAGAUCAAUUGAGCAGUCACAAGGACAAUGCUUUGUUAGAAUAUCUGCAUUUUUCUUUUCAAACAUGUCUAAAUAUUCUUAAUAUUAUUUUGGAAGUUUCUUGAUAUCUUUCUACCAUAAAAAAUUGGUGCCACAUAAAUAACAAAUGUUAAUCCUUCUUUUGUAGCUUACAUUAUUAUUUUUGUUUCUACAAAUAAUAACUUAGUUGUUCUAGUCUUAUAACAAAUUAUUUAGUUAGAGACAUCUUUAGAUAUAUUAUAAUAAAAAUAAAAAUUACAAGAGAUCUAAUCUAUUUAAAGGUUAUACUUUCUUAAUCAUAAUAGAUCUAAAAUAACUAUAAUAAUAGAAGAUCUAAUAAUAUUAAAUAUUACUAAGCUAUUAUCAUCUUUUGUUAUUAUGUCUAUAGAAAUGGUUUUAUGAAAAAACAUCUCCAAAAGACAAUAGUCAACCAUUUAUAACUUCUACAUAUAUUAGUUUAUUUUAUUUUUUCUUAUUAGUAUUCUAAAUUUUUUAAUCAAUAUUUUAUUUUUUAAAAAAAAAAUUAGACUUCUAAAUCUAAUAAGGUAGAAUAUUUUAUUUUAUUUUUAGAUCAUAAAUAAAUAUUUGCUAUAAUACAAGAAGAAGAUUUUGAAGAAAGAAUAGAAUUUUAUAAGAUGUUUUAGACAAAUCUAACAUGACAAUCCAUAUUGUAGUUAGGAAGACUUAUUUUCAAACAUAUUGUCUUUCAUAACAACCAUGCUCUUCAUUUUAAAGUUAUAACACUUCUUAGAACAAUGUUGAACAAUGUAUUUGUGUUUUCCACAAUAUAAACAUAAUUGUUUUUGAGAACAUCAAUAUUUUUUUUAUUUAGUAAGAAAAUUAAAGAAUAUUUUAUGAAUUUACAUAUCUUCUAUUUCAAAAUGCAUAGAUUAAGAAGGUAUUGGAAUAACAAUGAAAUUUUAAAGAUAUUGUGACAUAUUUGUAUAAUUUCUAGAUCAAAGUCCAAAAAAUUAAUUAUUAUAUUUUAUAGAAAAUUUAAUUAAUUGACUCAAUGUUUAAAGAUCAUAUAAGUUUAGCAUCAAUUUUUUUACUUUAUAUUUCAAUUUAUAGAAAAAUUAGUUAAUAAUUGUAUCAUCAUCCCACUUAAUAUUAAUUUUUAGUUGUUAAAAUUAAUAUAUAUAUAUAUAUAUAUAUAUAUAUAUAUAUAUAUAUAUUGAAUGAUUUUCUUGAUAUAAGAUAUGAAUUUUAUUGCUAUGAAUAAUAAAAAUUAUAACAUGACAAAAAAUAAAAGUAAUUUUUAAAUAAAUAUAACUUAUAAUCUUAUGAAUGGAUAGCUUUGGAAUCGAAGCUUAAUUGCUAGUUACACUUGAUUGAUAAAUCUUUGAAAUUUUGUUCUUGUACCACCAAACUUCUAAAGUAAGCAAAUUUUUAUUUUUUUAACAAUAAUAAUAAUGCUUGUAGGAUGCUUUAUCAUAAGAUUUUUUUAUAGUAUAGACCUAGAUGUUUGUGUAGCUCGAAUAGCUCUUUAUCUUUAUUUUCAACCAAUCUUAAUAUUGCUUGUGGCAAUGAAGUAAGUUGAUGCAUAAAAAAUGUUAACUCUUUAAUUUAUUCUUGCAUUUGUAUCAUUACAUCUUUUAUCGUUGUAAAAUAUAUUAUUAUUAUAUAAUAGGAAAAAAUGACAUCUAUUACUUAUGAUAAGAAGUUAAAAAGGAUUAUGAAUAAAAUAGAAAUAUUCUAAAAAUAAAAUAGAAAUAGAAGUAGAUAAUCUACAACCUCUAAUAUACUUAUAUCUAAUGAAGAAAAAUAGAUAAUCUAUUUUAAAUUAAGAAAAAUAAAACUCUAAUCUUAUAAGUGUAUUCUUAUCAAUAUAUUAAGGAUAAGAACUUAAAGAAUGUAAAUAAAUAAGUGAUAUAUAUAUAUAUAUAUAUAUAUAUAUAUAUAUAUAUAUAUAUUUUAUAUUUUCAAGAAGAAAUUAGAAUGGCCAUUAUCAAAAAUAAAAAAAACUAAAGACUCUUGAAACUAGACUAGAAGCAAUGACAGAGUUGAUAAGACUGAAGAAGAUCUCACUUUUAACUCUGUAUAUAAUAUCUACUAAAGAAUUACUUAAUAACACCUUAUAAGCUACCUGACAUAUUUUUAAUUUACAAGGCAUGUGUUAUAGAUAUAUAAAGAAUAUUCUAAAAUCUUAAAAAAUAUUCUAUAUUAUAAAAUAUUUUUCUAAAAUAUUAUAAAAACUUGUUAGAAGUAUAUAGUGUACAAAUUAGAAACUAAACUAUAUUAAAUGGCAUCUUAAAAAAAAAAAAAAAUCUAAAAUAGCUUAAAAAUUAAGCUAUGUAAUUUAACUUGGACGGCAAGUCAUUUUAAGAAGCUCCUUGAGAGGCUUCUUGAAACUUGGCCAAUAUGUCAUCUACUAGCUUACAUAAAAGACAUGAGAGGCUUGGACUUCAAGCCUUAAGUCUCACAAGUAGUAUAAAUAGAGACAUGAUCGAGGCCUUCCUUAGUCUUAUCAAUUCAUCUUUUGAAUUUGUUCUUCUAAUGGCCUUUAGGCUCUUUUUUAUAUUAAUCAUUGGUUGUUGUCUUUUUAGUUAUUUUUUAUUUUUAUUUAUUUAUAUAUAUAUAUAUAUAUAUAUAUAUAUAUAUAUAUAUAUAUAUAUAUAUAUAUAUAUAUCUCUUAGACUUUAGUGCUUGAAACUAAUUCUUUUUUUUAUUGAAGUUUUAGAUGUGUCUCUAACAAUUUGAUUAGACUAUUGUUUUUGUUUCUAGAAUUAUUUUGUGUUGAAAACUAAGUAGAUUAUCCCACUUCUUAAGUGUUAUUUUGUAUUAAGAAUUCAAUGAAUUAUUCUAUUUCUUUGGUAUUAUUUUGUAUUAAUAAGUGAGUGGACUAUCUUGCUUCUUAGGUAUGGUUUUGUAUUGAGAAGUGAGUGGACUAUUCCACUUCUUAUGUAUUAUUUUGUAAUAAAAAGUAAGUGGAUUACUCUACUUUUUAAAUAUUUUUUUAUUAAGAAUAUUAUUACAAAUGAAAAAAAUUAAAUAUGCAUAAAAGAAGUGAUAAUAUAUUUGUUACAAUUGUACAAUUUAAUGAUCUUUUUAAUACUCUUUGAGCUAAAAUACCACAUACAAGUACCUCUAAUUAUAGGAGUCUUGUUUUAAUACCUAUAAAAGAAGUUAAUAACAAAAUUUAAAGUUUGUGCUAAAUUUUUUUAUAAUUAUAAGAAGUAAGUAUAAGUAGGUAAGCAUCACAAUUCGAUCCUAGAAUUGUUUCUAUAAAAAGUUUAAAGGAAUGAAAGACAAGUAAGUUAGAGAAAUUUAAUGGUAUUAUAUCAAAUUUUCAAGAAUUUUUGUUACAAGAGCCAAUUUGAUUCUUCAUCAUCUAUUCCUAUUAUUUGGGGCUUCUAAUUCAUCUUUCAUUUAUUUUUUGAAAUCUUUUCUUUUUAGUAUUUGGUACCUCAUCUCUAACCAUUUUUAAUCAAGUAUUAUAUAUUUAUUUUUAAUAUUUAAUGUGCUUUGUUUGAUAUUUAAGUUUUUUCUGAAUAGAUGUCAAGAAUAUGAACUAAAAGAUGAUGCAUAAAUCAAUGAAAUUUUUAUAAAAAAAAGUAAAAAAAUAGAAAUAAAAAAGUACGUAUAUUAAAAAAAAACUAGAAUAGCUUAUUGCCAAAAGACAAGAAAAUUUAAGACUCUUGAAACUAGACUAGAAGCAAGAAAAGAAUUGACAAGAGUGAAGAGGGCUUCACUCUUGUCUCUAUAUAUACUAUCUAAUUAGGGGCUAUGUAGCGAUGUUCUAUAAGACCUUUAAUAUGUGUUGACUUUGUAGGACACAUGCCUUGACUUAUAAGACAAAUUUUUCUAUAUGUUUGCCACAUAGUUAGCUUGUUCUUCAAGCUACCAAUAUGUAUGGCACAUGAUUGACUUGUUGACCAAGUUUCUAACCUAGAAUUCAAUAAUGGACACUUAUAAAGUCAAAGCAAUGUCUAUGAAGCUUCUAAGAUGCUAUUUUAGAAGAUAUUAUAGAAUUAACUUACUUUUAUAUACUUCUAUCUAUUUCUACUUAUUCAUAUAGAUAAUUAUUGGCUUACAUGUGUAUGUAUGUGACAUUAUCUUCCUUUCUAGGGAUGAAUUCUACAAGGAAUGGUCAUCAUAUGUUGAAAAAAUCUAUGAUUUGACAAAUUAUAUUUGCCACAUACUUAGAUCUUUGUUUUCUUUAAAGAUGGUUGAUAGGGCCUCUCAACUAUUGAUAGUGUCACAUAUCAAGGUGGAAAGACCACCAUGUUAUUUAGUCAUUAUUGAGGCCUUUAUAACUUUGUUCAAAUAAAACAAUUGGAACACCGUCAAGAGUUGUUUCUACCUCUAAUAAAAUUACCAAACAUCAAAAGUCUCUUCCAAGGUUGUGAUACCAAAUACAUUGUAUCUCGCCACCUAUUCGAGGAAAAAUAUGUCAUUCUUGAAGAUCUUCAUCUCAAUUGUAUCAUCUUGAAGUUUGUGACAAUCAUAAUGUCUCAUCCUGUAGGUUAGAAAAUGAAUGCUCUUUAGCCAAAUCCAUUAGUUGUUGGUUUUUCAUCUCUUUAGCAUCACAAAUACAAAGAAGUCACAAACAAGGAUUGAAAGUAGAAUAUUAUCUUGCAUAGAUCUUGUUUUCUUUAUAUAAAAGAUCUUCAUGUUAAAUUUGAUGGAUGUCAUCGAUGAAAAGCCUCCACCUUCUUUACUGCAUUUGCAAGAUUCUUUGCUAACUUCCAUGUGUAUUCACUAAUAUUGUAUUUGUAGCAUUGAAUAAGAUAUUUUAACUUAUUUUGGUGCCACUUUAAGUCUAAGACUUCUUCCACUUCAAAUUCUUCAUUAUUAUCUACUCUUAUAAGAAGAAGUAACACUUGUCUUCUUCUUCAUAUGUCCAUUAUCUUGUAUGAUUCAAAAGGAAACAUGUAGAAUACUAGAUGAAUUUUUAUUAAUUUCAAUAGGUAUAAAUGAUAUGCAAUUGGAUUGAUUUGUACAGAAAUAGGAAAUGGUCUAAGCUUACGAUAGUCCAACUUGUCACAAUGAUGAGUAGUCUUGAUAUUAUGAUAAAAUAAUCAUACCUUGUUACCCAUGUCAAAUGAUGGUUGUUUCUUUCGAUAGACAUGUCUAUUGAGCUUUUGUUGUUCUUGAACUUCUUUUAACUACUCCUUUAUUAUUGUAUGUAGCUCUGACAAAUAAUUUGCUAAAUCUUUCGUUAUAGGAUUAUCAGCUUUUAAAAAGUCAAAAGUGUCAAAUCAUGGAUAAUAACCAUAAUUGAAAAAAAAAAAUGUUUGUUUUGUAGAAAAAUAUAUUGUGUUAUUAUAAAAAAACUUUGCCAAUGGCAAAAGAGUUGUCCAAUCAUCUUAUUGGUAGUUGAUACUAUAUCUUAAAUACUGCUCAAAAACUUGAUUAAUAUGCUUUAUUUGUCCAUUAGUUUGAAGAUGGAAUACCAAAGAUAGUUUUAUAUCUAAUUUUAGAAACUUAAAAAGAAUGUAUCAAAAUCUUAAUACAAAUUGAGUUCUCCUAUUUAAUAUAAUAUCCUUGGAUAAUCCAUGAUAGUAAUAGAUGUUAUUAAGAAAAAAUUUAGUUGUUUCUUCACUUGUGAUAAAUUUUGUACACGGUACAAAAUGUGCCAUCUUGGUAAAACGAUCUACUAUCACAAAUAUAGAGUCAUAAGAACCUAAGAUUGGAAGAUCGAUGAUGAAAUCCAUUGAAACAGAAGUCUAUGGUUGUUUUGGAAUGGAUAAUGGUUAAAGAAGUCUGUAAGGUUGAUGACAAGGAGUUUUUUAUCUUGAACAAAUGUUGCAUGAUUGAACAAAGUCUUUUAUACCCUUUCACAUUUGUGGCCACCAAAAAUCUCUAGAUAUAAGCUCCAAAGUCUUGUUGUAUCCAAAAUGUCAUGCUGCUAAAAAGUUGUGACGUGCUUGAAGAAUACGUAAUCGUGCUUCUUCUUUUGGAACAUAUAAUUGACCUUCAAAAUAGAAUAAGUUGUUUUUGAACUCAAACUUAGAAUUAUUUUGGAACUUAAAAGAAAGAUUCUUGAUAUUGUGAAUAAGAGGAUCAGAAGAUAUACUUGAUUGGAUUUAUUUUGUAAAGAUUGAAUCAACAAUUAAUGUUGAUUUCAUUACUCAAAGAUGAAAAUACUCUGGCUUUAAGAAAAUCAUUCUUUGUUGAUUAAAAGAUGCAUCUCUUUCUUUUGGUGAAAGAUAAGAACGCUUAAAAAGGAAGUCUGACAAAUCUUGUUAUUUUUCAAGUCGAUAUGUGAUCUUGAAAUCAAAUCUUAAUAAAGACAUGCUCCAACGGGCUUGGCGACAAUUCAAAAUACAUGCUGACAUGAAAUACUCGAGAUUCUUAUAAUUUGUAUACAUGGUGACUAGAUUGGAAGCGCCUUCUAGAUGAUGACACAAUUCUUCAAAUGAAUCCACAAUUAGAAGAAGCUUUUUUUCAUGGAUUUCAUAGUUAAUCUCGGUUGCUAAAAAAUUUCUGGAAUGAAAAGCUACUAGGUGAAGUUUAUCAUCUAUUCUCAUUUGUGAUAAUACGGCAUCCAAAGCAAAGUCUAAUACGUCUGUUUCUAUAAAAAAUGCCUUAAAAAAGUUGACACAAUACAAGGUUGGUGCAAAAAUAAAGGUUGACUUCAAAGCUUCAAAAGAUGCUUCAACUUCUUUGCUCCAUUUGAAUUUGUCUUGGCAAGUCAAAUGUGCAAGUGGAAGUGUAACUUAAGAUAAGUCUUUGAUGAAGAUCCAAUAAUAAUUGGCAUAGCCCAAAAAAUAUUAGAUAUCUCUUAUCGUUUUUAGAAUCUUUCAAUCUAUAAUAAUUUGAACUUUUAAAGAUCCAUCAUAAGUCCAUCAUUUGAAAUGAUAUAUCUUAAGAAGUCGACUUGAGUAGUGUGAAAUAUACACUUUUCUAUCUUGGUAUAGAGUCUUGCAUGUCUUAAUUUUUGUAACACAUGAUGAACAUAAAGUUUAUAUUCAUCUAUGUUCUUAGAAUAGAUCAAGAUGUCUUCUAGAUAAGAGACAAAAAAAUCGUCCAAAAAUUCUCAAAAAAUAUCAUUCAUUAGAUGUUGAAAAGCUAUCGAUGCAUUUGUAAGUCUAAAAGGCAUGACAUCGUAUUCAAAAUGUCCAUAUUUACUUCAAAAUAUAAUCUUCCAUUCAUCUCCUUCUUUAAUACAUACUAAAUUGUAUACUCUCCAUAGAUCUAUUUUUGUAUAGAUCUUAGCUUGAUUCAAUUGAUUGAGAAGUCUAGAUAUCAAAGAUAGAAGGUAUCUAUUCUUGAUGGUGAUCUUAUUGAGUCCUCGAUAAUCAACACAUAUCCACAAUGAUUCAUCUUUUUUCUUCACAAAUAAGAUUGGAGCUCUUACUGGCAAUUUGGAAGGAAAUAUGAAAUUCUUGGCUAGAUUUUCUUCAAUAUAUUCCUUGAGUUCACCUAAUUCAUUUUGUGAUAAACUAUAGAUUGGUCCAAAUGGCAGUCGUGCUCCUUCUUAAAGAUCAAUUGAGUAGUCAUAGGAAUGAUGUUUUUGAAGAGUAUCUAAUUUCUUCUUCUCGAAUAUAUCUUGAAAUUCUGGAUAUUGGCUUGGAAUGCCACUUGAAGUCUUUGCAUCAUUAGAAAUAGGUGUGGUAUAAAUGACAUAAGGUGAACUUUCUUUUACAGCAUGCAAGAAGGCUCUCGUACCUACAAAUAUAAGUUUUAUUGUGCUAGACUUAUGACUUUUUACUAGAUUAAUUUCACUCUUAAUUAUACUUUUAGAAGAGUCAAGAAUAUAAGAAAUCCAAUCUAUGCAAAGAUUAUACUUUUUUAACCAUAAUAAACCUAAAAUGACUAGAUUAGGAAGAAAUUUAAUUAUAUUAAAGCUUACGCAACUACUAUGAUUAUUUAUUGCUACAUUUGUAGGAAGUAUUUCAUGACUAACAUCUCCAAAAGACAAUGGAUAAUCAUCUAUGACUUUUACAUGAACACGUUUAGUUUUUUGUAUUAACAGUAUUUUGUGACUUUUAACAAAUUCUACGUCUAAAAAGUAAGUUGAGACUCGUAAAUCUAUUAAGGUGGAGGCUUUAUAAUUAUUAGAUCGUGAAUGCAUAUCUAUUAUAAAACAAGGAGAAGGUUCUAAUGAGAGGAUAGGACCUUUAUUAGAAAUUGUAAAAGAUUUUAGUCACCCAGUUCCUACUAUAACUGGAUAAUUUUGUUUUUUCAUACAUUCUCUUCUUAUAUAGUUGUGCUCUUCAUUUUGUGGUUUCAUUGCUUCUUUGGACAAUGUCGAGUAGUGAGUUUAGGUUCUUCAAAAUAUAAGGACAAUCCUUCUUGAUGGCGACAAGUCUUUUCUUGCUCGGUAAGAAGUUUAAAACGUACCACAUCAAUUUGUAUAUCCUCUACUUUUGAAUGUAUGUAUUGAAGACAUAUUGGCAUUGUCAUCAAAUUGUAGUAACGUUGAGGCCCACUUGUACAACUCUCAGAUUGAAAUUCAAAAAGCCAAUUGUUGCACUUCACAACAAAGUCAAUUGCUUGACUCAAUGUUUGAGGAUCAAGUAAGUUGAGCAUCAAUUUCUUUACUUCAUAUUGUAAUCUAUAGAGAAAUUGGCUAAUAAGUGCAACAUCAUCCUACUUGAUAUCAGUUGUAAGUUAUGGAAAUUGUGAAGCAUAUAAUAUUACAAAUCAAUUACCUUAUCGCAAUAUACGGAUCUUAUUGGUUGCAACAUAUAUUACAUUAUGUUCUCUAUAUAUGGACCAAAAUUUUACUAAAAAUAUCUUCAAAUUAUACAAUAUUGAAGCUUGUCAUUCAACAAAAGAUGAAAACUAUAAUAGUGUUGAAUUUGAAAGAAGUAUAUCAAUGAACCAAACUUGUGAUCCUAGAGAUGGAUAGCUUUGAGGUUGAAGUUCAAUUACAAGUUGUACUUGAUUGAUAAAUCUUCAAAAUUUAGAUCUUGUACCAUUAAACUUAUCGAGUAGGGCAACUCUUGGUUCUUUAACACUUGAAAGAUAUUCCACUAUAGGUAGAGGGAUAUGAUUUGGUGCAGAUAUUGAGGUAGCUCUAAUCAUCUAUACAUCGUCACUUCCUACCAUUCUUAUUGAUCCUUAUGGUGGUAAGCUAAAUUGAUGCAUUGUAAGCAUCAACUCCUUUAAUUUUUCUUGCAUUUGUGCCAUAGCUUUUAUGAUUUCAACAAGCUCUACCAUAAUAACACUCAGAAAAAUAUCUAAUACUACUCAAGACAAGUAAAAAAAAGGACUUGAGGACAAAGAAAAUGUUAAGAACAAUAUAAGUUUAGAAGAGGAUAAUCCGCAAAUUUUAAUAUGCUUAUGUCUUAUCAUGAGAAAGAGGUAAUCCACUCUUAAUCAAGACAAGACAAAGCUUUGAUAUUGUAAAAGUACUCUUGUCAAUCUGUCAAGGAUAUGAACUAGAAGAUGAUGAAUAAACCAAUGAAAUUUGUAUCAAAGAAAAAGUGACCAAAUAGAAAUAAAAAAAUACGUAUAUUAAAAAAAAACUUGAAUGGCUUAUUGCCAAAAGACAAGAAAACCUAAGACUCUUGAAACUAUACUAGAAGCAAGAAAAGAGUUGACAAGAGUGAAGAGGGCUUCACUCUUAUCUCUAUAUAUACUAUUUAAUUAAGAACUAUGUGGUGAUGUUCUAUAGGACCUCCAAUAUGUGUUGACUUUGUAGGACACAUGCCUUGACUUAUAAGACAAGUUUUUCUAUAUGUUUGCCACAUAAUUAGCUUGUUCUUCAAGCUACCAACAUGUAUGGUUUUAUGAUUAACUUGUUGAUCAAGUUUUUAACCUAAAAGGUAAUAAUGGACACAUAUAAAGUCAAAGCAGUGUCUAAUAAGCUUUUAGGAAGUUUUUUUUAGAAGAUAUUAUAGAAUUAACUUAUUUUUACCUACUUCUAUCUAUUUCUAUUUAUUUAUAUAGGUAAUUAUUUGCCUACAUGUGUAUAUAUGUAACAAUAGAUUAUUAAGAUAUUAGAGCUAAUUUUUAAAGUUAAGUUAGAAUUUUUAUGAGAAUGUGACUUCCUCCUAUAAUAAUUAUAGCUUUAGAAGAGAAAUAUAAAGGUUUUUUAAUACUUACUAUAUUUUUUUUAUUUUAUUAUUGUAUAUUCAAUAAAUUUAAGAAAAAUACAAUGAUGAACCAAAAAACACAAUCAAGUCAUGCAAAUCAAUCUGAUAGGGUCAAUAUAUGGUCUAGGGCUAAAAAAAGAGAUAUGAUUGUUGGUUCUUUCAGCAUAGCAUCAAUACCAAAAUAGUCAAAGAAUUGCUCAAUUCCUUGAGCAAUAUCACUUGAAAGGCACCUACAAUUACAGAAUUUAGGCAUAUCAAAGAAAGCAUAUGCUCUAAUAAGAUAGACUUUACAUCUAUUUUAUUAUACUAAUAUUAAUAUAAUAUUAGAUACAAAAUAAUUAAGAUAGAAGAGUGCUUAUAUAAUGAUCAAUAAUAAUUCUAGAAAUGUCAUGCUUUUUAUAUUGAAGAGAUAUAAAAAACCAUAUUGAUAUUGGAUAAAAUUCAAAAAAAAGAUUGAAGCUUUUAAUGGACCAUAUAAAACCAUGCUCAUUGAAAAAUGUUUUAGCCUAAAAAAACUAGAGAAUAUAAGUAUAGAUAUAUUUUUAAAUGAUGUAAAAGAAGUUGUUGACUUACUAUUAGGAGUUAAUAUUGACUUGUCCAAAGAUGUGGUAGUCUAUUAUGAUGUAAAGAAUUUCCAUCACCAAUAUAAAAUUUUCAAAAGGAUGAUACUAAAUGCAAAUUAAUUUCUUAUGUAUAAAGCACUAGAAUCUAAGCUUAUUAUUAUUGAGAUAUCUUUAAGACUAGAUUCAAGAUUAGAAAGAAUAAAUGAGACUCAUUUAUUCUUUCUAAUCUUAUCUUUUUUAAAUAAUUAGAUAUUUCUAAGAUUAUUAUAUCUUAGAAUCACCAAGAUUUUAGAGUCAAUUUUAGAAAGGCUCUCAAAUUCAAUACUUUGAUAUAUAUAUAUAUAUAUAUAUAUAUAUACAUAUAUAUUAAUAAUAUAAAUAGUAGUAAUAUCAAUGUAGACCAAUUUAAUAAUAAAGAUUGCCUACUUACUAGCUUCAAAAAAUUUACAUCAACUAAUAAAGCUCAAAUUAUCAAUUAAGAUGCAAAGCUCAAAAAUCAAAGAAAUUAAGAUCCAAAGUAUACAACUUUUGUAAAAAAUCUAGUUACUUUAAAAGAGACAAAUGAUUGUGAUGGAUGAUAAGACCUAUCAAUUAUUUCAAAGGGAAUGAAGAUUAGAGUUUGUAGCAAAUACAAUUUAUUGUAUCUUAGAUUUUUUCAACAUAUGAUCAAUGGUCUUUGUAGAACUCGUCCCUAAAAAGUGGAAUAAUUUCAUAGACAAAUAUAUUUAUUAUAAUAAUUAUCUAAAUAAUAUGAGUUGAUAGAAGUAAGUAAAAAUAAAUAAAUUUAAUAUAUGGCAUACAUAUGGCAUACAUAUAAAAAGCUUGUCUUGCUUAUUAGACACAUGUAAGAGAUUCUAUUAAACUUCGCAAUGUAGCUCCUAGUUACGUAGUUUAUAUAGAUGCAAGAGUGAUGUCCUAUUUAUUCUUAUCAAUUUCUUUUUUAGUUUCAAUAGUCUCUAGUUUUCUUGUCUUUUGACAAUAUUUAUUCCAAUUUCAUCUUGAAUAUAUAUAUAAAGAAGUAAGAUAUUUUUCAAAGAAAUAUUACAAUAUAUAUAUAUAUAUAUAUAUCGUAAUAUUCCUUUGAAAAAUAUCUUACUUCUUUACUUAAAUUUUUCAAGCUCUUAUCUUUGAUAUUUAUACAUACUAUGAUAAAAUAUAUAAUAAAUUCCUAAAUAAUAUAUUUGAUAAUAAAAUAUAGCAUAUUAGAUUUUUUAUUUUUAUAUACUAAUAUUUAAAUUAUAUUUAUAUUUAUUGAAUGGAAAAAUUUUAUUAAAGAAGAUUUUAGCUAUAAUAAAAUAGUAUCUUUAAUAUGAAGAUAAUUUAUUUUAAGCCUAUUUCAAAUUAUAUUUAUUACUUUUUUGAAAAAAAUAGAGUUGUAACUAUUAUAAUAUUAAGGAAUUUAUAUUGUUGAUAUCAAAUCUAAACUCUAGAAAUAAUGAAUUUAGUAAAUUUAUUGUAACACCAAUAUUGGAUUUAAAUUCUUUUAAAUAAAUUACAUGAUUAUAAGCAUUUUAAUUGACAAUUAAUUUGGCUUCUUGUUUUAAGAAUUAUAGAUCUUUAUUCUUGCCUUUUAAAGAAGCCAACUUAAGUUUGAAGUUGAAUAUUUUUCCUUCUAAGAAGAAAAAAUAUGGUACCAAAAGGCAACAUUGUCUAAUUUGUUCCUCAUUGAAAAAAAUAGAAAUUUUUUUUUAAUCUUCUUGACAUGUAUUUUUAAUAUUAAAAAGAAUAAUUUUAUUGUUUGAAUAAAUUUUAGACCAAAGCUAAAAACAUCUAUUCCUUAAAUAAUAAAAUUUCUAUUAAUAUUAUUUUAUAUUUUUAUAAAAUAUAAUUUAAACAUAAUGAGAUUUUAUUCAAGCAUAGAUCUAGUAUGUAGUCUUAUAUAUGAAUAGAAUAUUUUUUAAGAUAUAUUAUAAAAAAAUAGUAUUCGAUUUGGAUAUAUUGAAUAUAACAAUAUAGAUUGGAUUCAUAAUUGUAGUAUUUUUGUAAAAGUUUUAUAAUUUGAAUUAAAUAGAAUAAUACAUUAGUAAUUAAUUAGAAGGUUUCUAUCACCUUUCUUGAAGAUAAGGGUAAUAAGUCCUUAUAAAAUUGCUAUAAAAAAUGCUUAUCUAUUCAAUGAAUCUUCAAUUAGUUGUAGAUAGACAUAUUUGAUGGUGCCUAAAAGAUUUCAAAAAAUUCAGUUCCUACACCAUUUAAUUUAAGAGCUUUGUUAUAAGUUAAUGGCUUAAUUGAAUUUAUGUAGUUUUUUCAAUGUAAGGACUUGCUCAAGAAAAGUUCUAACUUUUUCUUAUAGUUUUAAUAUGUAGAGGUUCUUGAUGGAGUCUUUAGUUGGCAUAAGAUCUCAUUCAUUUUUAAAUUUUUUAUGGAAUUGAGAAUUUUUUUAACUCAAUCUUGAUAUUUUUUUAAAGAAUUUUUUAUAUUUAUUAAAUUAUAUUUUUGAGAAUAAAUUUUUUAAUACAAGAAUUUUUCUCUUUAAGUGUUUUUUUUUCUUUAUUAAUAAUAAUCUUUAUAAUUAAUCCAACUAAUUCAACAUAUGAUUCUUUGACUAUUUUCUUCAUUUAAAAAAAAAUAUGCUAUGUUAUCUUAAUGUUCUUUUAACAUACUUUAGAUAGUGACAUUGUUUGAAUGUGUAUGUAGCUUAAUAUAAAUUUCUUCAAAAAAAAUCUUCUCUACUUGCUCUUACUUCUUAUAGUCAUUGAUCCUCACCAUAUAAUAAUUUCUAUAGUAUUUUACUUCAUAUUAUUUCGGUCUAUCAAAUAUAUUAUUUUGAAAGUAUCUUAAGGUUAUUUUUUUAUGUUUUAGUUUCCACCUAAUAUCUAUUUACUAUUAUUUAGUAAGAAGAGAUAAAAAUAUUUUUACGGCAUACUUCUAUCUUAGUAGUAAUUUGGAGUAUGUGUAUAUAUAUAUAUAUAUAUAUGUAUAUUUGCUAUACCAAUCUUUUUCUAUUUAAAAAUAAUUGACAAUAAGUAAUAAGAUCCUUGUAUCAAAGACAAAAUCAAUAUAUAAUAUUAAAUACUUUAAAUGAUGAUAGAUUAUGUUACAUAAACUUUCUUUUUCAAUUCUAUCUUUGAUUUAAAUAUUUUAGAAUUGCUUUUAGUAUGUGGCACUUUCUUCCUUUUACAACUUGCAACCAAAUUCUCUUGUAUUGAAAUUGCUUAGUUUGUGCUCUUAAAAAAUAUUGUUACACAUCAAUUUUUUGUAUCUAAUAAUUUCUAAUUUAUAAUAAAUUUGAAGAAAAAAUAAGAUUUAUUAUAUUAUAUGAUAAAAUAUUGAAUCAGUUUUAUGAUUCUUUACAAAAAAAAGAAAAAAAGAAAAAAAGAAAAAAUUUCAACAUCUAAAUAAUAUUUUAGUAUUGAUUCGUGUCUAAAGGAAUUCAUCUUGGAUUUACCUAUUCUUCAUAAAAUAUUCUUUUUAUGCUUUGCUACUAUAUAAAUAAUUGAUAUUUCAUAAUCUUUUUAGGAAUAGAUUUUUCUUUAUAAUUUAUAAUUUAUUUCUAUUUUAUCUUGUAUGUAAUUGAUAUUUUAUAGUACCAUAAGUCCAUAAUAUAUGCUUCCUAUUUUUGUUUUCAUAAAUAAUAGACUUCUAUUUUUUUUGUUAAAAUAAAAUAAAAAAUCAUCUCAAUUGCAUUUUAAUAAAGUGGCAAGUAUUGGAAUAAAUAUCUUUAGUGUCAUUUAUAUUAUCUCUAGAAGAAAUCUACUUUAUUUGCCUUGAUUUGGAUUGAAAUCAAGUGAAACUUCUAAAUAUGUAUUGAUGGUAUUUAAUUUAAAGCAUUUAUCUUUGAAUACCUUGUUGUAGAUUUCUAUUAAAAUUUCUAUUAUAUGUUCUAAAUUUAAUCUAAAUAAAGAGGUAUCCUUUUUAAUGCUAUCAUAUCAAUUAUCAUUUAUUGUUUGCCAUAUCUUUCUAGCAAUUAGUGGUUCUCUGUAUACACCUUUGAAUUUAACAUAUAUAUAUAUAUAUAUAUAUAUUUUCAUAGGCUUAGUAUGGUAUUUCUUCAUUAUAUUAGAUAUUACUAUCUGAACUCUAUCAUAGUGUGUAUUAGAUUGUUAGCUAAUAGAUUUUUUUAUUGAUAUUGCUUGAGAGCUUAUUAUUGAUGUUGCUUAUAAAAAUUCUACAUAUGGCAUUGCCCGCUAUAGUGUUUUUUUUUUUUAAUUUUUAGUUCAAGAAAACCUUAGAAUAAUUUUAGUGAUUAUUAUUAUAAAAUUUAUUGCUAUUAUUAACUUAUUUUUAAAAGAAAAAAAGAUUACUAAAACUACAACCUUUGUAUUAAUUAUUAUAUAGUCUUGCUUCUAGCUAGACCUUUAUAAAUAAAACUUGUUAUUGUUUAAGAAUAGAUAUUGAUUCAAUCAUCUUAAUUAUAAAAAAUUUAAAAUUUAAUAUCAUCUAUUUUUUAUUAUAAUUAUUUUUUUCCAUGUAUCUCUUAUUAUAUUACUUUUAUCAUUGUUAUCUUUUAUGAUCACUACAAAUGUUGAUCUUUAGAAAUAUAAUUAAUCUAAGACUAAAAUUUUAUUUAUUAUUAAGAAUUUGAACUUUUGUUGUGUAAAAGGACAUAUGAAAAAAAAUUAAGAUUGGUAAUUGAAAUUUUGUGUCUUUAGAAGAUGGGCCUAAAUAUGUAAGUCAAAAUGGGUUGGCUUUGGACUAUUUGGUAGAGACUAUUAAGAUUUUCCUUGAUCUUUUUCCUUGAUUCAGUAUAUAUUUUUGAUCCAAUUGCAAAUCUUCUAGAGAAUCAUGUUAGUUGCGUAUAGUGUUAUCUCAAGAUUAUAUUAUAAUAAAUUUAUAUAAUUCAAAAUUUGAAAAUAUUUUAUUAAUUGUUGUUGGAACUUGAAGAGAAAUUCUUGAUAUUUUUUAAAGUGAUUUUAAGUUUUUUUUUUUUUUUUUUUUUUUUUUUUUUUUAAUUUAUUUUCAAAGUGUAGAAAUUUUUAUUUUUAUUUUAUAUAAUAAUUUAAUAUUUAUUUCUAAGAAAUAAGUAACUUUAGUCUAUAUAUAUAUAUAUAUAUAUAUAUAUGUGUGUGUGUAUGUAUAUAAGAUUAAUGAAUAUAAAAGAAGGCUCCUGUAAAACAAUUUAAUAGAUUAUUAAUUAAUUUGAAGCUAAUUUUUAUUUUUUAUUAUAUUUUUUUAUUUUUAGUAAUUCUUAAGUAUAAUUAUGUUAAGAAGGAUGUAAAAUAAAAAUUAAAAGUAAGUUAGAAGUUAUUUAGGAAUAAAUUAUAUUCAAAUAUAUUUUAUUGUAUUUUUAAAUUUUAUAAGUAUUAAAAUAUUUUAUAAAAUAAACCAUAUGAAUAGUCAAUUCUUACUAAAAGAUGUAUUUUAAAUACAAUAAUUAAGUCAUUUUGGCCAAAAAAGUACUUCUAAGGCUUAUUUGAUGGCUAUUAGCCUUGAUCCUUUGAUCAAUGAAGGAAGUAGAUUUUUAGAUAUAUAAUUUUUUAUCUUUUUAAUAAUAUAAAAAAUAUUUAAAUUUUAAAUGGUCAUAAGUAAGUUUGAGCCUCACUAAGGCUCACAAGUAGUAUAUAUGAGUGUCCUAGAUAGGCGACAAUGCCUUAGUCUUAGUCUCCUACCUACAUCCAAGGUGCUACAUUCCAUAUGGAACUUGUGCACCUCCCUUCCUACAAGUACUAUAGUAGCUAUUGGUCCUCUUAUUUUUUUUUUACUAGUAAUUGUUUUUUUUCUUUCUUUCUUUCUUUUAUUUUUUUUUAUUUUUAUUUAUUUUUUGUUUUCACAAUGGUCUUCAAAAAUAUCCAAUCAGCCUAUAAAUCUCUUAAGGCUUCCAAAUCUUGUUCCAUUUCUUUGUAAUAACCUCUCAAGGUUGAUAAAAUAAUUUUUAUCAAAGUCUUAAAAAUUUCUCAAUUUUUUAAUUUUUUUUUAAAAAAAUUAUAAUUUUAUUUUAAUUUAUUUUCUAAUACUAAUAUUAAUUUAAAAUAUUUUUUUUUUACCUUGAUAAUUUAUUUUAAUAUUAAAAUUAAUUUAAAUCAUUCAACAAUGUUAUUUCUUAUAUAAAUAAUUAAAAAGAUAUGAAGUUCUUUUUCAUGCUUUUUUUACCUACUAAAUAAAAUUUAUUAUUGCUUCAAUAAUUAAUAAAUAUGAUUAAAAGAUCAAUAUAAAUAUUGGUCUCAAUUACUAAAUACUAAUUCCUGCAAUUAAAAGAAAUACUAUUUGAAUUAAGAUAUUUAUCUCUAAGACUUACUAAGAUUCCAAUUGCAUAAUUUUUUUUCUAAUAAGACUCUUAUAACUUAUAAACACUUUUAAAUUAUAAUAAAUACUUAAUAAAUAAAAAAUAUUCUAUAAUAUUUAUAUUUUUUUAAUUAAAUAACUUAAAACUAUACUUUUAAUAAUUAUGCCAAUUAAGAUCUAUUUGUAAGACUUACACUUUGGAAUAGCUUUUAUAUUAUUAUGGUCUUCCAUUCAUGUCUUUGCCUUUCUAUACUCUUUUGGUAUUUGAGCAUCUAAUAUUAACAUGUUAUUUUUAAAAAAUUUAGUAAUCACGUGAAACAUUAUGUUAUUAUUAAUAUGAUACUAAUGAUUUAUUCUAUCUAGGAUUAAUGAACUUGUUAUGCUAAAUACUUUAACAACCUCAAUUUGGAAUAUUUUUAGAAUCCUAAUGCUUCAAACAUUACUUUAACAUCUGUUUUUCAAUUUAAGUUUCUAAAUAUUUGCAUAUAGACAACAAAAAUGAAUGAUUGAGUAUUACAAACUAUUAAUUAGCAUUUUAAAGAGUCAAUAAAGACUAAUAUGUUGAAAGUACAAUUUGUAGUAGCUAUGGAUGUUUCAACUCUAUUUCCAAGCUUCAUUCACACAAAAAAAAGAAAAAAGAAAAAGAAAAAUAAAAUAAUAACAUAAAAUAACUAAUAAAAUGAAUAUUAUUAUUUUUUUUAGCUAUUAUAGCAUUGCUAAUUAUUAAGAUACAUAUAAUUAUUUUUGACUAAUUCUAUUAAAUAAUAUUAUAUUUAAAAAUAUUAUAUUAAAUAGUAAGAAAAAAAUUACAUCUAAUUUUGUUGUAGAUAAAAAAUGUAUAUGAGUUUUUAAAUCACAUCAAAAUACUUAGAUUUUCUUAUAACAUUUAAGCUAGAUAAGUCCAUAAUUUUUAUGAUUCUUGAUAAGUGAUUUUUUGGCCUUGUGCAUACAUUAUGAUAGUAUUGAUAGUUUUUUUCAAUUGAUUUAACAAAUGAGAUAAUUUCGAAUACUAUAAUAUAAGAUAUUUCAACAAUGGACAUAAUUGAGUAUUUGAGUAAGCAUAUCUUCAAAUAUUAUGAUAAUCUGCAAUAAUAUUUCAUGUCAUAUAAUUUUAAAUUUUUAUAUAUAAAAAAAUAAUUACUAUUUUAUAUUUUUUAAAGAUUAUUUUUUAUUAAUAUAAAUAAAAUAAGUAAAAAAUAUAUAAUUAAAAUAAUAAAAAAUGAAUCAAAUAGAUAUUAAUUUUGAAUAGAAGUUGUUUGUAUAUGAAUAUAUUUCACUUUGUAUGGAUAUAUACCUCGUUGCUUAAAUUUAGAUAUAAUAAUAAUAGAAAUGAUUAUAUUGGCCAUUUUCCACCUCAAAACAUGCAAUAUAUAAAGUUUUAGGAAAUAUUUAGAAAGAAAUAGUAAUGGAAAAGAAUAAUAAAUAUAUUUGUAACAAAUAAAAAAUAAAAAUCAAAAAGCAUUGCAAUGUAUAAAAUGUGUGAAUAAUUUUGUGAAUAAUUGUGUGAAACAUGAUUUCUUUGGCGUAUCCAAAAAAAAAUAUAAUAUUAUUCAAGCAUUAAAUUAAAAAUAAAAUGGCAAGUUUAAAAUUUAAAAUUUGAUUUCAACAGUGGAUUCAUAAACCUAGAAUAUUAUAUUUGAAUUAUAAGAAAAACAUUUACUACUAAAUAAAUAUGGAGGUUGUCAGUAACAACAAGGUUGUAAAGAAACAAACUUAGAUAAAACUAACCAAAAAGGUUGUGGAGUGGAAUAUUUUCAAGAUAGUGGAACAAUUUAAAAAUUCAUUUCAAAAAUAUGUAGGAUUAAAAUAAAUAGUAUGACAUUAAAUAUAUAUGAUUAAAAUUAAAGUUAAAAAAAUGAUAAGGAAAUAUAUAUAUAUAUAUAUAUAUAUAUAUAUAUUGAAAUCAACAAUAAUAGUGUUUCAACAUUAAAUCAAGUGCCAAAAACCCGAUUAUUUUAUUGAAAUAUCCAGAAAUUCCUUUUAAAAGAAAAGAAAUACUGUGACUUCUUUUUUAAACUACUGAAUAAUAUUACUAUAUCUAUUCAGAUUUAACUAAAAUAAACAUCAAAAUUUUAAACAAUACUAAAAAUUUUAUGUUCUUAUAUUGAAUCAAUAGCUCACUUGAAGUAAGAAUUAUAAAAUUUACAGAAAUAUUAUAAAGAAAACUCUCAAUAUAGCUAAUAUUUCUUUUUAAAAGAAAAAAAUUACGAAAUUUUCUUUUUAAAUAACCAGAAUAUUAGAAUCACAGCACCAAUUAGCUUUGAAGCUAUUCUAAAAUUAUACAGUACUAUUAUAUUCAUACUAUAAAUCCUAAUUCCUUUUUAAAUACACUAAUUCAUAAGGAAUAUGUAUAUGUGCAUCUAUAUAUAUAGAAAGAGAGAUAUGAAGUUAUAAGAAAAUAAGAAUAUAGUUAGUUUUAUGUCUCUUUCAAAGAGAAAAUAAGAAUAUAAUUAGUUUUAUGUCUCUUUCAAAGAGAAAAUAAAUUUCUUAGUAUUAAAUAUUUCUUAUAAAAAAAUGUAACAUAAAUUAAAAUUAUUCUAAAAAUUAAUUUUUGUCUUGUGUGUAUAUAUAUAUAUAUAUAUAUAUAUAUACAUAUAUAUAUAUUUAUGAGUAAAAUAUUUUUUGAUAAUUUUUAAAUAAUAUAUAUAAUAAUAAAAUUAUUUUUAAAUAUUAGAAGUAUCUUUAUAUAAAUUAAAAAAUACAAUCAUAUAAAACUAGCAUUACUACAUUGGCAAGGAUACAAAACAAUAUUCACUUAAGACAACUAAAACACAAAUUAGUAACUAUGUUUCAGUAAAUAUUUUAUUAUAAAACUAUUACUGCAAUUGCUUUUAAAGAAUUUUAAAAAUAAUCUUUAACAAGUCACAAUUAUAUUAUAAUUUAUUUAUUUAAUAAUUAAAAAAAACUAACUUAUUUUACAAGUAAUUGAGAUUGGGCACUUUCAUUAAUACCAUUUUUAUGUUAGUGUAGACUAAAAGUAUAUUUCAUGACAUCUAAAAAUAUAAUGUGUUACUAUCAAAUUAAAUUUAUACUUAUAUUACUAAAUUUUAAAAAAUUAAAAUCAUAAAAAUAGAUUAAACUUAUAGGUAUCUUUUGAUGUGCAAUGUUGCUAUUGAAACUUGAUUUAAUUAUUUUGUUAAUAUAGAAAGAUACAAUAGAAGCAACUAACAACCAAGACACUUAUUCUGCAAGUUGUGUGAUUUUUGUAGAGGUUCUACAUGACUUUUUAUUAAACUAGUAUAUAUAGGGGUUAGUCUAAAGCCAUAUUUUGUCAUAUCAAUGCAUUUAUUGUAUUCUAGUUUGUAAUCAAGAUUCUUUGGUUUUUGUAUUUAGUAAGCUUUCCCAAAAUAUAUCUUUAAAAAAUAUCAUAUUUUUAGUUGUUUAUGUAUUAAAUAUUCUUUAAUAAUUAUUUAUUUUUUAUAUAUAUUUGGUACAUAACCAUAUCUUUAUUUUUUCUUUUUAUUACAAGAAUAUAGAGAAAAAAUCAUAAAAUUUAUGUUUACAAUUUUUUAGAAUUUCAAUAUAUUAUAACUAAAAACAAUAAAUGGUUAAAAAAAUACUAGCUAUUUGUAUAUUUAAAUUUUUUAAAUAUUGACCCAGAUUCUAAUUUUUCUAUGUCUAUUAGAUUUUAGAAUCAAUCAAAUAAUAUAAGUAAUUAAUUUUAAAAAAUUUAUGUAAUUGUGUAUAAAAGAAUAAUUCUUAAAGAGAUCAAUUUUUUCAAUGCUUGUAUAUUUUUUAUUCAAUAAUGUUAUUUAGAUUUUAUAAUUUAAGUUGAUUAUUAAGUUUGAUAAUUAAACUUUAAGGUAUUAAUAUAAAAUAAUAUAUAAUUUUUUUUUAGAUAAUUUAUAUUCUUAGUAUAAGUUUAUUUAAGUAAAAUAAUAUUCUAAGUACUUACUAACACAUAAAUUAAUUUGGAGUGAAGAAAAAACCAAAAUUAGUAAUUAUUGUAAGAAUAAUAAUAGUAUUUAUUUACAUAUUCUUAUUAAUGACAUAUGAAAAUAUUAUUAAAUAAAUUGCAACUGUUACUUAUAUUCUAUUUUUUUUGAGUUGAGAUUUCAUCACUGAAAAAGACUAGUUGGUUAGUUGAUUGGAUUGACUAUGUUUGAAAUAAAAUUAAUUUGUAAAUAUAGAGAUAAUAUUUAAGUAGAUUAAAUGUUAUAUUCUAAAGUUGAAUUUUAGUUCAAAUUCUAAUAUCUAAAACUUAGAAUCCAAGUUUUAAAAGAAACAAAUUAUAAGAAUAGUAAGAAUAAAGUAAUAAUUGUAAAGAGAUAGGUGCUCAAAAAAUGACACUUAGAUGGCUUAGAUUUAUACUAAACCAGAAUGUAGAGUUGUACAAGAAUAUAAAAUUAACUUUUAUAGGAUUAAAAAAAAAUAUUCUAAAUGAGUAGAAGCAAUUGUAAUGUAGGCCUUAGGCUUUCAACAAAAGCAAAAAAAUAAAAAAUUGCAGAUUGUAGUAAUACUAGUCAAGAAGAUGGUUCUUACAUAAUUCAUAUAUUCUACUUAAAAAAUGAUGUACAAAGAAACUAUCCUUGGAAUUGGAUUGAUAAUAUAUUGUAUUAUUUUCAAUAUAGAAUAAACCAAGUGAAAAAUUGAAAGAAAAGAAACAACUUCUCUAGAACAAUAAUAUGUUUUCUAGUUUGGGUAGGAUUGUACAUUUAAAUUAGAUUAGCCUAAUGACAAAUCACAGCCAAGAAAAGAUGCAGGAUACAAACAUUAUCAUCCCAUUGGAUUAAAGUGUAACAUAGUAAUGAAACAAAUAGAUUGCAGCAGUAAAUGUUAACUUAUUUUGAUUGUAAUAACUAACUUGUAGUAGUAAAAAAAAGGUGAAACACAGCCAGCAAUCUAUUAUUUUAUUUUAAUAUAACAUUCUGAACUCUUAUAUUAAUUAACAUUUUUUUUGUAAAGUACAAUAUCUUCAAUAUGUAUAUAUAUAUAUAUAUAUAUUUAUUUAUUUAUUUUUAUUACAAUUGCUUUAAAAUUGGCAUGGUUUAUCAUAAAAAAUUUAUAAACAAUAAUUCCAUAUUAGAAAUAGUACCCAAUCUUUAAAAAUACAUCAGGAGAUGCAAAUGUACAAUAAUAUUUCUCAAACUGAUUUAAGAUAUUUAGUAUUGUGGACAACAUAUAGAAUUGAGUUUUAAAUCAUUUCUUUGUACAUAAGUGGAAGGUUAAAAAAGGGUUGAAUAGUAUUAAAAUAAAAUAAUAAUGAAAGUAAUUACAAAAUUGCAUUUGAUCAAUAGGGAUUUUUGAAAAAUUAAUUAAGAAAAUACUAAACAAGUAAAAUGAAAUUGAGGUGUGUGUCAAUUUGAAAAUAAUACUUCGUGAUGAUAUAUGUUGCUGGAUAUUAAAUAAGAAUACACACGCAGUUUUUACUUUAAUGGUUUGACUUUCAUGAGCUUCUGAAGUUUUUUUUAUUUUUUUAUUAUUAUUUUUUUUUAACUGAUUGUGGAUGACUGUGCAUAACGUAUGGUCUAAAGACAAUAUGAAUCAACAAAAAUGAAACAGUAUUUUAUAAAUUUGGUACAAAUAGUUGAAAAUGUGUUUUAAGAUUGACAUGGAUUAAAAAUUGUUUAUCAUUUUUUUAAAAACAAAAAAAAGUUGAUUUAGAAUUAAAAUUAAAAGAGGCUCAAGUACCAAUGUUAGAAAAAGUCAAGGUAUAAAUAAUACUUUGUAUGAAUAUUAUAAAUAUAAUUUUUUGUAAUGAUUGUUGAAAAAACCAAAAUAAAAAUUCAGUAAAAAACUCUUUUAAAAUGUAACAUUAUAACAAUAAGAAGUAAAGGCCCUUGAAUGACUACUAAAUUAAUAUUUUAUAGAUUUUUGACUAAUUUGAGGGAUUUAGACUAUAGUGUUCUUUGAGGUUGUAAUACAACAAAAAUGUGAAAGGAUUUGUAUAUGACAUGUGCAAGCUUUCAUUAGUUUAUAGUUUUAAGUUCUCCUCAUUUUUCCUAAAUUGGUUUUGAAUUAUUUAAUUGAAUUUUGUAUCAAUAAUAAGAAAUACGAUAAAAAAAAUUCUCGUUAUUAAUAAGCCAUAUAAAGUACUAAACAAUGUUGUUUUUCUAUUCAUAUGAUUUGUUCCUCCACAUUCUAUUAUAGGGGGGCAUUCAAUAAGGAGAAACGGGCCAAAGAAAUUUUCUCCAAAUAACACACACCGCCCACUCUCCUUCCAAAAGAUUGGCCUUUUGUUGUGUUUUUGUUUUGUUUUGUUUUUUUUUUUUUUUUGAAUCUUUUCAAAAUUGUGGAAAAAAAAGUGACCAAUGAUUGAAAAUGGUCCAAAAUAAUUAGUUUAAUAAAUUUCCAAAAGUGGUUUAAAUGAUAAUCAAUUCUAAAUAAUUUCAAAAAAAUAAUAACUUCCUCCUUCUCUACUAGGAAGAGCUUUUUGUAUUAUCCAAUUAUUGUCCAAAUAUCAUGCUAACCUUAUUGAAAAACCCUCCUAAUGCCUAAAAAGGAGUGCUUGAAUAAUAAUUCUCCAAAGUGGAAAGAAUGGCUGUUGAAGAUGGAUCCUUUUUACCAUAUAACACACCCGAAAAAAGGAAUAAAAAUAAAAUAAAAUCAAAACAAUGCACCACGGUCAUGGGAGCCCACACAAUCCCAAACAAUGGACGGCCAAGGGACCACCGGGCGCCCCAACCGAGGUACCGACAGCCCGAAUUCCUAUAAUAGAGCCACGCAUCACCGUGGAGCCCGCCGUUGACCCAGAAAGAGGGAUGGAUGUGAGAUAAUGUCAUCCAACGAAAUGGAUUAUUCAUCCAAUGAUGCACGCAGCACACAAUUCCGCGCACUCACUUAUUGCCGAGCACCGCAACCGGGUCCGCCUGAGCUCGCAGAUCGCUGAAGCUUCCGCUUCAAAUCAUCGGGGCGCUUCGGCACAUCGCCCCAUGAUCUCAACAGGAAAAAAAUUAAUCAGCCUGUGGGUAUCUCGUGUUGCGCUGCUGUUGCUGCUGGUGCUCCGAUUCCUUCCCCCAGCUUGCUUUGUUCAUACUUUUUCUUCUCGCAUUGGAAACCUGACAGCCUGUUUUGUCUGUUGCAUUGGCAGAGGAGACUCUGACCUCGCCCCUCACGCUGAUCGUGUGGUGGUGUCCUGCCAUAAUUUGGGUGUGUUUGAAUCAUCACUCUGUUGGGUUCAGUGAGUGAUUGCUGAGGUCGCUCGGGGUCGCAUUUGAGGUUCUUUACUUGCUGCAUAGGAGGAAUUGGGAGCCCCGGUUCUGGAUCUUCCGGUGAUUUGUAGUUUACGCGCACAGUGGGCGUGUGCGUGUGCGUGUGCUCGUGUUUUUUCAUGAAUGUGGUGAGGGACUUGCCGUUUAUGGUAUUGUGUUUAACCUUUGGCAGCGGUAGAGGGAGCUGGUAAAAAUCAGCGACUUUCUUCGACGUUUGGUUAGUUUGAUGACCGAGUUUUAGAUGGCCAGCAGAGGUCUCCAGUUAUCUCUUUGGACUAAGUGAUGUACUUUGCCAACACCCAAUUUUUUUUCUUUUUUUUGAAGGAUAUCGAAACUAGUUUUACACGGUCUUCUCUAGCUCUGAAUACUUGGAAUUAGAGAUCCGCUAAUCGAUUCAAUCUUGAAGCCUUAGAUCCGAAUUUUAGGUUUAUCUAGGGUUAAAUUCAAGAUGUCGAGGCGACAUCGAUAAUCCUCUAUCGCCGUCCAGCACUGGAUAAAAUCAGCAAUCUCUCGGUUCGUCUCCCCCACACUUUCACUAUGACUACAUUCGAUUUCAUGAAGCAGCGGUUUGCAGAUGCCUCGGAGCACCAUGCGGUGAAGAAAGUCGGCUCAGCGUUGUUCUACAUGCUCCUGGCAGUGUUAGCCCUUAUUAUGACGGUCAUGAUCUGCGGGUACAUCAUCUACACUAUUAGCUUCAUCGUGCCCCCCUACUUCCAUUUCAUGUACGUCCAUGGCCCUUACUCUUUCUUGGUGCUGCUGGGCUUGUGGACCGCCGCAGUCGUGAGGUUUUUGUCUCUGUCUCCUGAGGAUCCCUUGUCUUUCAAAUGGGAGAUAUCCAUGUACGCUCUCUCCACAUUCGUCAUGUUUACAGGAGUGGGUGCCUUUGUGGUUUUGCCCUUCGUUCACCACACAAAUUGAGACCUGCACAACAAUUCAUGAAUUACUGGUCAGAUCUCGAUUGACUAAUCGUACUUUAUGCAAUUGAUUGCACCCAAUUUGCGGCCAUUGGAUUCAAAUAUGAAUUCAGCUGCGGUAUAUAACGAAGAGGAUGUACACCUCCAAUCUAUAGACGAUGAAGACGAAAUUGAGUUGGAAAUGAGCACGAUUGUUCCUUCCGACUUCGUGUGCAGAACACUUGCCACACUAGUUCUAGUCCCAUUUUGAACUGCAUUAGAAUACUGGCAAUAGCUAUGUCCGAGAAUAGUUACUUUCAGCUCAGCUUGCCAUGGCUUGUUGAAGGAGCUUCAAGUAGUGUAGCAUUGAUAACAAAGUAACAGCUUCUGAGGUCAUUUCGAUUGUAGUUGAUAUCCAGCUUGUAAUUAUUUGGGAUGAUUUGGCAAGAAGCAUGUGCUGGAAUUUACAUGACCUCGACAGCACAUGCUUAGGCUGAGACUAGAAGCUGUUGACAUACUAUCUGAUCAGAGCAGAGCAGAGCGGCUUAUCUUACGCCUGUUUUUUCAUCCAAUUCUACUUUCCACCGCCCAUGACCAGCAAGAAAGUCUAUGAAAUUUAGGCCACUCUUCAAGUUUUCAUCGGCCACUACUUUCUACUUAAGUUGAGGGCAACUUCUCGCUCAAAGACAGAUGCAAUGCCUCACCUGCUCCUCCGAAUCUUUGAUCUCAACUUACGUGGCGAGGUUUACGAAGUAUUGCUACUUUUCUGCUUUUUGCAUCAUUUCCAGAGUCACCUACAGCCUUCAGCAGGCAUAUCUUGUGGGUCCUUCGAUGUCGAUCUUACCUCUUGGACAUGUCUCCUCAACUUGGUGUCUCUAGAGGUUUGUCUAUGGCCCCACUGGCCUCACGAAUUCAAGCACCGUCACUUCUUUACCUCCUUAAUUGUUGUCCUGAAUCGCUCUAAGUCUCUGUCGUGAUUGCCAUGAAUCCUUGUAUACCCCAUGAAGUAUAUUCAAUCAAUCUCAUUCUGACUUAAUCAAAAAAACAAAUGGAAGCCCAAUAAGCACUUGGAUACGUGUGCAACCUCUCCCAACAAAAUUUUGAAUCAGCCCUCAUCCCAAAAGCAAGCCUUGCAGUAUUCCAAAAUGCGCCCCCUCUUAUCAUUGGUUCAACAAAGACAAAUCACCUGCAUGUGAUAUUGCAACGCUGAAUCGUCCUCUUGUUACCCUACUCGAAUUUAUUUUAACAAGAUCCACUCACUUUUCUCACUUUCCUCACUUUCCUCACCUUCGGUGUCUUCCAUGUGAUGCCAAUUUACGCUUCCUGAAGAGGAAAAAAGUGCCUUCACACUGCAAAGUUGACUGAAAUAGUUGGUCAGCUACUUUUGCAUCUUAGCUUAAGAAAAGCGAGAGAAAACAUGCACAACGUACCUGCGUGUGUUCAAAGAUAACAAAUAUGGGCCGUGCUCAUUUCCCGGUUCGGAAAACCAGGUUCAGGGGCUGCAAUUCCUACCGUUCCAGAACUGCUUCAGAAGCCACACAUGUAAGUCCAUUCUUAGCUACGUACUGUUGAGAAGCCACUGUGCCUGAUGGUGGAGGCUUGUAGCUUCAUGUACACUCAAAAUGAUCGUCAGUUCAUUUAGUUUGGAUUUUAGCCAAAAAAGAGAAGGCACGGAAGCCUAAACACAUCACAUUAUUGUUCACUCCUGUUCAUCAGCUUGCAGAUGAACAACAGUGAUGCAUUCGCAAUGUUUAACUUAACUUAUUGCGAGUUCAUGUGACACUUCUAGUGUUGCCGAACCAGUUCUACACAGUUAAUAUUUCUCCAGCUACAUAAUUCUCUACAUCUGAUUAUGCCUCACAACAGUCACAAUUGUUCUCAGGAUUCUUCACAUUAAUUGGACUUGACAUCUCUCUAUCAGUAUAUCUGAGCAGAAUGUCGCCGAACACAAACCUGCCAGGAUCUUCUACAUGCAUCAACACUUGCAGGUUUUUGGUUCAUUAAUGUAUUGUUGUCCUGUCGCAAUGUCUGAAUAUCCCAGGAAUAAGCCUGUGAAGCCCUCUGUUUAAGAUUCUUCGCUCUCAAUGAACUAAAAUCAGCUUUGUUUGUGAAUCAAAAGGUUCAAUCGUUUGUAAAUAUCUCAUGCGGUAUCUAACUGUUAAAUAACUUAGCUUUUUAUGUUAAAUUUGAUCUAUGUGAUGAUUGGUGGGUAGUUUUUUAAUCUCAAUUUUGUUGAAUACCUAAGUUCGAUAGAUUGUGAUGUGCGAAUGAUCUUUUAUCUUUUUCUUUUUCUUGGAUGAUUUUGGUAUAAUUAUUUAAAGUCUAUCCAGAUGAAUUUAAAGUUAUUGUUGAAACUUACGAUUUUUUUAUAAACAUAUUUUUUAGUUUGUAAUUCUUUUGCCAAAAGAAAGUGGGUGCAUUAGUUCCAAUUUAGUUAUAUUCUUUAUUUUAUAGUUUUCUUUCUUUAUUUUAUAUACUUCACAUGUUUUAUAUUGCAUUAUCAUAUUGAGUAAUGAAUAAUAUUUUCUUCUUUCAUUAAAUCCAUCAAUAAAACCUCAAAGCUCAAUAAUUUUACACAGUUCGCAAUUGCAAAUUUAAAGUACAUGUACAAAUCAAUAUAUUUCUUUUUGAAUACUUUCACAAUCAAAACUAUUAUUUGAAUUUAAAAUCUCCAUUUUUUUUUUUUAGUACACCAUAAAAAACACUAGAUCAUUGAACAUCUUGUACAUCAAUGUUUUUUGUAUUAUCCAUGGAUGCUCAUUAGAAAAAUACAACUAUUGACCAUCAUGAACUUAUUAGUCUUUUUCUUUUAUAAUAUUUUUCUUCAGGAGUAUAAAUUGUUGAUGUCAAUGUAUUUUUUAUUCAUAAACUCUUGAAAAUUUAGACCAUUACUCCCCCCCCCCCCAAAAAAAAAAGAAAAAGGGCAUAAUAAUCUUGAAUUACAGUUUUGUAAUUGUUGUAAUGGACAUUGCUGCCAAAGUUUAUUUUUAUUUGAAUCCACCAUAUGUAAUCCCAAAAUCUUGUGUACCACGAACAUAUGUAUUGAAAAGUUUUCAAACAUUACAAUCUUUAUGGUGGACAUCAAACUGAAAGUCGUCAACAUUAUUGGUUACAAAUGCAACAAUAGACCUUGUAAAACGACCAACAACGGGAAAACUUCCCAGGAGUUCCGUGUGAGUAAAAUGAGCUUCCUUGAACAAGGCACACUGUUAAAACCUGAACUGAAUUUCGUUGCAACGAGCAGAAUGGGAAAAAAAUAAAAUAAAAUAAAAAUCAUGUGGCCAAUACCUCUUGAGGAAUGAAGCCAGUUGUCAAGUUUUCAACAACCAGUGCUCCUGAAAGAAACGUGGGAGCAUCGGAGAGAGAAGACAAGUUCAUAAUACAACAGUCAGUCACAAUGCCAGUACAUGGAUGAUUGAAGGUUCUUCAGUGUGAUGGAUUGCGGUGGUUAUGCUUUAGAUCUGUUUCUGCAGACUUGCUGCAGAUGGAAUAUCUUGAAUCGUAUCAGUUCAUGUGCAUAGGCUGGUGAUGGUCCAGAUUCAUUCAAGCUUUGCAUCACGAUUCCACCAGAUGGUUUCGCCGUAAACGGUUACAUUCAGUCAAUUCUUUCACAUGCUUGCACAAGUCGUAUGUGAACGUGGGUUAGCACAGCAGUUCACAACUUUGCCAAGUUAGCAAUGUUGAUGAUGCCAGAGAUGAUGGACAGAUUGAUGAAAAGCGUCGUCGUGCCGUAGACUUUGAUUGUCACUAGGAUUGGAGGAUAUGGUUACGGAGUAGAAGCCAUGCAGGUGUUCGAACAAUGUAGGCUGGAAGAGUAAGAUGACAAUUUUGGGCGUUUGCGAGUGUCCUGGCAUGCUGGUUUCGUCGAUUAAGGAUUGCAUGAUUUCUAGUUGAUAUUUUCAUAGAUGAGGUCUUAAGUUGACUAUAAUACGCUUUCGGUCAGGUGGACCGAUUGGAAGAAGCAGUGAACCUUUCCAGGGCGUGCCACUCAGCUGAUGCACCAACCUCGAAAGUUGUUUUGUCAAGGUGCAGUGGAAUAAUGCAGAUAAUUUAAUAACGGCUCGGUAACGUUUACAAACUCCCGAAGGCCCCACCAAACACAACUUUCAAUCACCUCAGAGUUCAAAUCUAAGGUGAUUGAGAGAGAAACGUCCAGCGAUUCACGUCAUUUCAGUCACUUUAAAGAAGGCAUGUUUUCUCAUGGUUUGUGUACUGGAAAUAAUAAAAAGCUGGCCAUACGAGUUCGCAAGGGAUUUUCAGUAGAUGAGGGUCAAGCAGCACAAAGCAACAUCACUCUGACUGCUCUUUACUGGAAACAGUACUAACAUAGAAAAGGUUUCUAGUCACAUAAAUAAAAAGACAUUUUUAUGUUGUUCAGUGUCAUUUAUAACUUAUGCUGCAGCUGACAGGGUAGUUGAAUCAUCUCUCUACCCUUGAAAUGUUCUCCCCGGUGGCGGAACUUCCAAAUUCUUUUAGAAUUUUGUUGCCAACACUAUCCUCUCAAAGAGCUCUAUGGCGCCUAUGUAGGCACCAGUUGGUUGAAACAAGUUCAAAUGUGUUCAGAUGGGUGUGGUUAGGCAACCUGUGAGCAUGUAGUUCAGUGUCAGUUUUCGAUUUUGAGAAAAGAAAAAUUGAAACCCCACCGCACAUUGUAAGAACCGCCCCUGUGAAACUCUGCGCUUUCUCAUUCCUGGUCUGUAAAAUCACCUUGAAUGAAGCAAUCACAAACCACAGAAAAUGCGCCAUUCUUAGUCAUGGUUUCCCGACAAAUUAAGGAGGCAAAAAACCUAUGCUCCACUAUUUCACGGACUCAACUACCACUCGUGUUCACUUGCGCACAUGAUCCGCGCUGUAGUCGUUUGCAGAUACGAUAACCUCGUAGGUAACAACCUACACAGCAAGAGUGCGACAUAUGAUGAAUGUUAGACCGAUAGUACCUCAUAGCAGACGCAGGUUUCAGUCUACGAAGGACCAAUCCUCAUGCUACAGUAACGUUUAAUACAUUGAUAAUUACGUUGUAAUCCAGCAUCAAGCACGUUGGACUCACAAAGCGUGGAGAGGAGUGUUCAGAAUUCAUGAAAUGUGGAAGCGGGAACGGACACUUCCUCCUCCCAAUUCAAGCCUUCACCAGCUUUGACCGACUCCGCUUGGGGUGCAAUGAGCACGACUGGAGUUUCCAACGGCGGCGGCUUCAUAUGGCGGAGGAGCGACCAGUUGAUGCCACUAAAGAAUGGAUGGUUCUUCACAUCGUUGGCGCCGUUGCGGGAGCCAAGCCGUUUGUUUGGGUUACGUUGCAGAAGGUCCCGCAUUAACUGUCGCACAAGUAUGCUUACCGGAAUGCUUGUCGGGAAGAUGAGGUCUCUUUGGAGCACAUUGGUGAAUGUCUUUUGUCGAUUUUUCCCUCGGAAUGGUGUUCGACCAUACAGCAUUUCGUAGAUUAGGAUCCCUGCCAGUGCAAAAGUCUCGACAAGAUGUGAGAUUGGAGUGGUUAGGGAACUGCAAGAGAGAAAGUGAAUGACCGUGGAAGAAAUGCUUACCGAGCGCCCACCAAUCCACGGCGCUGCUGUGACCAAGUCCAGUGAUAAUUUCCUGUACAGCAAUUCCGAGAGGCGAUAUUACACACUUUCCAUAGAAGCGAUGUGCAAAAGACGCAACUAACAUAGAGAACUAAUGCAGAGACUUACAGGCGCAAUGUAUUCUUCAGUACCCACAAAGGAGUUCGAACAAGUCGCGGGUUCUAUGAAGAAUAUCGGAGGAGGGAAAUGUUUUGGCUUUCUGCGGCGGCCUGGAGGCAGAGCUUGUUCGACGAGCUGCACGAUUGCCAACAAUUCGUUACGCUCGCAGAAGGCACAAUAACAAUACAGCUUUGAGAAAGACGAAGAAUGGAGGCAAAUUGGUUUCGAGUAUCUAGUCUUCACAUAAACAAAUUGGCGGAACGCACCCUAGGCUUCGCCGAUGUCAAGAAUGACAAGUCAAAGUCCGUUAGCUGUAUAUGCCCGUCCGCUUGGAGCAAGACGUUUUCUGGCUUCAGGCCCCGGUACACGACGCCUGUGUUCCACGCGAGCCACAAGUCAAACACAAAUGUACACAAAUUGCCGGUCCCUCGUGACUAAAUCAUGCUCAAUCCUAAUUUUUAGUGAAGAAUUCUGCAUCUGAAUGUGAUGACAGUCCUUACCAACGCAAUGCAGAUACUCAAGAGCGAUGACGACUUCGGCCGCGAAGAAACGGACCACGUCUUCGGUGAACACUUUUCGCGGUUGCUGCUCGAGGAGCAAGAAGAGUUCACUACCAGGGCAGAAGUCGGUGAUCAAGCAAAUGUGCGUCUUCGUCUGCACAAUGUCGCAACCUCCGCACUCAAGCGUGAGAUGUGUUUAACCUUAAGAUCAAUUGUUUCAACCCCAGUAUGAGGAAAUUUACUCAAAAACUGAUACAUCGAAACAGAGGUAGAGAACAAGGGAUCUGGAAGGUUGUGUAUAGAGUAGGCAGAAACGGAUGAUCCACCAAAUCCAGAAUGUCCCGCUCUGCGCGUGCUCGGUGCACCUUGUUCCGCAGCAUCAUCAAACUUUUGUCCAUCGCUUUCAUGGCGAACACCAACCCCGUCUCACGAAGCUCCACCAAAUGCACACUGCACAGCAGAGCAAUCCGUUAUCAAAACCAUACUAACGACCAACAUCCAAACCCAAAUAGCAUGGAAAAGUAUUGCACAAUGGAGAAGAUAACUGCACACCCAAAGUACCUUCCCGUGUCACCGGACCCCAGAGGCUUGAUUGGGCGAAAGUCUUUCAAUCCUAGACUUCGCCCAUCAUUCGUUAUUUUUCGAAUUACAUCCCAAGCUGGUGAGUCUUUCCUGUGCGGCUUCGGGUGCACAAGCAGUGAAUGCGUGAACCACAAAUCAGCGGGAUUCUUGCGCACGCAACCCAACAAACUCGUGAGUAAUCUGCUUAUUGAAAGCAAGGAGGUAAUGAAGAUCCAAGGAUCUGAUGCGUGAAUGAACCAGAAGUAGUACCAUAUUAGCAUCGGGAAGCUCCCGCAGGGCGCCAUCGAUGUUACCAGCCGUCUCUUGCACUUCUUUAGUCCCCUCUUUCUCAGUUUUCUUGGGCAACCCACGUCUCUCCGGUUCAAGAUACUCGCUGCCAUCGAGCUGAACUCCAAUAAAGUAUUGCAACUCUCCCUGCAACUAACCGGAAGUACAUGAGAAAUUCAUCUCUUGCUAUUCAUCAAGGUACUGCUGCAAUUACUUAGGGUUGCAGAUAGAAUGCGAAUAACUCACAUUAUGAUCUCGCAUACUCUGCAAGUGGAACAGAUUCCAAAACGGCUUCCCUGCAGCACCACGACUUCGACAGUUAGUCAAGAUUCCAUCGUCUGAUUCAACUUUCACAAUUUACCACAAGCCGGAAUAGCCUGUAGAAUCUUUGUGUUAUCAGAAACAGAACUCCUGCAUGAAGCGUCCAACACUUACCACUCUUGGUGUAAUUGAGAAGCUGCACUGUGAUGUCGCGACGGGCGGCAAUGGCAUCGCGGAUUUGAUCAACGACAGCGCGGUCUGUGUCUGGUCCUUGUAAGAACCGGCAAUUUCUGCCGAGAAUCUCCUCUCGACUGUACUCUGUCAACUCCAGAAACUCGUCGGAUGCAAAUAUCUGCCAUUUGUGUGGCAUGAAACAAGCUUAAUUGCAGGGUCUGAUUGCUGGAGGACAGAUGGUGCAAAAACUUUCGAGAGAAUAAACGUGGCUGUACUUACAAUUGGAUUGUCUGGAAGGCGAGGAUCAGUAAUCACGAAAUUUUUCGGAAUACGUUCUAAAGUAGUUGCCAGAUCAAUACCACGUCGAGUCUUCUUACUCCUCUCAACAUCAACUUCAAAACUCUCCGGCCGGUCUUCGUCGUCCAGCAUUCUCAGCUCAGGAUCCAAUUCGGGGUCCGGUAAUGCAGGCUCCGAUUUCCCCAACCUGCACAGAGUCGCAUCUCUAAUCAGAAAACCACUGUUACCACCAAUUUUAAUAAUGUAACAUGGGCCAUACAGCAGACGUACCCAAGGAGGGACAAAAACCCAGACGAUCGCCGAUUUCGCCGUAGAGAGUGCGCGAGCUGAUCAUUCUCGGGGGUAUUCGAAAAAUGAGAAUCACUUCGCAUCAUGACGUUUGUGCUGGUCGACCGUCGUCGUGAGGAAUCAAUCUGACGACCUUGGAAUGUGGGCUUUGUAUUCGUCACAGAAUGGGCCAUGUCAUUCUCUGUCAGCAUCGAUGGCGUUGGUUUCAGGCUAGAAGUUGGUCUUUUUGUGGUCAAUGUUAACGCUCCCGAGUUCUUCAACGCCAUAACUAGGUCGCCAACAGCUUCCGCUGCCUUGUCUUGCAGUCUUACGUCGUAACGGAUCAGUGAUUCGGGCAGGCCGUUAGGACGCAACGCCUUCUCCUUCAAGCCAUCCGUGUGCUUACUCACCUCAACCUGCAUUCUGGUCUCCAAUUAUCAAAUCCUCAUCAACGUUAAAUUAAUCGGCAGUGUGAGCUCGAAUCGAGUCUGUGGAGACUGAAUGGAUUCUCUACGCUGCAGAACAACUAACCCGAUAUAUUUCAGAACUUUGCCGGCAUCGUCCUUGAUCGGGGUCAUGGUAAGCAGGUUCCAAAACGCGGAACGAUCCUUCUUGUAGUUGAGCAAGCGGCCGCAGAAGUUCUUGCCCUGCUGGAGUGCCUCUCUGAUACUCGCAAUGUCCGCCUUGUCAGUUUCAGGGCCCUGCAAGAAACGGCUGCUCCAAAGCGUACACAAUUAGCUAAGUGUGCAUCAAUAAUAGGCCGAGCACAGAAGGAAUUACAGCACUUCAAGAAACUGCGAACUUACCAGCUACGGCCGAUGAUCUCCUUCGGCGUAUACCCCGUCAUGGUAAAGAAGCCUGCACUUGCAUACAAGAUGGGAAAGUCGGGUUGUACAGCAUCACACACCACGAAGGUCUGCUGGAAAGUGGACAGAGCAUCCCUGACUUCGCGUGAGACCCUUGGCACGUUAGAUGCAUGACUUACGUCGCUGCCUGCAUCUGACCUUCCUGCGUCUGACGCCUCCGAAGUUCUCAUCGAUGCUGGGAGUUUUCCGAUGCAGAUCAAUCUGUGGGGAUAGCGCAGCUUCAGAUUCUUGCUCUCCUUCUGCUACCGAAUUGCCUCCGAACAAAGUUCCUGCCGCUCGAAGAUAGCAGGUACUCGUGGGCGCGCCUCCGAAUACCUCCAAGGAUUUUCGCUCUGAACGUGGGGCAGCAUUGUACCUGCCGCGUCCCCACGAACGCCCUGAGGCGGCAGCCGCCAUCCCAACCUUGGCGCUUGAGGAUGAUGGAUCCUGGUCCUCCAUCGUGCUCUUCUAACAGCAGCCUUAUCCCAACACCUGCACAACCAUUGCCAAGUCAGCAAUUAUCACCAAGACAUGCCACCUUCACAGAUUCUGCCCUGCAUAAUUUGCAACAUAUGAACUAAUCUCCUUAGUGGUCGAAAUGGCUUGUCAUACAUAUCGAUGACUUCACAUGAAAAUCUAGCAAAUGGAUACUACGCUCGUCUUACGCCCUCGGGAAAUGAAUACUAACAAAUUAACCAAUGAGAAAAACAAUGUCGCUGCGGCGAUUACUCCAAGAGUGAAAUACCUGAUAAAACAUUUUGUAACUCACUCCUACCUGAAGCUCGCAGCGGAAGGGAUGCAGAACACAAUCUGAAAUAUGGGAGUCGACACCCCCGGAUUCAACACGCAUCGCCGUUUGGAGAAAUUCUGGUCAUGCACUUUAUAAUCCCAACGGUCACAUAAAUCCAAGUAGAGCGUCCAAAAAAUGGUUCAACGUCGUUGACUAUACUGCGAACACACUGCACCCACUCUCUCACCAUGGAUUCUUGAAAAGCCAACAACACGACUAGCUCCUCACAAUGUCCCAGCUCCCCGAUGCACCCCGGCGGCAGAAGACACCAAAGUGGCCACCUGCCCAGCUCGCCUUCCCACGCGCACAGCAGGAAGGCAACAGAAGGUGGUGAAAAUGCUAUAUUUUAGAGGAAACGGCCAUGCACCACGUGAAGCCGACAGGACACCAUGCGCCUCCACUUGAGAAAAUCGCCAACGCCUUCACAACGCAAAUUUCGAUGCGAUUUGCGCACUGUUGACAUUGAACCUGACUGGUGGCCUCCUCUCUGUCUUUGUCAGAGAAUAUAAGCUAGCCUGCGCGGUAGGCUCUUCAUCGCUGCCCAGUUGGAUUCACGUUUUGCAGCUAAGCAGCCAUGAUGACUGCAAUUUUACCAAACACUUGGAUCAUCUCUUGAAUGCGCUUGCAGCAACCGCCAUGUGGAGAUCUCUCGUUUGCUCAUUCAAGGAUUGAGCCCGUUGCUCAGUUGCACGUAGAUGGCUUUCUGGUGAUUGCCUAUUGGCUUUCUUAGGUCCAUAGACUAGCAACAGCAGCAGGAUUUUCUUACAGGGUGGGAGAGGGGUUUGUGGUGGCGGCGGCAGCGGCGGCUGAUAUGUUGGAUCGAACACCUUCGCUAUGUUUCCUCCCCUUCGACAUAUCGCCCAUCAUCCAACAAGCAUAUCGUAAUUCAUCGUUAGUAAACAAAAGAAUACCAAUGUGUAAUUUAUAAUUUUCAGUUAUUAUUAUUGUUCAUAAGUCAUGCAUAAUUGCAUCACCUAAUCACUUCACUCUGUCAUUUAACAAGCUAGAGUUUACUUGUUGAUAAAAUUUGAGGUGAAAUACUCUACUUGCCAGUGUAUUUGCAAAGUAAAUUCAUGAUGUAUUGUAGAACGUUUAAUUGUGUGGAUAAUAGCUGCAUUUGCCGCAGCAACUCUUUGUUGUGCUAUGAAUCAUCAAUUUUUAUUAAGGUUUCCUCAUCUUUAUUUUUUCCAUGUACACACUCCUUCAAAAAUCCAUGAUUUCUGACCACAUUCUGGAUGGAUUCGUUCAAAUCUCUACCUGGCUAAAACACAAUUUUCACCUGUUUUUGUUGUGUUUUGAAUUUAAUUUGGAAACUUUCCUAGGCAAAGCUGGCUCUGGAUUGUGGAUUGUGGAGCGUGCAGUGCGAGGUCUCGUGGGAUGAAGCGGACAUCAUGUGGAAAAUAGUUCACAUGCAGAUGCAAGAGGCGAACAGGCUCGGUGUGGACGUCACUACGGAGGCAGAGACGCUUCGAGUAACUCCAAAACCCAAAACCAAACCCGCAGGCAGGCUCCACACGGGCGUCAGCCGGCAGCUUCUGACGCUUUGCGAAGGUAGUCAUAGCUCUCGGUCUACCUACAGGGGCUGAGCUCACUCAUUGCAGUUUCUGUGGGACCCUCCGAUGCCAGAAUUUCUUACCUCGAAGCAGCUGCAGUAACCAAAGCGCUUGCCCAUAGACCUUCGAUUUGCUCCUGCCAACUGAAUCUUGCUGAUCGCAGCUGCCGGAUCUCAUGCAAGGUAUAGCAUGAAACGCCGUUUGCAAAAAAAUACCCCCCACGCAGAUUCAUCUCGUACUAUGCAUUUGAAAUGGAAACAGUGGCAAGUCGGUUUAGCAGCUUGGAAGGAUGAUGCUCUCGCUCAACCCAGUCAAUCAAAACUCAAUAUCUAUGAACGCAUGGCAUGCUCACCCUUGCUUCGUAUCGCUCUUCCCUGUCAGCCCAUGAUGUGGGUACGAGAAGAUCCUCCACGAGGCACGUCAAAGCCACGCACUGUGGCUGGACUGCGAAGCUCUGCGAUCUCGCACGGGCUGGCUGGAUCCAUGCACCCAGCUCCUUUAACACCAGACUGUCAGGGUGGGUGCGGUGCGGCGAGGGUAGUCCAGGGUGAAUGUCAGGCCUGGGGGACGAGGGUGGCGAUGGAGCAUGGAUUCUGCACUUCCUCUGCUCUGCUGCAUUUCUCUGCUGUGUUUUUAGGAUUGUGGAUUCUCUCGCAGGAAUUUUGUGAUGGAGCAGGAAGAUCAUGCCCUCGUGGUUUCACGGGACGUAAGCUCUUGCAACUCUGCCGCUUGUCGGGGAUUGCAUCGGACCAACUCCAUUCACUUUAAGAGAUGGUUUCCCACUUUACGAAUGAAACAUAACAAACAAACUGUAAAGAAGUUGAAGCAAAUAGAAAGAAAAUAAAUAAAUAAAUAAAAGUUAAAUAUUAACAACAACAAAAAGAGAGCAGUAGUAGGAGAGGUGGAAUAGAAAGUGGGGAUAUUUAAGUUGUCCUUAGUGGGUAACUUUGAGUUAACAUUUUCAUUGAUUGAUACAAUGAUUCACUGUAAAAUGCAUACAUGUUGAAUAAGAACUAGCAGUAAGAAUUUAAUAUGUUAAAGAAAAUAUCAUCAUGUCAGCUCAGACGGCUCUGGGGGACAAGUCAGCUCGGCAUCUUUGCUGCCAGCAAGGACAACGGACCACUUGGCUGCCAUGUCAGCAAAUUUGACUCCCACUUGUACCUGGGGAUUACCAAACUUGCCCUUGGAAAGGGAUUGUGGAGCAACUUCCAAACCCAAUGCCACAAAUGGGCACUUUAAGAGUGUUGAUAUUUGUGGUACAUUCAUCUCUUUUGAUCAAGAAAGUAAAAGGUACACAUCAUGCAUAUUUGUACAAUUGUAGACAAAAUCGCCCCAGUUCUUAUACUUUUACUUAAUGUAAUGAACACUAAUUCUAUUUUUAAUUUUAGGGGGUGGAACAAUAGUUUAUUUAUUUAUUUUGGUAAAUUAUAGAUGUGUAAAAGCAUGUAGUCUUCACCACUUGGAUAAACUUGUUACUUGUAGAGUGGAUGUGAGAGAAGAUGAUUAAAACCUAUCUACAUGGUAAAACUUUCAACAAAUAACUUUAAACUUUGCAAAAUAAACUAAAAGCUGGAUAUUUAUGGAAAUCUAAUUAAAAUAAAAAAUAAAAAAAUAAAAAUCUUAAUGUUUAUAUUUUAAGAUGUAUUUUUUAUUAUUAUUGAAUUAAUUUUAAUAUGUAAAGUAAUAUUAUUUUGUUUCAAAUAAAGUCUUUUCCAAAUAACAUGUGAUGAUUUGAAGAUUGCUUCAUAUCAUAUUUAUCACAUCAUAAUGAAUCAGAAUUUAACAUUAAAUAUAAUAAUUACAUUUAAUGGUAUUCUACGACUCUUAACAAAUGAAAUCAUAAAUGAAAAUAAAGAAAAAUGUAAGAAAAGAAAAGAAAAAAUAAAUCAAAAAAUCAAAAAAUCAAGCAAUGAGGGAUUAAGCAGUCUAACAAUUUUGUAUAUGCAAUGACUUAGUUGCAUAUUUUGCAUAUUUUAUCUUUUGUUUUAUUAUUUUCACAGAAAAAUUAUUACAUAUUUUUAAUUUUUUAAUUAUACAUAAUAUUGUAAUUUUUAGAAUGUAUGUUAAAUUGAAUUUUAUUAUUGUAAUAAAAUUUUAUAUUAUACAGUGUUUCCCAUUUUAAUUAAUAUCAUCCACUGCAAGAAAAAGUAUUAAUUACUAGAGGUUAAUAAUCUUUAAAGAUGGCUUGGUGAAGGUAGGAUAGAAAUCAUGCUUGCUAAGGCCUUACAAUCUAGGUUGUGUACUUUUAGCAUGGCAACCAUGUGGCCCUGCCAAUUCUUUGGUCUUGCCUUGCCUAAUCAAGUAUAGCCAUGUAGCCCUACUAGCCGCAUGGUCUUUGUUAAUUGAUGAAAAUUAAUUAAUUAUUAGAAAUUAGAACGUAUUAAUUAUACACCAUUAAACAGUCAAUUUUCAAAAUUUUAAUUAAUUAUUAGUGGUUAUUAGUUUUUGGGAGAUUAGUUACUGGAAAAAAUAUUGUAGUUAUUACUCUCUUGACUACAAAAUAUAACAUACAUCAAUAAAACUAUACUAUAUUAUUUAAAAUAUUUUUUCUAAAUCUCAUGCAUUCAAUUUAAAUACUACAUAAAAUAAUAACAACAAUGAAAUCACUUUGAUAAAAACUAAAACAAUAUAUUGUGCACUAAGACUACUUUUGUAGAUUUUGUAAUACAAUAUUUGUUUGAAUUAAAAUCAAAAAUCAAAAAUCAAUAAGAUUUAAAACUAGAUGUAUGUGUGUGUAUAUAUAUAAUUGAUAUUAAUAUUAAAAUUAUAUUUUAUCUAUAUACAAAAUUACAAUCUUAAGCACCCUCUAAAUAUUUUGACAUAUUUGUACCACUUUUUAAAGGUCUUUAUAAGUCUUAAAAAAUCUUCUAAGUUAUGUUGUAAUUGUCUAAAAGUUUCUUAGAACAUUUUGUAAUCUUUUUAAGGAUACUUUAAACUUUAUAUUUAUCUUAGCUUUUUAUAGUUUGUCAGAAGUUUCCAAAAAACUUAUUUAGAUAUUAACAAACAUAGCUUACUAUUUUGGAGUAGCGAGUCGGCUGCAAAUAGGCAGCAGGUGGAACAAGACUCUUUUUAAAAAACAUUGGUUUUAUUUUGGAACUUAAACAACUUCAGCAAGAAAUGGUUUAUUUUGGAGAGAACAUUCCCUCAAUAUUGAGAGAUAUGGGGGUUGAUCCCAAGUGGCAGCAUAGAGGGCAUAGGUUUUCACUGUUCAAAGUUGAGAUGUUUGUUUCGCACUAUGUCUUUUCUUUGUAGAAUUCUUUAGAUUGGACUUUGUUGUUCUCCUCUCCCUUGGCCUAUGGGUGAAUAUUGGAUCUUUAAGUUCUCUUCUAUUGAGGUGCUCCCAAAAUGGACAGGCAUGCAUGCACGUAGGAAUUUUGUUUUUUGUUUUUUGUUUUUUUUUUUUGUUCUUUUUAAAAAGGGCAUCCAACUUCCAAUUGAAAGACGGUUUUUAAUGUAUAUGUAUGUGCAUUUACAGAUAAAACCAUCGGAUUUUACAAUAUGAUGACAUAAACUUGAAACUAAAUAAUUCUACGAACAUGAAAAAGAGAUCCUGAGGGAUAUUACAUGGAGAGUUUGUUUCGUAGUCAAACUACAACGUUUGACGAAGAAUUCACAAGCUUGAACGUUUCAGUAUGGCAGUGAUUUCAAACUGGUAAUCUCCGGAAGUGAGUGAGGACAGAAAAGACAGAUAAUGGAUACAAAACAUCAGAGUAACCUGUAGCAAUCGGAUUCAAAAAAGACUAGCAUGAUUUGUCAACAUUUGACGCUGACGAAAACCACACCUUUUAUUAAAACCACCCUAUUGCAGGCAUCCCUAGUUCGUACUACUAAGUUGGAUAUUUUAGUGACAACCUCACUAGCCUGAUUACCAGAGACGACAAAGGACACUAAAGAAAAUUGUGCAACUACGGUGAGGCAUUAUGGGCCAACAAAACUAUGUGUUAUGAAUCAUUGUGGAAUUUGUUAAUAGUUAAGGGUUACAUAUUUUACAAUCACUAUGUCAAUACAUAGGACCACAGCAAAACCAGCGGGCACUAAGAAACACACAUAACAGCAAGAAACCCAGUGGUGAUACCCACAUGGACCUCAAGUACGCCUCUAUUACAAUGUCGAUGAUAUCUCGUCUAUAUCUUGUAAAUGAGAUGUUAGCGACGAAAAUUUAGGUCUUUUGAGACUUGACCUUGCCACCUGCACUAAGAAAAAUUGUAUUAGGACAGAGAUGAUAUUAAAGGCGCGCGCCAUAAGCUAGAAUACCCGUGGAUUGAGUACAUCCUUGAGGAAUAAAAGUACGUGACACCAAAUGACACUAGUAGUGCUUCCCGUCAACUGCCCUCAUUCCAGUGUAACAAUAGAAUCAGUUAUAAAUAAAAGAUCAUGAUGAAGAGGAAGCAAGAGGAAACUAUCUCACAAUGUGAAACUCAUAUAGUUCUGAAAAGAUGAGAGAACCAACGGGAGGAAGCACACCUGUGAAGUAAGAAUGCGGCCACUGGACUCAAACCCGAAUCGUAACUUUUGUCCCUUUGAGAUCUAAGUCUAGCAGUCCCAGAACGAAUGUGCGAAGAUGGGACAUGUCCAUCUUUUUCACCGCCAUUAUCUGAGAGUAACCGGCGUGCUAGGCUCUGCAGACCUUUCACAGGAGCUUCGUCUUUUCUGAAAAACAGGAUUAAACCAAUCAGAGCACUAAGUGAUUCCAAAGUAUCGACUAGAAGUAUACCAGAAGCUUACAUAAUUCACAUUAAAAUUAUCCCAUGAGUUCCUAUAUCAUAACUACAGAAAAAAUUCAGUAAGUUAUAAAACAGUCAGAGAUUAAAAGUUUUCGAUCCAAAACUAAUAUGUUCCUAAUAACAUCACUACAACACAGUAUACGGAUGCAUGUAAAUAACUAUGUCUUCUCAUAUGAAAAAGCAACUGAUCCAUUGACGUGAUGUUGUGAUUUGACGUAACGUUAACGUUUGUCAGCUGGCAUCCCUCCGCGGAAGUUACUGCAUGCCUGAUGGGCAUAAAAGUUUCUGAUUAAUCCAGUACCUGAUUAGUUGUCUUAGAAGUUUGCUAACAAGAACUUCACAAGCACCUGGCGCCAGCCGCUCCAGAUCCAUCAAAGCGUCCGCUGCAUCAGCUGCAGCUCUUAAAGCAGGCCCUUCCGACUGCUCAGCUGCAGUCUGCAUGAAACGCUGCAAUCAAUUAAAGGUAGGUUUGAUGGACUGUAAAGGCACUGCCCGGCAAGGAAAGCCAUUAAUUGCCACUAGGUUUUAAGAGAUUACUCGCCAUUUGUUGCUUUAUCAUGCUUGACGCUACCUGGACUUUAAUUGGACAAGUUUAUGUAGUACAUGUUCAAAACUGUUCCAGCCUAACUAAAAUGUCGAUGAUCCAAAAUGAAAUGAUUCACUUAAUAUGAUUAGAGUUGACGUAAACUGUUUCCUCCGAAUUAUCCUUUCAAAACUAGGGUGGGUUUCAAUCUCAACUAUACCCACAGACACUCAUUACAGCGAUCUCUCUGUAUCUGACACAUAAUUUAAUUAGAUUUGACGUUCAUAAAGAAAAGAAGAAAAAGCUGUUUGCAAAGUGAGACUUAGUAGCACUUUCCUAUCCUUUCUAUUAAGCUCCAUCGUCUACUAUCAGUAUGGGGUGAAAUGACAAAAUAGUUACCUCUUUAAGAGCAGGUAUUAGAAGAAGGGUCAAGGCAGCCGAUGCACCAGCUGCAGCGGCUCGGGCAACGUCCUCCUCACUGGCCCGUCUACUCUGCCUAGAAGCUGCCUUUGGGGUCUCUCGAGGAUCACUGUAGCCAAAAAAUCAGAAAGGUUGGACAAGUACAUCUAAACCUAAUGAAUAGAAGUCCAACCAUGAAAAUAGAAGUAGAAGAUCCUUGUGACAUGAGAAACUAAAAUCCACCCAUUUGGAUAACUACCCAUGCAAGGUGCAAAAGAAAAAGACAUGAAGGCAAGAGCAGUCCAAACUUCAUGGGUGCACAUAAUCAUUAACCAACCUUAAAUGCUCGUGAGCAUCUUUCCGUAAUUUCACUGGUGUAGGACCUUUUGGACCUCCUUUCCUCAUUCCAGCUUGAAGGGCAGCUUUGGCCUGAAGGAAAAAAAAAGUUACAGUAACCCACAUAACUCUAAAUUUCUACUUUAGGCACAUAGAGGCAUACACUCAAGGUUGUAAAAUUCGUGAACAUAAAGAGAAUACGUCAAAUGCUAAAUCAAAGAUGUGGACCACCCCUCAGAUGAAGAUAAUAACAUCGAGAUUGUAAGACUCCUUCAUGUUAAUAUAGAAUUGCUCGGAACCAAAGAAGAUUAAUCAAAAACCUCGGCAAGAUUUGUUGCACUAUCUUCUCGAGCUUCUAGAUUAAUUUUUGGAGUUCCUGGGAUUGAGCCUCCCUCGUCUGGUGUACUGCUUCGCACUAUAGUCCCACUUGAAAAACCUUCCGAAGCUUCUUCAUUUCUUGAUCCUCCAGUGGUGUUAACCUGCGGGUGAAGACAUAAGUUCCUGAUCCCAGACUGAGAAAGGACAACACAAACAAGCUCGGGACGCGUGCCUACGCGUACAAGGAAGUCACGUUAUGGAAUGGCAAAAAGUACGAAGGGUAUAAGAGUGUCAGGUCAAGGAGUACACUCACAAGUAAUCGAGAAAGAAGAAUUUACCGUAGUAGCUGACAGUGACCCUAGAAAUGGUCGUGCUUGAGAUCUUCCCUCCAUACUGCUAUCACCACUUGCAUGGGGCCCCUGCAAAAAAAUAAGUUACUUUGGGUUAGUGAAUCAGCUCCUGGUUUCACCUAAAUUCGUUAAAAGCAGCACGGCCAUACCACUUUCAGUUGCGUUUCCCAAGACGUUAGCUAUUUAGAUCGUAUCCCUCACAUGCAAGACCGAGUAGUGGACCUCAUAAUACAGUGAUGAAAGUUGACACUCCAAGCUGUGAGCCAAAUUAUUUACGAUCUAAACUCAAAAAUUAGCGGCGAAACGAAGUCAGCAAAAUAAAGUAAUUCAAUUUUUUACAAAUCCCAACGAAAGGCAUUUGGACGCUCCCCGAAUUAAAACUUACAGGAUCUCUCGAAAAGUACGGUUCUGCAUCUAAUCUUUUUUGCGUGCCGAAACUAUUUCUACGAAGCGCAUUUAUAUCCACACUGGCAUCCCUCAGUCCUGCAUCAAUUUGAUAAUCAAGUUCUGCCUUGCUCAAAAGAGUGGGCAAUACGUCGCUUCCUUGAUGUAAGGAAUUAUCAGUCCCUCGAGGCCUGUCUUGAUCUAUUUGCCCAAACGUCUUUGAGCUGCUUCGGAGAGUACCAGUAGUAUGUAUACUGCCAGUCCCAAAGUCCCAACUUGCAUCCCUACGUCGAGAGCUGAUACAUAAUAUUACGAGGCAUCACAGAAUGAGGACGUAUUCAAAGGAAACAGGUUCACAAGUCCACAAGUCAUAAAUUUACGCACAGCAGGUUUUUAUCAACACCACUUGGAAAUUGAGCACAUUAAAAAAUUAAAUACUUAACAAACUAACCUCAAGGGAGGAUAGACACCAUUGUCGCUCCUCAUCCUCACUCCCUUACUGUCAGACUCAUUCUUAAAGGCUUCGGAUGGUCUGGGUGUAUCCUUGGCCUUGCUAACAUGUGAUUUUGGUCGUUCUCUGGAUAGACAAUUGCAUUUCUCAAAAUGGAUGAGGGAGAUGGAUUGAUUUACAAGAAAGAAGAAUGCGACAUGAUAUCAAAAAGCGAGCACGUGAUGACAGAGACAACAAACUGCUAUGCAUUAUCCCUAACCUUAUCCUGUCAACAAGUCUGGAGCUCUUUCGGGCAUUCUUGACGAAUCGGUGUCUGAGAAGCUCCUUCGCACUUGGCCUCUGUGGAAUGCACUUGGGUAUUAAGUCCACGAUAUCUAAUAAAAGAAAAUCGACUUCGACAAGAGGAUAACUCACAACCUUGCAACUUAAGAUCGCAUUCGUGAAACGUCAUAAACUGCUGUCGACAUCAAUAUUAUCGUAGGAAAUACAACUUGCUUUGGGACAAGAUGAUUCCUUCCUCAUUCUUUAUUUCAAUGAUAUGCGACUUAACCGUAUAUACUGCCAAGUCAAAUAAUAAAAUAACUUCUCAACACUGUGCACAACUCUGCAUUUUAUUGUCUACAUCAUCAUCUUCCCCCCCAAAAGCAAAAUAUUUGGAAUCUGAUGUCCUCCAGUUUUCCAUACCUCAGAAGGGUUUUUCUUAAGGCAGAAAGAUACGAACUCCUUGAAGGGUCGAGAAUAAUGAUCAUCCAGCUGCAACAAGUAAAAUUACAUUUUUAUGUUAAUCACCAAUAGACUACAUAAAUUUAGAGUAGACGAGUAAGUGGACAAUGGAGUGCAAAUCCUUAAACCAAAUUUGGUAGUACUGGCAGCUAAUAGACUCUAAAGUCUAAGCAGACUGGAUGAAUCAUCAAACAUAAUUUAUCGAAAAUAUGAGAUUAAUUCCCAUCCCUCCACAGCAUUUUAUCCUGUAAUUAGCAGCGCCACAAGACUCUCACCUGCGGCGGGUUGUUCUUAGGAAUAAGAAAAAGAACACGCAUAGGAUGCAGAUCUGCGUAAGGUGGCUCCCCUUUUGCCAUCUCAAUAGCGGUGAUCCCCAAUGACCAUAUAUCUGCCUGCAAUGAAAAUCACCUGCUCUCAGCUAUUGAAUGAAUGAGAAUGAUCUUUCCAUCACAAGCAUAACCCCCUUCAACACGAAUGAGCAAAAAGUAGCAUCAACUAGGGCACUCCACAGAGCUCUGAGCCAACAAAAAAAUGGCGUACACCAUUUAAUAAGAAAUAUACAUUAGCUACGAUUUCCGAGUAGUUUCCGAUUACCUUCUCAUUGUAGCCAUCUCCAGAGUUCUGUAUGACCUCUGGCGCCAUCCAGAAUGGAGUUCCAACAAAUGUCUGCAGCGACAUGUCAGACUUCCAAUUAAAUCGGUUCAUUCUUAGACAAAAUCACCAAUUUUAAGACCACGUAACAAACCGCUCACAUGGUUCAUCCGCAUACAGACUCGGUUCCAAUAUGCUGGAUAAGGCUACUCUUUCAAAAAAAGCCACAUACAGUUGAGAAGUCAACUGACCUUGCGUUUGGACAUUGUACGAGUCAGCUGAGCAGAAACUCCAAAAUCUGCAACCUGCACCACUUCCCAUCAGAGCCGAUAUUUAUUUCAUCACGUAUCACAAAAACACGAAUUAUAAAACCAACAGACUAGCUGUAUUUUUUAGGAUACCAAUAUACACUGCAAAGAUAUACCACAGUACAUUGUAACCGUUAGCCACAGAGCGAUUAAACAUUCGUAACAAAUCUACACUGUAAGCUUCAAUAAGAAAAAUAGUCAGCUAAGACAUUUUGAUCUGAUCUUAUAGUUGUAGUAUCAUUCUGAAAUUUACAGUCUAAGUGGCGAGGUAAACUUACCUUAACAUCUCCAUUUGCAGUGAGCAGUAUAUUAGCCGCUGCAACAAACAAUACCAUGGAUACAUUAUCGAUAACUAUAAAUGGAGAUUUGUAAGCCUUGAAACUACCAGCAGGCGAAGAUGCAACAUACUCCAACGAAUGCUCAAAACCUCAUGCUCCUGAUAAGCUAUGACCUAAAACGUCAUCCAAAAAUAAAAUGCUAAAUGAAUUAAGUCUAGCAUAAAAUCUGCCAUUACUUGCAUGAUGAACUACGUACACUGGCUCAGAACAAAAAGUAGGUAAAACUUGACGCAAAAGACACCCCUGCACCUUUAAUAUCACGAUGUAUUUUUCCUUCUGAAUGUAGGUAGUCCAGUGACAGCAACAGCUCUCGUAAGAUGGACGCUAUAGAAACUUCAUCAAGUGGUGGUCCAGUCUCAAGCUGCGUCAACACAAAAAUCAAAGUCUUUGUGAAACUUACGUGAAGCAACCUACAUCACAGCUACUCCACACAACUAGUCCAGUCAAUUUGAUGCCCCAAAACUUAAUUAAAAAUUCGUUUCAGUGAGUUGUUGUCAGAGGUAAAUUAUCAACUGAUUCAAUAACGCAAAAGCACAAAAACAGUUUCAUACCCCAACUGGAAAACAAAGUCAAAGUGUGCUGUUAGAUUUACCAAGUCUGAUACAGAGCCACCAGCCAUGUACUCCAUGACAAUCCAUAAUUUUGUCGUGUGUAAGUACGACCCAUAAUACUCUGUGAUAUGAGGUGAUCGACACUGACCUAGUACAGAAAUCUCCUGAGAAACAAAGAUAAAGAACCAAUCAGCUGUCUCCGUAAAGUCCUUGUAACCAUAGAGCACUUAAGAUCUAAUGAGGAACAAACAUCUUGAAGACAUCUAUCCAUCAGGGCAGUACCAAAUUUAGACUGGAGCUAGAAUAAGAAAUUUAAUAUUAAAAUUAUUUACAUUAAUAAAGAAAAACCAAACAAACCUACCUUCUGAAUGUCCUCAACUUCAUCCUCUCUGAUAACAAGGAAAAUUGCGCACCACAUCGAGAAAGUCAGCCUCAGUGAUCUUACAUACACCUUUCCUGCAACUCUUCAGGGUUUUACAGACAUCUAGUAACCCGUGUAAACUUUCACAGAAGUACCUCGUAAAUUUACGAACUGACUCCGGUUACGUCUCAAGGAGGCAAAGACAAUCAAAGUUAACUUUGGAUGAAAUGUGUCACUUACGCUUCCUCCAGGUCGAUGACUUUGAUUGCCACCUCUUUGUUCAACUCCUUAUCAAAUCUGCUCAAGUACAAUUCAAGCAGCAUGAACAACUAUCAGAACGUAGUCUAGAGUGAUCGAAAACUCAAAAUUCCAUAUUUUCUAUGAAUUUAAUCAACCUAAGCUUCAUAUUGUCUUCACUACCCACUUGCAGCCCUCCAGAAGCUCGCCUGGCAUGGAAAUGGAAUAAUACACAGCAUGGCGUGAUCGAUAAUGUGACGCGAAAGACAGCUUAGUUUGUGGUCGGUAGUGCAACUAGAGAAGACUCAAGGAUCUUUACGUGUCAAUUAUUGGUCCGAUUGAGUGAAGGAGUAACUAUAACCAAGGGCAUCAGAGUUUUUGAUGAAAAGCUAUAUCCCAUUUCUAAACAAAGAUCGAAAAAAGAGAAUUUGAAAGAAAAGAAGGACAUCUUGGCUUUCAAAGCUGGACAGAGAAUAUACGCUACAUCAGAUCCAAUGGUCGAACUCAAUUGCAAAAAUAAGACAAAAAAUUUGUUAGAAAAUUGGAGCCGAGCCAUGUCAGUCUCUCCGCGCCAGUUUUGGGAAAUGCUGAUCAACAAAUAAACUCAAUGCAAAACUGUAACCUCCAGUAAGUCUACAGUCGUGAGAGUGCAUAAAAUGUAAGGCAAAACUAAAUUAAGUUAAAAGAUCAGUAGUUGAGUUGAUCGAACCAUCUGCAACUUACCCUCUGAAAACAUCGCCAAAAGAUCCUUUGCCGAUUAGUUCCAAAUUCUCAAACCGAGCUUCCAUGGCACCAUCGAUAAGUCCAUGGACCUCCUCGUCUACAUAUACGUAAUACUCCAUUGCUUGAAUUACUCAACCCUACUGUCCAAAUCCUCGAUCCCUUGCAAGUUUCCUUCAAUUCCACAUUCUCAUCCUUCCCUCCACUUUAAACUAUCACAUUACUCGAAAGAUUCAUCGAGACUGCACCAGGAACAUCGUGACCUCCAAGCAUUGUGAACUCGUGAUGCCACAUACAGAGGCCUCGUUCCUCUUGAUUAAAAUUCUCCCGCAAUCCCAUCUAGGAGUGAUGUGAUACCCCCCCCCCUUCCCCCUCAACUUCACCGCAACCACAAUGCAUCCACAAUCCUCUCGAUCUCCAAACCUGCCAUCUCCCCUGCUUCGAUUCACCUUAAAACCCUGCAACAAACCCUAGAGUAGAACACGAGCAAGCUUGCUCCAUUGCUAAUGAGCUGCCACAAUCGUGAACUGAAAAACGGAUCACGUACUCAACCAUUAUCCACUAUUAACAAACUACAAGAAGGACCACGGCGAGCUGGCUAAGCCACUUGGUAUGCUGCAACAGCAGCACCAAAUCAUAACGCGAACCAUUCACGUCGAAUCAGUGCAGAAUCAUGACGCGAGCUCUAUCGCCAUCGCUCGAGUUCCUGUCUCAGUGCUCAAAAGGCCAGCCUGUAUACAAUGACUAUGCCGUCCGAGAUUAGAUGGAUGAGAAACGCCUCAUGAUUUCAACAGAACGACAUUUUUCAUUCAUUAGAUGUAAAGCAAACGAUUUAUGGUUGGUUACGGGUGGAUGUCUCUGUUCGUUCAUCGACUGCUUGGUUUGGAGAGCUUUUCAUUUCGUGGAUUAGGGUUUCGAUGCUUUUUGUUGAAAUGCUGCAUGUAAAUUGCUCAGAUCGGCAAUGCUGUCAUGGAUGUAAGCUGACUGUUCUUUCAUCUUUCGAGUAAAUCCUACGGUGGAUGAGUAGUCGCAUUCAAGGUAAUGUUUGUGAUUUGGUGAAGUGAAAUUCGACUUGGUUCAACCUGAAGCUUGUCUCUGGAGAUUUGGAGCAGCAAUGUGUGUACAGUAGUUGGUCGGGAUAGAUUUAGCCCUUACCAAAUAGCGGAAUGUAAUGUGUGGAUUUAUAGUGCGAGGCACACCAGCUUCGUAGCAUCAAUUGCACGAGUAAAACAGCUGUUUCUUGUGUCUUUUUUGAAUUCGUAACCAUGUGCUGCUAUUGUCUACAAAAACUCGGGGAUGGUGAUAUUAUUGGUUUGAAACAAUUAAAGAAAUUUACCAAGUCAUCCGACAGAGCAUUGUCUAAGGUCGAUAGGAUCAUAUCCUGACGCCUGUGAGCACUUUCAAGUUUAUAGAGAUAUUUAGCUUGGUGGCUUCUUUGAAUGCGGAGGUAGUUAGGAGACAACAUGAAGGCAGGUGUGUUCAUGUUGAAGUUGAAGCAGAGUCAGAGGCAGUUUUCAAAAUACAGAAGAAGCGACUAGUAUUGAAGAUUGAGCUGCUGAUAGCAGCAAGUUACAUAUUCCUUCACGGGCCUGCUGGUGACUUUUUCAGUGUUGUAUUCGGACUAUUUACUUACAUUUAUAUUUUCUGAUUGCAAGAAUGUGAAAAAGAGAAAGGUUUAAUGUGCUACCUUAUGCUCGAAAGCUACGGGAGGAGGGAAGUCUGGGAGGCCUAACAUCGAGGUGCAGAACCUAAUAAAUUUUACCAUUUAACCUCUUCUAUGAGGUGGUCAUUGAUAUCGGCUAGCUAAUUUUCUUUUGUGACAAUGCUGAAAUUCAGUUGCAGCUGGGCCAAACUACUUAGUCUGUUGAUCAACAUAGCAUUUUCUCAGGUUCUUUUCAAUACUGAAUCCUCAUUUCUCUCCCGAAGAAUAACACAGGUUUUUGUAUUAUGAAGCCAUGAUGCUUACCUCUGUAGCUUUCUAAACACACCUAAUCGUACUGCGAGAUGAUUUUGGUCAUCGAAUGAACCUCGGAGAUCCCAGCUUGCUGUGCAUGGUUGUUUCAAAGAGAACCAUGACAACCCACACAACUGUACAUCACCUCAAAGCAGCUCAAAACAUUCUUUUGUAUUUUAGGGGAAGAAGACUUCCUUGCCUCUCAUCCUUGGAGUGUCAUGAUUUUCAUGUUUUAUGCUCCAUCAGCAUGUCCCUCAAUACAUUUUCGGAGGAGUCUGAGAACCAAACACACAAAAUCAUUUUUACUGCGGCUACAGAUUUAGCAUUCUCAAUCACAAUGCCUUAGUUAUUUAGGAUGACCACUAAGAUCAGAGAGUUGGGAAAGGGAAGUUGGCUGACCCUGAGGGCGAGUGAGCAGGCGAGGAACAUCAUGACUGGGCCGAAAACUCCAACGGGUUCAUUAAUUGUCGGUCGCAAAGCUGUAGUGCCCUGCUCCCCUCCACUCCCCGCACGAAAUUCUUCACUGACAUGAAUCCGGCAUUGAGACGCCAUUUCCUCCCACCCCAUUCUCACAUGAAACUUUGCGUUUGUAAGUACCCAAUGAAAUAGGAUUCUAGAACUCUUGAUGGUACUCAGUUUAUUCCUGGCACUUCUGAGAUCGAAGUUGUGACUGCUCGACGGAACAUUGGACUUAACUGUGGUGAAGAAACUAGUGCAACUACGGCAGUUUCUAAGAAUGAGAGGUCUUCCAGACAAUUUGUGCUGAUCUACUUUUCGGGACAGUUGUCAAAGUCUUCAUCAUUUCUAAUUAUUUCAGCAAAUACUAUCUGGUUAAUAAGAGUAUGGUGUGACACAGCUCCUCGAAGCAAACGUAUUAAUUUCAAUUCUACAUGUGUGCUGUUUAUUGGGAGAAAAUAAGAGUGUACCUUCCUCAAAUUUGCGUUUCUGGUAGCACCAAACGAGUUUUCUUCUUUUGGUGGUGAGCUCACAGCUACUUCACUUUCCGAAGUGUCAGGGCUUUUAGAUAAUCGUGCAUUUUUGAACUGCAAAAGCGUAUUUACAUUACAUAUAUAGUAUACCAUGUUCAUAAACCUCGUAAGUUUAGAACCAAUUAAAAUCAUAUCUUGAUGGUUGAAAUCAAUUGAAAAACUUGGCAACUCAGAUGGUGGGCUCCUCGAUCCGGCAGGAUACUGCUCAUGGAGUACAUUGACCACAUAGUAUGUUGCUUAUUAUAUCAAGAGGUGCAGAUAUGUAUGAGCAUGUAUAUAUUAGGCACAUGCAGAAUGGGAAACCAUGUCACAAACACCAAUUAGUUCAUAAGAUUAUGGGGGCACUUUUUUGCCACGGAUGCUGUUUACAUAGUUACCGAGUAACUCAGACAACAAGAACCGACAAGAACUGAAAAAAAUAUGGCAACUCAGUCUCGUAGACGCCUCAUUACAGUUCUAUGUAAGCUGAUAAUGCUGCUGUGCGAUGUAAGAUUCGUCUGAAUAUGAGAUCUUCUGACUCUAGCAGUUGCAACGUUAUUGUGAAUUGAGAUUGCAUGUCGUUUGAUGCAGAUUCUGUGCCUAGCAGAUUUUUCAAGCUGCAGUUAUAAGGUUGCUGUAAUGCAGGCAGCCAUCAUGUGUUUCUUUUCACCCAGUUCCCACCGGUUGAACAAAUCUGCUUGGUUUCGCCCCAAUAUACCAUUUCAGACUGUUAAAGUUCGGAUUCCAAGUCGUGUCUCUUGGAUGGACUAUGUAAGACUUUGCGUCCAAUACCUUUGGUCAAAGCCCAACGAGAGAGCCGGAAGCGUUUUAAAUUAGCGUAAUGCUGCUACGUAAUGCAAUAUGUUAUAUGAGCAUGGCCUGAGGUACCUUUUCCGACUUAGGGGAGGCCCCGUAGCUAGUAUGUACAGAUACACCAUCUUCUCCAGAGGUCCCAUUCGAAGUAUACAUUGAUUGCUUGGAAUUGGUCAUAUUCAUUUCAACCGUCCCGAUGGAGCCUCGUGAGCAUGUCUCUCCUGCUUUAUUUUCUCUUGCAGGUGAUGUACCUGAGCUCUUGGACGAAGGACCAGCUACAGAUGCAGUUGAGGAAACGCCGCUACCAAGACGACCCUCAUCAACAGGUAUCUGUUUAGACACAAUAAAGAAAGAAACCCUACAUUACUCAGUUUUGAGAGGCAGUUUCAUAGAUUAUUUUUAUAUAUGAUCACCUUGCAUGUGUCGAAGGCCUAUUUCAAGUCAUACCUCUCGGUUAUUUGGCAAUUCGCAUCCUCCUUUAACAACGGAGUUCCUUGACGAGCCCCUUGACGAGUGGGAUUGAGGACGUGUAGGCUGGAUGUUGUGACAUGGCUUCAAGGAGCGUCGGUUGGAGGAAUUCUCUGUAUGACAGACAAGAUCUUCUAAACCUGCGUAAUGAUGACUUAAUGUCCUGAAUUUAUCCUGCCAAUCCUCCACUUCAGCCCGCAAAUUGUGGUUGCUACGCCGCAAUGAAGCCUGUUGCAGGUAUGGGAAGGAUAAUUUAUUAUCUCUUAUUCGAAAUAGAAAAUAUGGAAUAAUUCCUCAGUCAAGAUAUUGCCACUAUUGAGCUAACGUAAAUCCCAAUGCGACAUAGCGCUGCGACGGAUGAAACAUUUAAGCAGGGUUGCAGAUUGUCGAAGUUGAUACCAAACUAUCUCUUGACAGUUCAUCAUGUAAUAGAAAUCCCAUGACCGCAGAAAAUGGGUUUUAGUAAGAUCACGUAUUUUCAGCUCUUGGACGUGGCCAUAUAGGAGCCGAUUUUCUUAAAUUAAAAGUAGACUUUCUUAUCAUGUAAUUGUACCAAUUCCACCAGAAGCUGAGCCUUCUCCCCUCCAAGAGAGGCUCGAACCUGCGCAUAGUUGAACCUUACGUGAGGAUUUUAGCAGCGUUUCUUUCAACUGACUCUGCUUCUGAAGUUUAGCUAUGUAACAAAGAUUUUUCUCUGUCUCCAAAGCAAGAAGUACGAUGCAAGUUAAAAGUCUCACGGAGCUUGAGAAAAAUUGACACAGAAAUGGAUACCAAACCUUGCGCAGUUCAUGAUCAUAGUGUGCAAUGGUCGAUGACAUUUCUUGACCCUGCAGGUUCUUCACCUGUGAAACGUAGGCAGCAAACGAAACCCUUAGUUCAUGGACAGAAUUAAUUGUGACGUUGAUUCAGGUGUUACGGCCAUUGUUAGGUCUAAGAGAUCAGGUCUAGCACGAACACAAGUAAACUUCAACACAAAAAAAGGGUUUUCAAAAUGUGAACUAUUGGACAACCUGUUGCUCUAAGAUCUCAUUUUGGAGAAUCAAUUCCUUGUGAUCGGUUCGCAGAUCAUCGUAAUUCUUCUGUAAGGAAUGAGCAGUUAUUCGUCUCUUCUCCAGGGCCUUCUUCAGCUCCGAGUUGUGUGUGCGGUACUCACAAGCUGUAGACUGCAAAGAUAUUCUCCAGGGUCAGUCAUCAUAGCAGUGACAAACUGCCUCCCAUCCAACUAUCACACUCGUAAUCCUGUGGGACAAGCUGGAAAAUGUAUUUAUAAUAAUUCUAUACUCAAAAAUAUGAUAUUAAAUAACCUUCAACGUCAGUGGAACAGAAGAAUCUAAAUGUUGACCUUGAGCGUUUCGUACUUCUUCUGCAAAGCUGAAUGCUCAGCCUUAUGGGUUGCUUGCAGCUCCUCAAGCCUGGCAUUCAUGUCCUCCCAUCGCCUUUCCUGCAACAAAUUACCAAAUUGGGCCCUUGUGCGUCUGGUUCUCCAAUAAACUUUGCAAUAUAUGACUUAUAAUCCACAGGUUACACACAUCCGCUAGUGCAUAUGAUCUGAUCAGGCAUGCCGAAGUUUUGUUUCAAUGCUAAGAAUUGAGGAGUUUCGGUUGUGUAGGGCGUGUGUACUGUUUUAGCAACAAGCAAUUAUUAGGGAAUGUACCAGCUUCCCAUUCUGAUCCAGUAAAUCCUGGUUCUGCAAUGCCCUUGCCUGCUUGUAUAUCAACAAUCAGAUCGUUAGCAAGUAUCUAAAUAAACAUGCAACUUGGGAUGUUCCUCCAUCGACAAAGUUGCAUAACAUGAAAUUAAUACCUAAAAUGAAACUAGUUAUUUGACUGAGUACCACCAGGAAAUUAUGCAUAUUUGGUGUUUAUGGUCGUAAUUGGUUUUCUUUAAGCUUGAAAUAAAAAUCAAGUGAUAAAAAAAUAAUUCACUACUUUCGCAACUACCUGCCGGCUUUUUUUUCUUAAGGAUUAUUUUAAUGAUGCAUGUUUGGAAAAUGUUUUCAUAUUUAGAUUUAACAAAUACAUGUUGUCCCGUAUGAUAACAUUAUGAAUUAAAAGUCAAAUAACUAGUUAAUUUUGAUAUAUAAUUAAAAAAUGGGACUCAAUAAAUGUAAUUUUUGGAUACAUUUUCUUCAAACAUACUUUUGCAACAUUUGUAUUUGGAAUGUUGUAUUAGAUUGUUCAAAUCACAGAAAUAUAAUUUUUUAAAGUAUAUCUGAAGACGACUUAUUUUCAGAAUCGAUGUAUUCAAAAAGUUACCCUAAUUCCAAUUAAAAUAGAAAUAAUCACAUUACAAUAAAAUGCUCCUAAGAUUAUUUUGCAGUCAUCAGUACGUAUUUGGCAAAAGAAUUCAGCUCAAAAGUAUAAGAUCAGUUCUUUGUUUUCUAUCUAUGAAAAGUAGAAGUGUAGACCAGGGUUGGUAUUUUGUUCAGUUUGCCAUCCCUCAACUCUAUGUCCAAUACGUACCUCGUGAAGUAUGCGGGCUUCAGUGGCCUCCACAUUUAUCCUCUCAAUCUCUUGCUGUUGCGCCUUCGUGAGGGCGUGUGUCUCACGUCGCACCUGAAAAUACAUUCGAGAGUAAUUACAUCAAUCAAAUUGUCAAAUUGGAAUUUCGGACACAUCAUGUGUGGUGCAUCAUGCUUAGAAGGACGUAGCACGGUCCUUAAACCUACACUGAAUUUCUUACCUUGUCAAGCUCCAUGGUUGCUUCACGGGCUGCUGCAACAGCUUCAGCAGCGGCAGCUGCGUGCUUUCGAACCUCAUGAGUCGCAGCUGUGGCCACCUUACCCCUUAGUUGAUCAAGGUCGAGACCUUGCUUAACAACUGAAGCUGUACUUUCACAACCAAACCACGACAUAGUGAACGUUACAAUUCCAUCCAGCGACCAUAUGCUUACCACAUGCCCAUGCCAUUCAGAGAGGCUUUCGCAGAACGACAGCAUUACUUGCACCCGAAAAACUCAAGAUGCAAAGAACAGUACAGGGAGUACUCAACACAAAGCCAGCAAAUGCUCAAGUUCCUGAACACGCGAAAGGAGGCCGGAUGCAGCAGCUUCUACACUGCCCACAUAAACUCGCAAUGAAUCGGUCUCCCUUUGCCCUUCCUCUCUUGCCCUGAAAUAAUCAAUGACAAGACACAUCACCUUCUAACAACAUGCCGAGAAUAAUUUGAAUCUUGUUGCUGCAGCAAACUACAAAUCAAGGAAGCCUGUGGUACUUCUUUUGAGUCUUUUACAGUCUCAAAAUUGUGAUCCCAGAAUCUAAGCUCCAAGCAUUCAAAAUAUUCAAUCGAAUUGCGAGAGCCAAAACCCCUAAAAAGUUUCAAAAUAACGAAUGUUGUGUUUAGUGCUCACUCGAAAUCUGCUAAUCGUGCUAGCAAUUGGUCAAGGUAGAAAGAUGGAUGAAACAAUUCAAGAAUUGACAUAAAGACCUUUCUGAGGCGCGCAACGCUACUUGAAAUUCUGAAAAUCUUUGAUGGAGGUUGACAGAGGCUGGAUGAUCGUACUGCGGGGACACGCAACCAAUCCCUCAGUUAUUGUCCAACUCCAGUAGUAUUCAAGUCACCCAAAAACAUGUUCUUACUGACAAACUGGAAGAUUAGAACAUUCAGUGGAUUGCAAUUAGGUUUGGAUAGACGUACAUUGUCUACACUGGACAUGGAGGAGCCUUCACCAGAGCUGGGCCAAAAUGGGUGACUGCCAGAGGGUGGCAACACGGAAGGGGGAGACUCCUGUGGGCGACCAUUCUGUUUCUUCUUAUUUGUGUGCACCUCGUAAUGCGGCAAAAAUUCGCAAUCAUUGUCAAGUGAUUUCCCUAUUUCUUCAUAGACGCAUUCAGUCUUUGCGUUUUUGCUCUUUCCUGUCAUUUUUAGAGUCUGAUCUACUACGACGCUGUGUACGUCUGUAACACCAGGACCUGAACAAUUCUGCAUCGAAGAAAAACUCGCUUCUCGGGAGGACCACUGCUCUAUGGCAGACUUGAUGCUGAGAAGCACCCAACAGUAGGGUGGGCAAAACUGCAAGCAUAGAAGUUGCACCUUUCAUCUCCCAUAUCAUCUUCACUUGUGAUGCCCUCAAACAAACUUGCUUCCUCGAUACGAUCUGAAUAACUCACCUUAAUGUAAUUGGUAUCCGAAGACUGUGAUUGAAUGCAUUAUCUUUAAAAAAUAGUUUGUCUCUUGAGGGAUGGAAUUAGACCCUCUCAAGUUACAAGCAAACCCUGAAGGAGAAUUUGUACCCACAAGCAUAUGAAACUAAGAAUCACUGAUUUUUAUUCUAUUCAGAAAAAAUAAGACGACACCAAAUCUGACGAUAUCACUUACAAUGAGAGGUUCGGGAAUCCAAUCGAUGACAGAAUGCUACUAUUUCUUUGCACAAUAUGUUACCCCCGGCAUCCUUUCUGCCUGUUGCAAGCUUUGCAUCAAUGCAGGAAUUACGGUCGCAAACGCCCUCAAGUAAUUAUCAGAGGAACUCCACGUCACUUCAUCACAAACAUGAAGUUUAACUUUGUCGAGUUAUCUACAGUAGCAAGCCUGCACUCAGCAGCAGCAGCAUCACAAUCAGAUCGCAGCAAGCUAUUACAGUCACCAGCUCUGGGACAAACGAGAAGGUCAUGACUUACUUGAAAAACCUAAUCUUCUGACCAGAAUAAUCUGUCAGAAGCCCGAAACUGUGCUGGAAGCCAAGUCCGUAAAUUUUUUAGGAAAACACCCACUUCAGAAGAUGGUCUGUGCAGCAGCUACGCAACCCAAGUGGGAGGAUGCAGAUGCAGAGGUCUUGUGAAGCUGGAAGGUGAGGGCGGAGGAGGGCAUUGACACCGAUGAUUCAAAGAAGCGAUGAUGGGGUUGGAUUCGAGGCUUCUUCGACUCCUGCAGCUGCCUGACACGCUUAACUACCUGCAUUGCGUAGUCCCCGUUCGGGCGGUUACAUCGAAACGCAGCCCAAACCAAAGCGAUGAGACGGAUUCAUGAAAUGGCAGACACUCUCCUCCUCCUCCUCCUCGUCGUCGAACAUGGAUGCAUCCGUCGAUCGAGAUUCUUCUUCGGCUGCAUUCCCCCGCCCCCUUGCGCCUCCAGCCCAUUGCUGCUCUCGACAUCCAACGGCGGAGACCCCGAGGAGGCGCAGUUGAAUUUCGGGAACGCUGCACUUGUGCCUUGAAUGUUGAGGACUCAAAGGGAAGACCCCAAUGCAUUCAAACCCAUUUGAUACGAAACAUUUAUAUGAUAAAAUUUAACAGUAAUUUUACAACCAGAAAACUAGGAAAAUAAAAAGAAAAUGCACUCGUGAGAAGGAAGCAUGAGUCUCAACUUCUGUGGUUUUAAAGGAUCAACAAAAAAAUUGUUUAUACAUCGAUGGGAAUCCCUUCAAAGAAUUUUGAGUGUAUUUUUCUUUUUCCUAAGCUUAUUUUUGGACGUUUUGCAACACCUCGAUUGAAUUUGUUUAGGCAAUGUGGCUAUUGAACAAACUUGUAAAUGAGCCCCAUAUUUGCCUCCCAAAGGCUGGAACAAAGUUGUUGGACACAUUCGGAUUCUGUAUUGAAAAGGGUAAUUCUUCUAUUAGACCUGUCUUGUACCCAAAACUUCCUUUACUUUCUCCAAUCAACGUUCCUGCAGUAGAACUCCCAAUUUCCCACCAUUUAAACUCCACGUUCCCACAAGUAGAACACAAAACAAACAAGUCAAACACCUGCGAAUUCAUUCCAAAUAAGCAAUUCGAUGAGCAUGAGGAGUGGAUUUCCUUGCCUUGGGCUUCAAAACAUUCUUUCGACUACUUCAUUUUGGAUGGAUUUAGAAAUAAAAUACUCAGAGAGCAAGAUGGUAUAUAUUAAAGGUUUAUUAUAGGUUGGUCCAAAUUUUUAUUAAAUUGCAUCCAAAAAUAAUAAGGUACUUUAGAGCAAAUGACAACAUUUGCAAUCUCUGUAAGCAUGGUAAAACAAUUAAUAAUAACAUCUACUUUCUAUUGUCUCUUAACCUUAAGGUCCCACGGCCCCACCAUGUGAGUUUUUUCUAUCUUAUCUAUAUAAAUUUUGUUGCAUCACUAGGAUGUAUAAGUUUUAAUUUUGUUUUUGUUUUUGUUUUUUUUAUUAUUAAUUUUGAUUUUAACAUUAAAAAUAUUAAUCAUACCUAAUCAAGAGCAUGAAUCUAAAUAUGACUAUGAAAACAAGCCAGUCUGACAAUUAUUAAAGAGGUACUCCAUUAUUUGCAUCAUAUAUGUGUUGGAAUAAUCAAAAUGUUUGUUUAAGAACAUGAACGUGUUUGUUCAUGGUAUUUUGAGUAUUUAUAAUAAAAAUUAAAGUCUUUAUAAUAAAAAUAAAAUAAUAAUGUGCUAUUCAUCUUAUACUUAUAUAUAUAUAUAUAUAUAUAUAACAUAAAAUUUGCAUACUGAGUCAAUCAAAGGAUUAAAAUAGUGAUAAUGUGAUGCAUUUAGCGGUGAGCUUAACAAGCUAACGAUCCAAACCCAAUGCACAAGCAUUCAUUUUGAUUCAUCAUGAAAUACUACAGUUCAAGUAUUUACUUUGUAACCGACAUCUUAAAAAAUUCCCAGAAUAUUCUACGUGCUACAAAAACUUUUGCAAUUUUGGACGGCAAUUAAAAUACCAUGUCAUGUUUGCAAUAUAUUUCAAUUUGUUCUUUAAAAUUCUUGAACAACAUAUAAAGUCCCAUGUUAUCUAUGAAUAGAAAUCCAUGUGAAAAGAACGUCAUAUGCAAAAUAAAAAUAUAGAACAUAAGAAGCACCAUGGCUGCUAAAAACUUAAGAUGUAUCUUAUGUUUCAACUUUAAUUUAUAUAUAUAUAUAUAUAUAUAUAUGUAUUCAUUAGUGAAAAUGCCAUAUUUUCAAAGUAUUUUACUAUAGAAAUACUCUGUCAAAGCACAAUUCUAAAUAAGUGAUCAUUCUCACAACUAUAUAAUUGUCCAACAAUGUGCUUCUAGUUUUUCCUGUAAUUUCAAAAACUAUGAUAAGAAUUGCUUCCAGCCACAACCACCUACUUCAGCUAAGUCAACACUACUGCAUUCCAAAGAUUUUCCACAAAAAGAGGAACAAAAACCUAGAAAAGAAAAAGAGAAAGAAAAAGAGAAACAAGAAAAGAAAAAGCUACGAAAGAAAGAGGAAAGAAAACAAUCCGAAAAGGAAGCUAAUUGAUAAAGAUAAAGAAGAGAAGAGAAGGAAAGAAAUACAAGAAAAAGAAAGAAAUACAAGAAAAAGAAAGAAAUGAAAAGAAGCAGAACAAGUAAAAACAAGUAAAAACAAGUAAAAGUAAACGUAAAAGGUAAAACCAAGAAUAAGGAAAGAGAAGAAAGCGAAAGGGGGAAAGAUAAGGAAGAAGUGCACCAUGACAGCCUCAGGCUGUAGAACCCAAGAAAAAGCGACGCCGUCAUGGCGCCGUCUACAGCACCGCGAUUAGGUCACCGUUCCCACCGUCCUGGGAGAGUGGGUGGUGGUUCGGAGAUCCAGACCAGACCACCGCAAGCCGCCGCUUGCCCUACAAACCACGCCUUCAACCAUGCGGCCACGUCAGACGUAGCUCCUUGCCGCACCAUCCACACCGUCCGAUCUCCCAUCCGACGGACCCACCGCAUUCCGAACAUGCAAAGUUUGCGCUUUCUCCUGGCCUUCAAGAAUGCUCUCCCACCCCUCCCACUUCCCUACUCUCUCCCAGGCAGGACGGCAGGAGAGAUUGGUCGUUGUUGCGCACUUCACUGUUACAGAUAGAAACCUCCGCUUCUUCAGGUAUUGUCCCUUCCCCUGCCCUCUUGCUCGUUCUAUGGAGUUAUUGCACUGGCUACAUGCAAUGAGUUUGCGGCUAUGCUCGAAUACAUGGUCACUUCUACUAUUUGGAAACACGAUACACGGUUCAUAUCCUGUGUUGCUACUUUCAGCAGUGCAGGAGCUGCUGACCUUCGGUGUUUCAUCUCCGGAGGGUGUAUGUCACGUCCUCAGGAUGGUGUAUUAGCUAAUAUCUGAGAGGCCGACUUGAAUGGCUCUAUUCAUGUAAUUUUUUUGUGGAUAGAGUCUGUGACAUGUUGUUUCCACUUGUGUUUUGUAGCUCUUCACGAUCCGCUGUGGCCUAUCUAAGUUUGGUACCAUUUAUGUGAAGCAGAUAGUUCAAGAUGGGUAAGGAGAAGGUCCACAUCAACAUCGUGGUCAUCGGCCAUGUCGACUCCGGCAAGUCGACGACCACUGGGCACCUUAUCUACAAGUUGGGAGGUAUCGACAAGCGUGUGAUCGAGCGUUUUGAGAAGGAGGCGGCGGAGAUGAACAAGCGUUCGUUCAAGUACGCGUGGGUGCUGGACAAGCUGAAGGCAGAGCGCGAGCGUGGUAUCACGAUCGAUAUCGCGUUGUGGAAGUUCGAGACCGUGAAGUACUACUGCACUGUGAUCGACGCGCCCGGACAUCGCGAUUUCAUCAAGAACAUGAUCACGGGAACGUCGCAGGCGGACUGUGCUGUGUUGAUCAUCGACUCGACGACGGGAGGGUUCGAGGCCGGUAUCUCGAAGGAUGGACAGACGCGUGAGCACGCACUGCUGGCGUUCACUUUGGGAGUGAAGCAGAUGAUUUGCUGCUGCAACAAGGUGGGUUCGGGGGCAUUUUGGUUGAGGUUGGGGGGUAGGGACAUGGUAUGGGAGCGGGGCGCGGUGGUGGCAUUGGGUUGCGUUAUGGACAUGGCGUGGGUAAUGUCGGGGGCAGACGAGUGGGGUAAGGGGUAGGGUUUUUUGCGUGCAUUUUUGGGGAGCAGUGAGGUGGGCUGAUGUUGGUGAUGUGGAGGGUGGCAGAUGGACGCGACGACCCCGAAGUACAGCAAGGCCCGAUUUGAGGAGAUCAGCAAGGAGGUGUCGGCGUACCUGAAGAAGGUGGGGUACAACCCGGACAAGAUUCCGUUCGUGCCGAUCUCAGGGUUCGAGGGUGACAACAUGAUCGAGAGGUCGACGAACCUGGACUGGUACAAGGGUCCGACUCUGUUGGAGGCGUUGGACAACGUGUCGGAGCCGAAGAGGCCAUCUGACAAGCCUCUGAGGCUGCCGCUUCAGGACGUGUACAAGAUUGGGGGCAUUGGAACUGUGCCAGUGGGACGGGUGGAGACGGGAAUCAUCAGGCCGGGCAUGUUGGUGUGCUUCGCACCGACGGGACUGACGACUGAGGUGAAGUCUGUGGAGAUGCACCACGAGUCGAUGCCCGAGGCACACCCGGGUGACAACGUUGGGUUCAACGUGAAGAAUGUGGCGGUGAAGGACCUGAAGAGAGGGUACGUGGCCUCAGACUCGAAGAAUGACCCUGCAAAGGAGGCAGCAAACUUUACGGCGCAGGUUAUCAUCAUGAACCACCCGGGACAGAUCGGGAACGGUUACGCAC